rnacentral:lncRNA from 1 species
UCAUUUUUCCUAUUAUAAUUGAUAUAUUAGAAUGAAAGAAAUAAAAAACCAACAAGCACAAACUAGUGAUACAAAAAUCUUUAUAUUAAAUAAUUCAAAUGAAUAUAUAGUUUAUCAAGAAAUUGAAAAUCCAAGUUGGACUGCAAUUUCAAUUAGGUAAUAGCGAAACAUGAACAUAAUACUAAGCAUGAGUAUAAAAAGGCUUUGCUCUUUAUUAGAUUUCUUAAAUUCUUGUAGCAUGAGGUUCUUCAUAUCAGUAAGGCUUUGCUCAAAAAGAAAAAAAAGAAAAAAUCAAAACACAAACACAAUAUCUAGAGAUGUUUAGCUACAGUGGCCUAUGCCUUCUUUGGCAAGCUUUAUUUGUUUUCUCAGAACAACUUACAAACUUAGAGAGAAAAUUGCAAGCUACAGAAUGGACAUCAUACAAUAUACCUCAUCGGUCAUCAGCUUGUUAUGGGUUUGUAAUAAUUUCCCGCCCUUUCUAACCGAUUUAACAGCUACAUACUGAUACUAAUGCUCUUCAAUACGACAAUAUUUUCGGGUCGUUUGAUCAUUGUGUAUAAGUGAGUGCACGUGACCAACGCGUGCACUCACUUACUAAGUUUAGACGACUUGAGCCGGACGUCGUACACGAGUCCUCUAGGAGUAACCGAGAGAUCGUAUGCAAAGAAACAACAGUUCAUACUAUCAUUUAUUAUUCAGCCGACAUUGCAUCUAGUCUAGGAAUUAGAUUUUGGUUCAUUUUGAACAAUAGGCAUAUGUGGCAAAUAUCACUUGGGAUUUCUCCUCCUUCCACUGGUAGAUUACAGUCGUUGAGAUCCCAUUUUGUUAAAGAACAUAAGCCUGAUAGAGAAGGUAACAUCAAAUUAGUCAUAGGAUCUGAUCUCCUUCACAUCAUAUUGGUAGGGAAGCACAAAUCCCAUGAUGUAGAUGAUAGUGGUCCACUGCUUUAAGAUUCUUCAAGAUAGAAACAGACGUCGGAAGCUGCCUAAUUGUUGUUCCACUAUUAUCAAGCUCUUCCAAGCUAUCUACUUUCCCUAAGUUCUCUGACACAUUUUCAAGUUUGGAGCAGCCAGAGAGAUUCAGAAUUUUGAGAGAUUCAGAAUUUUAAGAGAUUUCAAACCACUGAUGGAACUUGGAAGACACUCGAGAUUUUGCCAAUCUUUAAAAUUCAACAAAACAAGGCCAGUUAGAUAUUUCAACUGACAAUGGCAAUUCUCAAAUAGCAAUUCCAUCUAAAAUGAGCAUAGUUAGAGAUUUCAUACUUCCCCAAAACUUUUCCAGCUUCGAGCAACCAGAGAGCGUUAGAGUUCUUAAACAUCUACUUAUAGUAAUUGGAAGACUCAAGAGAUAUUUACAACCUUUUAAAUUUUGCAAAAAAUGCCAGAGAGAUAUUCAAUUGACAUUGGCAAUCCUCUUAUAGCAGUUCCCAACAAUCGAAGCGCCAACAGAUGUUCCAUACGUCCCAUGAUCUCCGGAAACAAUCUGAAUUUCAAAAGGCCAAAGAAAUUCAAAGUGGAAGGAAAUUUUAGAGCACUUAUGGAAUUUGGAAGACACUCAAUAUUUUUACAACCUUUCAAAUUCAACUAAACAAUUCCAGAUAAAAGUACAAUUGAUAAUAGUAGUCCCUUAAUAUCAGUUAUGGAAUUUGGAAGACACUCAAUAUUUUUACAACCUUUCAAAUUCAACUAAACAAUUCCAGAUAAAAGUACAAUUGAUAAUAGUAGUCCCUUAAUAUCAGUUUCAUCCAAAAGAAGCUGCCACAAAAACUUCAUAUUUCCCACAAUCUCUAGAAAUUUCUUCAACUUUGAGCAACCAGAAAGUACCAAUGUUUUGGAGAUUUCAUAAAAAUUAACCUUAAGUUCUGAAAAGGAUGUGAAGAUGUCCAUAGAAUGAACAUUAAGUUAUGAAAAGUCAUAUACCAUGCAUUCGACUACUUCAGUUCCUUAAAAAUCAUAAAAGCAGAUGAUAAGUGCAAACUAGGAUGUGAAGAUGUCCAUAAAAUUAUUUAUGCAUAGAUUUAAAGCAUAGAAUGUCGAGCAAAACACAUGUUUGAUAGAAUGAGCAAUAUGCUCAAUGAAAUGCCUCUAUGAGUCAAGCAUGUCAGAUGACUCAUAAGAGUGAUUCAGCAAGAGAUGAGAAUAAUAUGGAAUAGUCAUGAAGAUAAGAUCAAAGAUUGAAUUAAGCAAAUGUGGGCAGACUUUUCUCAGGGCACAAAGUCAUUUCCUUCGGAUCAAUGUAACGAUGACCAAAAGAUCUCCUUAAAAGCCUACAUUGUGCAAUUGAUAGCUUGGGCAAAGGAAAACAUUUUGUACGUGUAUCAUUAAAAAAUGAAUAAAAUGUAGGCUGCAUUACAGAAUAUGUUUUACUUUGCAUUAUAUAAUGAUAGCAAUUUUAUACUUCAUUUCUUGACUUUUAGAAUCAUGAACUCAAAAUACAUGCAUUGCACUUUGCCACUUACCGUGUUUUUUGUCAACACAUGAUGUACAUCUGUUACGUUCCACAAUCUGCUGCUGUUGUUCAGCUAAUGUUCUUACAACAUUAGCUAAUUGGUUUACAACACUUUUCGACAGCUACGCAUAUCCUUUGCCUGGCUGAUUGGUUUUGAAGGCUUUCAUACAAAGAAGUCCAAGAGCUUUAUCAUAGUAUAGUUGCUUAAGGACCAAUAAUUCGUCCACUCUAUGUGUUGUCAACGUUGCUUAUCUUUGGAUGUUAUGAUGAUUCUGCUGCCUAAACUUUCUAGCUAACCUUUUUGUGUCGCAACCACUUCCAAUUAUGUUGAUAACAUUAUAUACAUUCCAUUUUGUUAGGAAAUCUGACCUCCUUUUUCUGAGGUUUAUCUAACGUUGGCAAGAAAACUACUUACUUCAAAUUCAUGAUAGAUCAAGUUAUAAACAACCUUUGCAAGAGUUGCCUUACCUAUACCUCCCAUAUCACAGAUCCCUAUCAUACGAACAUCAUUAGGCCUUUUAUCCAUUAGAAUCGUUAGCUUCUCCAAGUGUGAAUCCAUUCCUACUACCUUCUUAAGAGUCUCUGAUUUUAAAGGAAUUUUGCUUGAUAUCUCAUUGACAAUCUCCAUAAUAAAGUCCGAUUCAUUCCUGCGGGUUGAAUAGAACAAGAAAAGAUUUGUGUUGGUGAGCUAAAGCUAGUGUGAGCGUAACAUAGUGUCAAAAAAUUACAUAAUAUAUGUCUACAAAACGGAAGUGAUAAAGUCAUAACUUGUGUUUGAUUAAUCUCUAGGUUAUUCUUCAUGUAACUCUUCUCUAAUUUCGCCUAUAACUCUUCAUAUGUAGAUAUUCAUUGAUCAAGUUAUUAUUUCAAUUAAAUCCUAUAAUUUUAACAAAUUCUUAUACAUUUAUUCUACUGUCUCUCCCUGCUCUUAUGCCUAAAAACUUGAUAAGUUCUAGAAUCCCUCUGCUCUACCACAUCAUUCACCCAACAACAGUGUAUAAAAUCUUGUCAUGUAAAGUUUAUUGGAAAAUUGUAGGCAAGUUGGUUGUUGCUAUAACGAGAUGAAUAUGAACGCUAUUUUGGUAAAAUCUUAUUGUUGAUACAAAUAUACACAUGCACAUGCACACACUGAACAUGAAACUAGUAAAUAAAUAUACUGAAUAAAUAUUGGCAGUUUUUUAAUAGUGGAGAAAUCCAAACAUUUUCUCACUUAUUAUGAUUCAUGCAGAACAAACAAAAAUUAGUUGAUCCACAUCUUAGAAAAUUAAUCAUUGAGAAUAAGAAUGAUUACCUAUCUUUCAAUUCCUAGCCAAAGAUAUUAGCCACCUCCUGCGGAGCGCCUCUCCAUUUUUGCACCUUUUCUAUAUUCUCCUUUAAGAACUUCUUCAUGAUUAGCAAUCGCUUCUUGACAACUUCAUAUAUGUUUCCUUACCACUGUUGGUUCAACAUCAUAGAAAAUUGGAAAAACCAAUUGUUGGCGAACAUGACGUGUUCUUCCAUUCAACAAUCUUAAGAAGUACAGUUUCUUGAGAAGACAAUAACUGAAAUUCUUGAUUCUUCAAUUACUUUAGAUUGUGCUGGUGAAAUGGAUAUUCCCCUUUCACGUUCUUUUUCAUCACUGAAUACAUUAAUUCCAGUUUUAUUCAAAGUGGACUAGAGGUGAUCUGAAAAGUUCUUGCAGUGCGGGUGUCUUGUCUUCACCUCUGAAGCUCAAGCAGACAUCGUAGUUCCCGGGAUGCUCAUGAUGCAAGCAAUUGACUCCACAGCCUCUUAUUGCAAUAAGUAACUGGCUGUUAAAUAAUCGUACUUCAGCAAACGAAAAUAAAAUACCAGCAAGUAAAUUAAAACAGUGGAAAACACCCAUAGUAUACCAGUAAAGUGGCAACAGUUUUGGUUCUUGGCAACAAGAGAAAAAAACAAUUCCCAUUCAACUCUUUAAUUGAAUUUCUUAUGUGAAUAAAUUGUAGGAACAGAUGUAUCGUCUCAUUGUUCAACACAUCAGGUGGGAUGCAUUCCUUCUUGGGCAUUUUAUCGAACAUAAUUUCUCAAAAAUUCCUUCCUUGAACUUAGCUUGCAAUUCCAUUUAUGGUGAGAUCGAUCAUCUACAUAUUUGUUUUUCAUCCUUCCAAUGCUUGAAUUUCUUCGAAAAUCCCUGCGAUAUAAUUUACUUGAUCUAGGAUGUUCUAACUUUUUUUCCUUUUUUUUUUAUGAAUCCUCACCAAAGUGAGGAGGUUUUAUUAAAAUAAAAUAAAAAUAUAGCAAGAAAACCAGCCAAACUAAAAUUACAAAAGCUAGCUGAACAGAUAGCUAGGCAGCCUAAAAACAUCCUCAUGCAAAAGAGAAGCAACAUGAGGGGUGCAGAGUCCCACCAAGUAAAGGAAUCCACCAUGGCACCUAAAUUGCUCAAACAAUCAGCUACUCCAUCAGCCUCCCUGAAGACACGAGAAAAGCGCAACGUCAUGGAAUCCAUGAGAGCAAUACAAUUAUUCCAUCGAUGAAUAAGAAACCAUGGGCGGAAGCCGCUUUUUACGAAGAUAAAGCAUAGUUAAAGUAGAUUCACAUUUGAUCCACGGCAUAGUCCAACAUCCAAAAGAAGCAUGCUCAAUCGCCAAGAUAACAGCCAACAGUUCAGCAACAAAAGCCGUUUCAACAUGUAAUGGACAAGAGAAAUCCCCCAGAAAUUCUCCCUCACAGUUUCUGAACACAGCCCCACAAGUGAAAACAUGCAAAGAAUGAUACACCUCUACGCAACCAAGGAUGUAUCGGAUUAAAUUUGCACUCUUCGAGUGAGUGUUGAUUCCAAAAAUAGAAAGAUCAGAGAUGAAUAUUAAGAAUGGAAAGAGAGGUUGAGACAGAGUGAUGAAGAGUAGGAAUCCAUAUUAUACUAGGAUUAGUUUCCUUAUUAACUAAAGUUUAAGACUUUUAAAUUCCUUUCUAAUUUAGAAUUUUGUUUCCCUUUCAAUUUAGGAUUUUGUUUUACUUCAUGAAUUAGGAUAAUUACUACUACUAUAAAUAGCUCCCUCUUGUAGCCUUUGAAAGCAGAGAUUUUUGAGUUUAAUAAUAUUUCAAUUUUCAAAUCUCUUUGUGAGUAUUUGAACAGUUAAUUCUCGGUAUUCUGCGGAAUCAACGAGUCUUAAUUCCUAAAUUCGCGGUAUUCUUUUGAAUCAACGUGAAUUUAGUUGUUCUUUUGUUCCGGUAUUCUCUAAAAUCAACGGAAUAUUUUGAACAUUAAACUUCCGCUGCAUCAGUUUGGUAUCAGAGCCAAAACCUGGUAUCACCAAUCUAACUCCAUCUACCACCAAACCUUUCCUUUUUCCCUUUUUGAUUUUUUCCAUUUAGCUUAAAAAAAAAAAAAAACCCACUUUUUCAGACAAACCACCACCAUCAUCUUACCAACCCAAAAUCUUUCAGAUCCACCCACCCUUACUCGAUUUUCGACCACCAUCAUCGGCAAUCUAAAACUUUUUGCUUAAUUACAGUUUCGGCCUAAAAUUUUAUUUACUUUCAGUUUAACCCCACUACCUUUUUAAACCCGAAUUUGAAAAAAUGCCUCCAAGAAAAGCUCGUGAUGCUCAUACUACAACUUACAAUCAAGAAGAUGUUUCGAAAGAUGAAUCCCUGGCUAGUAUGACAGCCAGAAUUGAUAUGUUAGCUGAACAAAUGGCACGAAUAGCAGAGUUACUUGACGAACGCCAUCGUACUCCAGAACGUGAAGACAAAUCAAGUGUAAGCUUUGCUAACCCAUUCUCUGGGCGUCGACCUAGAACUGAGUCUACUGAUGACAGAAGAUGGGAAUCUGGGUUGAGAAUUGACAUUCCCGAAUUUCAAGGAAGUGGUCGACCUGAAGAAUUAUUAGACUGGAUUAACGCCAUUGAGGAAGUUUUCGAAUACAAAGAAGUUCCUGAAAAUAAACUAGUUUCGCUUGCUGCAACUCGAUUUCGUGGAAGAGCAGCAGCUUGGUGGCAACAAACUAAGCUCACAAGGAUUAGGCAAGGCAAAAAGAAGAUUGAUUCUUGGGAAAAGUUCAAGAAGCACUUGCGUGGAGCAUUCUUGCCUCAUAAUUACGCCAAACUGUUAUACCAACAGCUACAGAAUUUAAGGCAAGGUAAUUGAUCAGUGGAUGAUUACACUACAGAAUUUCAUUGGUUGGUGGCCCGCAAUGACUUGACAGAGACAGAAGAACAACAGGUUUCCCGCUACAUUGAAGGCCUACGAUCUCAAUUUCAAGACCAAUUAAAUUUACUUGACCCAUACUCUGUUUCAGAGGCACACCAACAAGCCUUGCAGUUGGAGAAGCAAUUUAGUCGACGUACUAAUGACUCAAGCUUUCGGGGUGCUCGAAGUGUUGUUCGUGAUAAUUCAAACCCAACUUCCCAAUUUCGUAAUUUCACUCCUCCAAAUCCUCCAAAUAAAACUAGUAAACCUAGUGAAAUCGGUCAAAGCAGCAAAACUCAAUCAUCGGGUUCGGGAUUACGCUGUUUUAAUUGCGGAGAAAAUGGGCACCGAAUGACAGAAUGUAAAAAGGGAGGAAAAUAUGGUAAAGGCUUAUUCGUAGGCACAGAGGAAAGUGAAAGUGAAGACUACCAGGAGGAAGAAACUGAAGAGUUCGCUGUAGAGCCAACUUUUGAUAGUAGUGGUAGCACUCAAUCUGUUGAAGAACAUGGUGAUAGCGGGCCAAUGUUGAUCGUGAACCGCACAUUCUUCACUCCUAAAGGUCAAGACAAAGACAAGUGGCUACGACAGAAUAUCUUUCAGACUACUUGCACAAUCGGGGGUAAAGUAUGUCGUAUGAUCAUAGACUCCGGCAGUUGCGAGAAUGUCAUUUCGGAAGAAGCCAUAACAAAGCUAAAUUUAAAGACAGAACCUCAUCAAACUCCAUACAAGCUCACAUGGCUGAAGAAGGGAAAUCAAGUGACAGUAUCGAAACGUUGCUUAGUUUCCUUAUCCAUUGGUUCAAUUUAUAAAGACAAAAUUUGGUGUGAUGUUGUGGCUAUGGAUGCUUGUCAUCUAUUACUGGGUAGACCUUGGCAAUAUGAUCGAAACGUAGUGCAUGAUGGGAAGAGAAACACCUACAGCUUUAUGUUUAACAACACCAAGAUCGUUCUCCUACCUAACAAAGAGUUUACUCUCCAGCAAGACUUGGGUAAUUAUUUGUUAGGAAAGAAGCAAUUUAUAGAUGUUGUAGCAGAGACAAAGAGAGUCUACAUUUUAUUGGGAAAAGAGAGUAACGGUGAUUCGAAGAUUCCUGAAGCUGUGACACCUAUUCUGGUGGAAUUUCAAGAUUUGUUCCCUAAUGAGCUACCACAGGGUUUACCACCUCUUCGAGAUAUACAACACCAAAUUGAUUUGGUACCAGGUUCUACAUUACCAAAUCAACCUCAUUAUCGUAUGAGUCCUACAGAACAUGAGGAAUUAAGGCGCCAAGUGGAAGAGUUACUAGAAAAGGGAUUUAUCCGUGAAAGUCUUAGUCCCUGUGCAGUCCCUGCUUUAUUGACUCCAAAAAAAGAUGGUUCUUGGAGGAUGUGCGUGGACAGUCGAGCUAUCAAUAAAAUUACAGUUCGAUAUCGUUUUCCAAUCCCUCGAUUAGACGACUUGUUAGAUCAACUCAGUGGAGCAACAAUUUUUACCAAACUUGAUUUGAAAAGUGGCUACCAUCAAAUUUGAAUACGGCCUGGAGAUGAAUGGAAAGCAGCUUUUAAAAUUCGCGAAGGGUUAUGCGAGUGGUUGGUAAUGCCGUUUGGCUUAUCUAAUGCUCCGAGUACUUUUAUGCGAGUCAUGAAUCAAGUUCUUCGCCCUUUCAUUGGAAAGUUUGUGGUUGUUUACUUCGAUGAUAUACUUAUAUAUAGCACCAGUCACGAGUUACAUCUACAACAUUUGAGAGAAGUGCUUUUAGCCUUAAGAGCAACAAGUUUAUACACAGCAGUAAACAAGUGUAUUUUCUUGACCGAGAAAGUAUUAUUUUUGGGAUAUGUGGUGUCGAAGGAUGGUAUAUCUGUUGACCAAUCAAAAGUGGAUGCUAUUCGAGAUUGGCCUCAGCCAACUACUUUAUCCGCCACCAGAAGUUUCCAUGGAUUGGCCUCUUUUUACAGGCGAUUCAUUCCUCAUUUCAGUACUAUUAUGGCACCAAUCACAAAUUGCAUGAAAGGAGGACAAUUCUCUUGGACAGAGGCAGCUACUAAGGCAUUCAAGAUUAUCAAAGAAAAGUUGAUUACUGCCCCAGUACUUGCCCUACCAGAUUUUUCGCUCACUUUUGAGGUACAUUGUGAUGCUUCUAAGGUCGGCAUUGGAGCUGUUCUUAGCCAACAGGGUAAGCCUAUAGCUUAUUUCAGUGAGAAGUUGAAUCAAGCAAAGGCACACUACAGCACUUAUGACGUGGAAUUUUACGCAGUAGUCCAAGCGUUAAAACAUUGGCGACAUUAUCUAAUUCAUAAAGACUUUGUUUUAUACACUGACCAUGCCACGUUAAAGUAUCUCAAUAGUCAAGACAAGCUCUCUCACAGACAUGCCACGUGGACAGCAUUCCUUCAACAAUUUACCUUUGUGGUGAAGCAUACCUCUGGUGAAUCCAACCGGGCAGCAGAUGCACUUAGUCGACGAACUUCGUUAUUGACACAGAUGCAUAAUCAAGUUCUUGGAUUUGACACAUUUCGAGAGUUAUAUGCUUCUGAUCCUUACUUUGCUCCUAUAUUAGAAGACGUUGUUGCAGGGUUUCGCUCAGAUUAUCAUUUACAUGACGAAUUCCUUUUCAAGAGUAAUCAGUUGUGUGUUCCUAACUCAAGUUUGAGAUUGAAAAUCAUUUCAGAGUUACAUAAUGAAGGGCACAUGGGUCGUGACAAAACUCUGGCUCUAAUCGCCAACACUUAUUUUUGGCCUACUAUGAGGCGUGAAGUCUAUCACUAUGUUGAGACUUGUCGCAUUUGUCAAGUUUCCAAGGGUGCAGCAACUAAUGCUGGGUUAUAUAUGCCGCUGCCAAUUCCAACACAACCUUGGGCUGACAUUAGCAUGGAUUUUGUUUUGGGAUUACCCCGCACUCAGAGGGGUAUGGAUUCAAUAUUUGUUGUUGUUGAUCGAUUCUCGAAAAUGGCUCACUUCAUUGCUUGCAAGAAGACUACAGACGCUUUGACUGUUGCUCGCCUAUUCUUCAAGGAAGUCUAUAGAUUGCACGGUUUACCAAGUUCUAUAGUAUCUGACCGGGAUACACGAUUUCUUAGCCAUUUUUGGAAGACAUUAUGGAAGUUGACUAACACUCGCCUGAAUUUUAGUAGUGCUUACCACCCACAAACAGAUGGUCAAACUGAAGUUGUCAACCGCUCUUUAGGAAACCAUUUACGUAGUCUAGUUGGUGAUAACUUGAAGAUGUGGGAUCAGAAGUUAUAUCAAGUCGAGUUUACUUAUAACCGUGCAGUUAAGCGUAGUACUGGUUUAAGCCCUUUUCAGGUGAAUUACGGAUAUAAUCCACGAGCUCCUAUCGACUUGGCUCCAGUUCCAGAUUUAGUUCGCAAAAGCGGUAAAGCAGAAGACUUUAUUGAGCAGCUUCAGCAGAUUCAUGAAACUACGCAAGAGUCUUUGAAGCAGACGACCGAAGGUUAUAAAAUUAUGGCAGACAAAAAACGUCGAGCUUUAGAAUUUCAAGUAGGAGAUCUUGUUUGGGCUAUCUUAACUAAAGAUAGAUUCUCAGUUGGUGAGUACAACAAGCUUUCUGCCAGGAAAAUUGGCCCUUUGGAGAUUAUCGAGAAGAUAAAUCCUAAUGCAUACCGAUUACAGCUUCCUAGUCAUAUCCGCACCGCAGAUGUCUUUAAUGUCAAGCAUCUUAUUCCUUACAGAGGUGAUCAUGAUGAAGAUGUUAUUGCUGACAAUCUGAAUUCGAGGGCGAAUUCUCUUCACCCUGGGGGGAAUGAUGAAGAGUAGGAAUCCAUAUUAUACUAGGAUUAGUUUCCUUAUUAACUAAAGUUUAAGACUUUUAAAUUCCUUUCUAAUUUAGAAUUUUGUUUCCCUUUCAAUUUAGGAUUUUGUUUUACUUCAUGAAUUAGGAUAAUUACUACUACUAUAAAUAGCUCCCUCUUGUAGCCUUUGAAAGCAAAGAUUUUUGAGUUUAAUAAUAUUUCAAUUUUCAAAUCUCUUUGUGAGUAUUUGAACAGUUAAUUCUCGGUAUUCUGCGGAAUCAACGAGUCUUAAUCCCUAAAUUCGCGGUAUUCUUUUGAAUCAACGUGAAUUUAGUUGUUCUUUUGUUCCAGUAUUCUCUAAAAUCAACGGAAUAUUUUGAACAUUAAACUUCCGCUGCAUCACAGAGAGAAGAGCCAAGAGAAAUAGAAAGAGAUAUUUUAUUUCCUGAUACCCCAUACACGAAUUUGUUCUGCUCUACAUAUAUUCCUCUGUCCAAGACGUUAGCAAAAAUAUUACAGCUCAGCAACUUCUAACAGAAAAUAUGAUAGCAAAAACAAACCAACAAUCAUAAGGUACUAGCAAUUUCACCACACGACAUAAUCCUUAAACCACCCAGGGGCUCUUCUAACUCGUGUGCUUGCGUACCGUUCCUCAUGAGCUGAUUCUUCCUCAACCUGUGAUGUGGCUUCCUUCAUGGGCUGUUCAUAAUUGGACUCGUUGUUGGGCUGCCCUUCUUGUAAGCAAUCCGGUUGAUCCGACUGAAUGUGGAAGGUUGUAUCAAAGAACCUUCAGCGAUUUUUUACUAUAAACGUAAGCAUAUUUUAAUUUUAAUAUACGCAUUAAUGAUUUAACUAAUUUUAUGUAUGUAUUUAUAUUUUUAAUUUUUUCUCAUUCCUUUUUAUGUAAGCGUGAGUUGAGGCUCGACCCCGAUCCGGCCUUUAAACUAGACCUUGUUCCUUAUACAUGGGCUCAAAUGGACUUGGGUCAUUUAUUUCAAGAGUAGCCUUUCGACAUCCCUUAAAAUUUCUUAUAAAACUCAUUUUCUAUUAAAACGACUUGAAUAACUAUAAAUAAAUAUUUUUUUAAAAUUUUAAAUGGGAUUUCAAUUAAAUACUUAAAUAAAUUAAGGUUUUAAUAAAUAAUUUACACCCACAUCAUUUCAUAAUUUAUAUCUAUAUUUAUGAGAAGAUAUUUAAUUUUAAUAAAUGAGUUUAUAUUUUAUAAAUUAAAUAAGAAGUAUUUUAGGAAAUAAAAUUCAAUAAGUGGUGUUGUCUAUUACGUUUCAGACAGAUCACCAAAACUAUUGGUGUGUUAAACUUCACUUACUUUCAAAUCUUAUUGAAGACAACAUGAAUUUGAUCCAACUUAAUGCUAGUUUAUAUGAUGUUGGUUUAAUGCCUAUGUUGGGGGUGUCAAUGCCUUUGCAUUCAACCAUUUCAACUAUAGACAACAGAUCUCUGAUGUAUUUUCUUUGUGAUAAAUAUACACAAUGUGCGUCUUGCGACACUUUAAUUCCAAGGAAAUAAGAUAAUAUUCCUAGGUCUUUUAAGGCAAAUGCUUUCCUAAACUGAGUUAUAAAACUUUUUAACUUUAUAGUACUUGGACUUGUAAUGAGUGUUUCUUCUUAUGAAAAGAGAGGCAUCCAAAUUAAUAUUAAUAAAACCCCAAUGCAAUAAACAGCUUUUCAGCUUAUCAAACUAAGCUCUAGGAACUUGUUUGAGUCUAUAUAGACAUUUGUACAAUUUGCACACAAAUUCAGGUUUCUCAGCAUUAAUAAAGCCUUCUGGCUAACACAUGAAUACCUCCUCAGUUAACUCUCCAUUAAAAAAGGCAUUGUUAACAUUAACUUGCCUUAUUUUCCAUUAGUUCAUCACUCCUAGGCUCAGCACCACUCUAAUAAUAGCUAAUUUAACCACUUGACUGAAUGUUUUAAAGUAAUUCACCCCUGCCACUUGCUAAAAUCCUUUUGCAAUAAGCUUGGAUUUAUACUUAGCUACACUUCCAUCUUUGUUAUACUUGAUCCUUCACACCCAUUUAUUGUCAGCAACGUCAUGACCAGCUUGUCUUGGAACUAAUGUCCAUGUAUUAUUCUUAAUCAAAGCAUCAUAUUCUUCUUUCAUAGCUUGCAGCCGUCUGGAGUCAUCUAAUGCCUCUUGCACAUUAUCUGGUUCUUUGUGAAUGAGAGUAUCAGUUGUUGUGUCUUUUUUUUUCAUUUUGUUUAUUCAAUAACCACAAAACUGAUGUUGGAGUAUCUUCCAGCAAAUUAUAUACAAAACAGAAAUGUAAGUACAGUAAUAUUAUAUUCUUAAAUUAUGUCUACAAAUACAAAGUAAAUUAAAAUAAGAUUAAUGAAAUAAUAAAAAUGUAAAUAUUAAUGAUAGAUAAAAAAAAUAUGGGAUAUGAUAGUAAUGCCUUAGUAAACAAUAUUAUAGUAUAUGGCAAGUCCAGCUAUUUGAAGAGAACUUUAAAACCAUAUGAAUCUCAAAAAUUACCAAAAAUAAACUUUAUUAUACACUAAUUAUUCCGUGCCAUUUUCCUGAGCACUUUUGUUUAUUUUAGGAACGCAUACUUAAACAAUCUGAUCAAGCAUGAAAGCAUUUUCGAUUCAUGGAAGGUAACAACUUUGGAGAUGAUAUUUUGGUUUUGUGGUAACUUAACAUAUAUAAAAUAAAAAUUGCCAACUGAAAUUGAAGAUGCAUGCUUACUGAAAUAUUCAGAGAAUACUAAGCUGGCUUCUCCCUUUAUUUGAGUUCACUAAAUGGAUCCUUGAGGUUAUGGUUCCUCAUCACCUCAACAUAUGCAGCAAGGCUUUGCCUUGACAUUGUUGCUACAUCCCUCUUUGAUGCAAAAAAAAUUUGAGGGGAUCUAUUCAGAUUAUGAGUGGUAAAGCGAUUCCAUUGGAUUGUAGUUUUGUCAAACUCCUCCAUAUAAACUGGGUGGAUAUCACACCUCUCACCUCCGAUCCUGGCCAAAACACACCCCUGAGAAGUUACAUAAUUUAUGAUUAUAGUCCUCAAAGCAUUUGUACUUUUCUUGGGAAUGAAUGGAAAAAAUAUUAUCUAUUUAUUACAGCCCACUGUAUGAUUUUAAAGUUUUCCCAGACUUUCCCGCACUUUAAAAUUCUGGACCUGAAAACUACUCUAUUUGGCAAUGACACAGUCCACAAAGCAUUUGUACUUUUCUUUGGCUACUAACGCAUGAUAGAUUGAAAACGAAAACGAAGCUAAUGAGGAGGCAUAUUCCAAUAGGCAUUAUAUAUGAUCAUUAUGUUUUUUCGGUGAAGGAUAUGUUGCAUGAUCUUAGGGAUUGGAUCGUUGAAAAAAGACUUUGGAAUUGAUUCCUCCCUGUGGCACAAUGCCAUCAAUUCUUUUCUCUUAAUCUAAAGGAAUGAACUUGUCAAAAUCUAUUGCGUAAAAGGCUGUUGGGUUCAAAUUUGAAGUGGAGUACUUGAGUACUUUGUUUGGAGCUUUGCAAGUUUGUUAGUGAACAUCAAGCUUGUUUGGCAUUGUUAAAGUCUUGAAAAUAUGACAGGUGACCUUCAAGUAGUUGGAAGAGUUAAAAAGCUCAACAAGGAAAAUUACAAUACAUGGGCAACAUUGAUGGAGUCUUGCUUACAGGGUCAAGAUCUCUAGGAGAUUGUUUGUGGUAAUAAUAUGAGACCACCAACUGAGGAUGCCGCUUUAAAGAAGUGAAGCAUUAUAGCUGGAAGGCCAUGUUCGCCAUCAAGACUACAAUUGAAGAAGAAAUGCUACAACACAUAAAAAAGGUUAAAAUACCUAAGAAAACUUGAGAUACUUCUACAAUGAGUUUUUCAAAGAAGAAUAACAUAUGGCUACAACUUUUGAAAAAUGAGCUACUAUCAAUUUCAUAAUGAAACAUGACGAUUGACGAAUACUUAAACAAGUUAAAGCCUCUAUGCUAUGAAAUUUCUGGGUUAGAUUCUACUGCUGUAAUUUCUAAAUUUAGAAUAAAGAGAAUUAUUGUCAAUGGGUUGAGGCUUGAGGCUUGAGCUUAAGAGCUUUGUUACAGCUAUCUAAGGUUGUCCAACUCAACCAACCAUUGAGAAUUUUGAAAACUUACUUGCUGAUCAAGAAGUAAUUGAUAAGCAAUUGAGUGGGGCCUUAGUAAUGGAUGAUGAGGAAGCGUUUUUUAUUGAUAACACUACUAGAAAAAUGUCUUUCACUGAUACUAAGUUGUUGAUACUAAAUAAAAAAGUAUCAGUAUUUGAUGACUUAAGUAACUUUUAGUGUAUUUUACAUAUUAGUGCCAGUGGUUAUUAAUAAUAUAGUAUCAUAAACUUUUACUGAUACUAACAUAUAUAUUUUUAAUUUUAAUUUUAAUUUUUCUUAUUCCAAACGACGUAGUUUUACUUUUAAAAUUAGGGUAUCUUAAAUUCAACACAUGUGAAAUUUUAUGGCCUUAACGAAUGUACUAUUCGUCUAUUCCCUCUUCAUCUUCCCUCUCUCCCGAAUCCUUCCCACUCAUUUCAAGAAACCCUAAAUUGAAACAAAACAAAUCACCCAGCCUUUUCAGUCUUAACAAAACAAUUACGGGGUUUUUAAUUAAAUACCCUUUAAUAGUUUCAAAAUUAUUUAAAUACCUCCUCCCUUUUUUGUUUUCAUAGAUACCCUAACAAAUGUGAGUAAAGUCUGAAAUGUCCCUAAUGAAUGCAUCAAAUUCACUCAACUUCAUUGUCUUUAUAUUUCUUUCACCCAAAUCUCUUCUUGUUGCCGAAAUUCUCUCAAAAUCUCCUAGAAUCUCUCAAAAUCUCUCAUAACUUCUUACACAAAUACAAUUAUAUAUUUAUUUUUUUUAACACCCACUCUUUCUUUAACUGAAAUGAAGUGCAUUACUCAUUAAACAACCCAAUAAGGUAUGUUAAUGUUGUUGGGUUUUAAGUUUUUUAAUCUUUAGGAAAAUUUAGAAAUUUUCCUCACAUUAUAAUGUUUUAUUUUCACCAUUUUUUCUUAUAUGUAGAAAUAUAUGCAAUGUAGGUCGUUUCAUUAUUUUUUUCAGCAAUAUAAUUUAUUUAUGGUGAAAAUAUUUCACGUCGUGCAUUCCUUUUGAUACUGUGUACGUCAUGUAAUUAGUCAUGUAGGUCAUGUAAGUAAUAUAACCGUGUAAGUCGUGUAGUUUAUGUAAGUAAUAUAGUCAUGUAGGUUGUGUAAGUCAUGUAAGUAAUGUAGUCGUGUAAGUCGUGUAAGUCAUGUAAGUAAUGUAGUCGUGUAGGUCGUGUAAUUACUUGUAUAUGAAAUUUGAUAUUAUUAUUUUUGUUGUAUCAUCAGAUAUGGUUUUGGUACGUGUGCCUAUUCUCUUCAAUGGUGAAUGGAUUGAGCAAAAUGAUAAGUAUGAGUUCAAAGGUUCCAAGGCUAAAGGGAUAAUGAUACCACAAUCGACAACAUAUGUCGAAUUGGUGGAGAAGAUAGCUCAAGUUAUUGAUAUAGACACGUCAGAAUUCGAAAUCACAAUGAAAUUCACGCUUAAGACAUUUGAUCGUAUGCCACCAGUUACAAUUCAAACCAAUGAUGAUGUUGAAUUUUUUUAGAUUCCAAUUUAAUUUCACUUCUUUUUUCUAAUAAUUUUCGUUGACAUUUUAUGACACCAAAUCGUGUGUUCAUAAAUUGCAGAAAAAAACUAAAUUUGCACAUCCGACAGUUUGAGAAAUGAUUAAAUUAAUUAGUAUAAAUAAACAAAGUUAUCAGUGCACAAAUUUUUCAAUAUUUGAAUAAGAUACACUAAUGAACAUCGCAAUUAAACAUAUUAUAACCAUUUAAAAAAGCUUUUUUUGUUUUAUCUUCAAAGUGCUUUCUUCCUCUGCCCAAGCAUACAUGAGGAAUGCAUGCAUAUAAUUAAUCCAUGAAAUCAAUUAAGAAAUAAACAUCAACUAUAGGAAAUUAAUGUAAUGUUAUACACAUACGAACACCAUUUGCAGUCGUGUAAUCGUGCAAUACAUGAAGGUCGUGUAAUCGUGCAAUACAUGAAGGUCGUGUAAUCUUGCAAUACAUGAAUGUCGUGUAGUCGUGCAAUACAUGAAGGUCGUGUAAUACACAAUUUUGAAUCUUACAUAACCUUACACGACCAAAUCGUGUGUUACAUGAUAAAAUUAUAAUUAGCACAAUCCAUUAAUUUUUCACAAUUUGCAUGCAGCAAAACAACUAAAAAUUUGUUUUUGAACAUGCUAUGAGAGACCCGUAACUAAUUAAUCUAUUUUUUCAAUAUAAAACCCUAACUUUUUGUUUUUGAACUAGGCUUCUCUUUCUCAGUUGUGGCAGCUUCCCAUUCUCAAGCUCAAUUUGCUCGUGUUGAAGUUCGAUUUAGCAUGUAUGGAGAAUGAAUGUUUGUUUUGGUAGAGGUGAUGCCGGUGAGCGAAUUGCAGAGGUGAUGCUGGUUGAUAUUCGAUUUAGCAUGUAUGAGAAUGGGGGAUGAAUGUUUGUUUGUUUGUUUGAGUAAAGAUAAUGGAGGGAAUUGCAGCCGAUAUGAGUGUUUGUUUGCUUGAGUAGAGGGGGGAGAGGUACUGUCCGUUGAGUUGAAAUGUUUUAAAAUGAGGAUAGUUUAGUAAUUUUGUAUCAGCUUUUAAAGGGUAUUGAUAAAAAUUUUGGCAAAAUUAAAUUUUAGGGUAUUGAGAUAAUUUUUUAAGUAUGGAGGUGUACCUGCUGCAAUUAACUCAACAAUUACUCUCAGUCUCCCAACAAAAUAAAAUCAUCCUAGUUUUACUUUAUGAAGCGUAUGGGUCUUGAUUCUUCGGUCACCACCGAAGACAACCAAAGGAUGAAAAAAGUCAAACAAGAUGAGGAGGAAUAAGAAAGAGGAAGAGCAAGUCAAAGAAACUAGCUUCACAAAUCUAUAUGAGAAUUCCCUGCUCGAGGUGUUGAAACACGCGGACACCAGGACUUCGUUGCAGGUGGCCUUGCGUCAACAAGCUAUGGCACAAGACACUCAAAAUGAGCACCUUUGGAAAUUAAUUUGCACCCACCACUUCGCUAACGUUGGGUGCACUGCCCAACAACUCAGAUCUGUUGUCCUGGCUCUUGGUGGCUCCCGUCGCCUUCACUCCCUCUAUCUCGGUGGCUCCCGUCGCUUUCUCUCUCUGCCAUUCUUUCUCUCACAGUCGAAACCAAAACUCAAAUCCCUAACUCCCCAGCCACAAAACCUCUCAUUUGCCUCAACAAAACAAAAUCAAUCCGUACUCCUUCUCUUUGAUUAUUCGAAAGUUAGAAGCACCUUAAAUAGUUCUCUCUGAAAAGCCAUUCACCCAAACCCUAACCUCACUAAUAAAAUUUUUAUUAAUAGUGAUUUUUUCAAUUAAUUAAGAUAUGGGUUCAUUGGCAGAGAAACAAAGGUUAGUGUUUGCUCUAUUUCUUUCAUCGAUUUUCUUUCUCUUUUUGAAAUUUUUCUAAUUUUCUCUUAAUUUCGACUGUGAUUUUAUUGUUUCUAUAGCUGUAGUUUGAUAAAUGUUUCUUGAUUUGAUGGAAAGCAUGAUUUAUUACAUGUCUGCUUGAGAUAAGCCGGUUAGUAAUUUGUUUUUUAAAUAAUUAUAUGUAAUAUUUGUUUUGAUUCGCAUAUCGUAAACACGAUGUUAUUGCCUACUAACUAAUUAUAGACUUCGAUUUACAUUCACUUAAAUAGGAUAUGAUUAUGUAUCCUUUUUUUUUUUUUUGGCUGUUUGCUGAUUGUGUUAUUUAUAGUGUUGUUAUUGGCGGUUUAUAUGGUGAGUAGGGCAGUAUUUUAAUUGAAACAAUUAAAGAUAUGGGGAAUUAUUAGGUAGAAAGUGGCUGCAGGAGGAGGUUCUCCUAUUGCAGUAUGCCUAAAUAGUAUUCAUUUUGCCCCUUUUUUUUUUACUGCUGACUAUUGUUCCUUGUGAAUGCGUUUCUAAUCCAGAGACUUCGCCCUGUGGUAUCCACUUUGAGAAACUACUCAUCUGCAACUAAACAGGUAAUUGUGCCUUUUAUAACUUAUUACUUGUAAUGCAAUGAUUUUGGCUGUAUGAUGAUUGUAUUCUUCUAUAUGUAUAGGCUUUUAUUAUUAUUAUUAGUGAAUCAGCUGAAUGCUUAAGAUAUUCUAAUACUAAUAGUUAUGUUCUUCAUUAUACUUACAAUGUAUGGAUUUUGAUGCAUUUUAAGAAGAAUAUGAAAUUAAAUAUUUGACUGUAGGGACAACAAAUAUGUUCGAGCUUUUAUUAGUAUAAUAGUAUGUGAAUUAAAAAUAUUAUAAUUUGAACAAACUCCGAAGCUUUGAAACUAUGCACUUUCAUGUUGCUAUUUGUGACAGUGGAUUUUGAUUGCUCUUUGUUAGCGACUCGCUUUUACUUGUUUGCUAAUGUUUAUAAUUCGUCCAUCUCAUUAUACUUGAAAGUUGGUGAUUCUAUGUAAUUUAUAAAUCCAACCGGUAUCUUCUUAUUUAAAUCCGUAGGCCAGAAGCAAAGCAAUCUUUUUAUGCAUUGGCUGUAUUAGUAAAUCACAUAGAUAAAAUCACAGGGUUUAUAUUGUUACUUAUUUCUUUUCUGUUUGCAGGAAAAUUCCUAGGGAUUUGACAGAGGCAUCACUAUCUGGUGCAGGAUUAUCCAUAAUAGCAGCCCUUUCUAUGUUGUUUUUAUUUGGAAUGGUAGGUUGCCACUUGCAUAGUUGUGCCUCUUUUGUCGGAUAUCAUGGGUGCAUUUUGCAUAUUCAGUGUAUAUUAUCGUCCACCUGGAUUGUUUGUGUAACAUGAUGCUUUCAUGGAGUUCUAUUUGGCUUUUCAUUGUUUCUAGAACAGAUUAAAUUUAACAAAAACUAUUCGCAAUUUUUCUGUAGGACCUGAUUUAAGACCCACUGGUUCUGAAUUCCACUCAAUGCUUGUUAUACAUUCGCUUAAGCAUGGAGAGGAAGCUGAUGAUGAUUCUGUUGAAGGUUCUCAUACGCUAACUGCCAAUAAUUUUGAUAGCUAUUCACAUGAGUAAGUGAGCCUUCUCUGAACCACAACUUAUAAUUUUUAUUUUCAAUUCUGUGAUCACAAUAUUUCUCUGCUAUGUGGCAAUUGCAAUGAUGCCUUCUUUGAUUUGUAUUAUAUUUCCUUUCCAGGUAUCCUAUUUUAGCUGUCAAUUUUUAUGAUCCAUGGUGCUACUGGAGUAAAUGCCUGGUAUUUUUAUUUUCACCUUUUGUUUCUCAAAUUUUGUCUUGUUGCUUUUUGAUUAUUGUUGUCUAGAUUUACCUUAUUGGAUCUAUUCUUUCUCAUGUUUGUGUUGAUGUAAUUGCCAGAUAUAAUAUUUUAAAUUUAUUCACUUGGAUGUCAUGUUUGUGCCUGCUCAUAUGCACACAUAUUAAGUUGAUUAACUCCAUUGCUCUGUGCGUCCACUGACAGUUGCACACAAAUUCCUUCAUUACUUUGGUUAACUCCAUUGGUCUCUGUGUUUGUGUUGAACUUUCCAUGCCUGUUAUACAACCAAGCAUGGGUUUUCUUUUGUUUGUUUGACUGUAUUGUUAGACUUCCCCUCAUGAUGUUGUUAAUAAUUUCUCCUCUUUCUCUUGGACAACGGUUAAAAUAAUUUUUAUUGUUAGUAUAAUAUGCUUGUCUUGCAUGCAUUUAUAUGCCAUUAGGAAACUAUGCAGAUUGCAGCAUGUAAAUUUUAUCAGUUUUUUUAUUGUGCAUGUCUUGAAUGGUGCAGGAUGACUUACAAUAAACCAAAGCAUGUAUAUGGGUCAAAACUAAAUAAUUAGAGCAAAUGUCAAAUUGGUACAUGGAAACAAUAAUAGAAGACUUCAUUUCGAUUACCGAAAGAAAGAAUCCGCGAAGCAAUAAACAUGUGUUGGAAGAUUGUGCUGUUACUAUAUAUCAGAUUAUAAAUUAUUUGUAGUUGGUAAACAAUGUAAUAAGUUUCAAACAAUGUAAUAAUUUUUAAAUUGUUCAUUGCAAUGUAAUAGUUUUCAUAUGGAUGAAUGUAAAUUUCAAUUCAAAUGCCAAUUGCAAAUUUUCAAUUUCUAUUAUAUGGAUUUCUAUUUUUUUUUUUAAUUUUUCUCAAAUAAACAUUGAUACCAAAUUAUCGUUAUAUUUAUUAUGCUUUUGUAUCAUUAUUUGUUUGAUACCAUAGUCUCAUUAUAUAUGUGAUGUUCAAGCAUCAAUAUUUUUUUGGUACUAUAGUGACAUAGAUUCGCUGAUACAAAAAACUUGUGUCAGUAAAUUUCUUGCACCGUAUUCAGUGACACUAAACUCGGUGUCAGUAAAACAAGCUCUUGAUAUCAAAAUAGUAUCAAAGAAGGCCAUUUUUUUACUAGUGUAAGAGACAUCGAUUCAGACAACAUAGCAAUGAAGUAAUGUAGGAAGUAUAUUAGAUAAAAUAAAUUAGAAUUUAUUAGGAAUUAUAAUAUUUGGGUAUUUAGUAUUUUAUUAGAAUUUAUCUUAUUUUUUAAACUUAUUCGAUCAUGUUUAGAAUUCUAAUCUAAUUAAGAUUUUAGAUUAUUUAUCUUAUUUAAGAAGGAUUAAGAUUAAGUUGGCUACUUAGUAUAUAUAGGCUUGUUACUGAUAGUUCUUUAUAACAUACAUAAGCUUCUCAUCAAUAAUAUUUAAUAUUUCUUAAUUGAGAUACUUUCUCCUUCGUGAGAGCAUUUUUUCUUGAAUUUUCAAGAACGUAUGUUAUAAUGAAAUUUAGUAUCGCUUAUGCGAUGCGUCAAGUGGUAUCAGAGCCUUUCUUUGUAUUAGGCAGAGCUUUCCUGACCAUCAACCAUUCCCCAUACACAAAUCCUCCCUCCAUCAUCCAUUACUUUCAUUAAAAAAAAAAAAAAAGAAGAAGAAGAAGAAAAAGUCAGAAAAAUAGCAAAACCCGAAGCCACCUCACGUCCACCAUCUCCAGCUGCUGCCUCUGUCAUUCUUCACCUUUUUCAUGCUUUAAUAAAAUUUAACAUAAUGCUCACUAUUUUGUAUAUUAUUAAGGACCAUUGUAUGAUUAAUCAUGAAGUGUAUAUUAUUUUUCACAUUAAUUUAGCACAACCUAUACCAUGAAAUUACGGAUUAUAUUACAGUGAAUACUUUUAUAUGGUAGGAAUAUAAAUUUAAGUUUUACAAGCCUAUUUUCAUUUAAUUUUCCAAUAUCACUUUGUUGAUUUCGUAAAGUUGAAAUUAACAUACAUUCUUAAUUAGUUAUAUAGUUUAUGAAUCAUGAAAGAUUUUUGUUGUUGAUAUUCAUUGAUUGUGGUUACAAAAUUUUAUGUCACUAAGAGGCUGAUUGCAUUUAUGAUGGUAAUUAAUAUAAUAAGUAAAUAUUACCUCCAAUAAUAUUCAUGAAAUAUUACCUAUUUAUUUUAUAUUCUCGUUAUAAAAGCAUGGUUUUGGAUAUUUUAACUUAAAUUUUGACACAAAAAAUGAGCCAUUAAUCUCUCACAAUCUAAUGGUUGAUAUUAAAAGUCAAUGUAAAAUUUUAAAUCAUCCACCAUAGUAACUGAAUUGUGUGAAAUCAAUAAUUUCAAUUUUGUAUUAAAAAUUUAAGAUAAAAUAACUUAAAAGCAAAAGGAUACCUAAACGCCCUUUUGGCUAUAAUACCCUACAUAGGUAGUAACUUUUAAAAAAAUUAACGUUAAAAUAUUUUUAAUAAACACAAAUAUACUUUAAAUAGUUUAUUUUGUCUAAUAGACUAAAAAUAAUGGAAUAUUUGUAAUAUGUAUAAAAUAAUUUUUAAAAUGUAAAUUAUAAUAUUAUUUUAAUAAUAUCUUUUUAUCUAUUAUAUAAUUUUUAAAUAAAUAUUUGGGUUAAAUAGAUUUUACAACUAAUAAAAAAAUCUCAUGUAUUGAUAAUAUUAAAAUUAUUUUAUAUAAAUUUAAAAUAAUUCGAAUCUUUAUAUAUUUAUUUUAAUAUUAUGUUUAUAUCCAUUAUAAAAUUUAGUUUAAUCUAAUAUAAUACUGUAAAGUAUUAAAAUAUUUUUUGAAGAUUAAAAUUAUUUUAAUAUACAUAUGUUUAUUUUAUUUUUUUCCUUUCGGAAGCGAAAGCAAGUCCAUGCCCGACAACUUGGGAGGAGAGGCUAAAGGCAAAAACUGGAACAUUUUUUUUUUAUGUGAUAAUUUCUUCUUUCUAUUAUAUAAUUUCUUUUCAAAGAAUUUGUUAUUUUGUUGCUUGUUUAAUGGUAAUUCGGCAAUUUUUUUUGAAAAAACAGAGUAUCAAUGACUCUUAGGUCUCAAAAGUGAUAAGCUAUCCGCAUAUUUUAAUAUUUAACACACAACAUUAAAUAAUUAGUAAUUCUGGUCUCGAGCCCCUUCAAGUAUACCAAACAACUCGCGCUCAUCGCAUCUAUGUACGGCAUCUUUUCCAGAAAAAACAGAGUAAUAAAACAAAGCAGAGUAUUUACUUCGGUCCUUUACUUUCCUUAAUUUUCACCUCAUGAGAAAUCAAAUCUCAAAAUUCAAAGCUUCGAUUUGAUGGGCCAAGAAUGCAAUUUUGAUUCAUGGAAGGCACAUUCUGAUUCUGUCCAACUUUUUUAACCCAAGCCAGGCAUUUUCUGGUAAUUUAACAGGGAAAUAAGCAGCAAGAACUGAUACAAUAAACAAAUACAAAGAAAGUAAAUGAAAUGCGAUCUGCAGAGAAAAUAAAAUUGAAACUGAGAUGCGCACUUACACUGUUACACGUAGACUCAGAGAAAAUAAUAUUCACUAGGCUGUGCCCUUCAUUCGAGUUGUUUAAAUCUUUUAGGUUGUGGUUCCUCAUCAUCAUUACAGCAGCCACUUCCACUAGCUUCAGCCGCCCCAACAUAUUCUUCAAGACUUCGCUUUAGAAAGCUUCGCUCAGACGACGUUGUUGAUCCUGCAUCAUCCCGGCGGCAACUUCCACUGCCUUCUGCCCUGUCUAAGUCAUCAUUACGGCUAUGCGUAAAGGAUGUUGAUCCUGAACAAUCGUGACCAAAUUCGUUCAAAUUCCAAACCGGAUCAGUUGUUUGGUUGAACUUAUCCCCUUGAUGCACAUAUAUUGGAUGGACACCACACCUCUUCAACUCCAAUCCUGACGGCGAAGAAAAUUCCACUUCACUAAUAUCUUCCCUAUUCUGGUAGUAUAGGAAAAGAUGGUCUGACAUAGCCUGACCGAAUUGCUUUCUCAAAUAAAUGCUACACAUACCCGAGGAGGUAGGCUUUCUAUCUAUGGACAGCUCAUGUACGGGAAGCCCUUGUAUAUAAUAAGGAAGUGAAUAUUUAGGGACAUGAAAAACACAGCACAUAGCAUAUCCCACAAGCUUACUAUUCUUAUACGUCUUUGGAGGCGUGCUUAUUGUUAUUGAAGAACCCUCAUUAUUCUGAUACUCGAACCACUCUGGGAUUUCACUUCCAGGAACAAUUAUGUAACAAUAUCUCAUAUAGUCCUGAAACCUCACAAAUAUAUAUAUAUAUAUUAGAAAGCCAUACCAAUGCAUAAUUUUUAGGCAUAAUUUUAGCAACAGGUGAGAGACAGUGUAAGAAACUGACAUUAGUCUGUUUAAUGUACUUGUCCGACAGUGACAUAUUCUGCAACCCCACGGAAAAAAAAAGUGAGUAAAUAAAUAAAAUAAAAAGACAUAACAUGUAUUGCAUCAGUUUUAGGCAUAAUGUUAGCACAGGUGAGAGUGAGAGACUGACCUCAGAAUUUUUAAUGUACUCUUUCAGCAGUGAAAGCGCCAAAUCAUAGUUGCCAGCCAAUUUCAAGCAAUCCACACAAGGAAGGUGUAAGUACGGGAGUUGAUGCUCGUUUAAAUUUAAUACAUCUGAUAAUGUCUUCAACGAAACACAACCGUCUAACGAAAUCCAAUGUAUACUGGCUGGAAGUCGAGGCAGAUUUUGAAGCAUUUUGCAUUCCUCUAAAUCAAUACUCGAAAGUUUAGAAAGAUGGUAAAUGCUUGCCGGCAGCGUAAAAAAAUUGUUUCCACUCAGAUGUAACUCUUCUAAUGAGCAUAAGUCGCCAAUACUACUUGGGAUUGCUCCUUCCCCUAGAUCACAGUCACUGAUAUCCAAUUUCGUUAAACUACACAAACCUGACAGAGAAGACGACAAACUCAAAGCCACCGGAUCUGAACUCCAUCGCAUCAAAUUGAUAGGGAAGCGCAGAAACCAUGAUGCAGAUGAUGGUGAUCCUUUGCACCCAUGAAAAGAUAGUUCUUUAAGAUUCUUCAUAAGAAAAAUUGACGAUUGAGGUUGCCUUAUAGCUGUACCACUUAUAUCAAGGAUUUCCAAACUUUCUACUUGCCCAAUCGUCUCAGGCACAUUUUCAAGUUUGAAGCAGCCUGAGAGAUUCAAAGUUUUGAGGGAUUUCAAACCAUUUAUACUGCUAGGAAGUCUCACGAGACUUCUGCAGUCAUUCAAAUUUAACAAUUCAAGUCUGGUCAAAAGUUCUAUUGAUGAUGGUACUUCUGCAAUAGAAGUUCCAUCUAAAAAGAGCUCUGACAGAUCUUCCAUACUUAUCACACUCUCUGGAAAUUUCACUAUUUUCGAGCAACCAGAGAGCGUUAGAGUUCUUAGACAUUUUAAGCUGCUUGCAGUAAUUGGAAGAGUCUCGAGAUUUCUGCAAUCCUUCAAAUUCAACAAGACAAGUUUGAAUAGAAGCUUAAUAGAUAAAGGUAGUUUUUUGAUAUCAGUUUCAUCCAAAAGAAGUUCCCGUAGACACUCCAUACUUCCCACAACGCGUGGAAGUUUCCUCAAUUUCAAGCAACCAGAAAGAACAAGUGUUUUAAGCGAUUUCAUAAAUAUCUCACCCGGAAGAGUUGUAAGACUUGUACAACCUUUCAAAUUCAACAAGAUCAGCUUAUUGUGACGUAGUAAAGACUGGUGAAUUUCACGCAACCUUGUACAUCCUUCAAGAUCCAACUCCUCUAAGUUUGGGACCUUUGUGAAGUCUGGUGUCUUAAUCAGAUUCUCUGAAUGGCUGAGUUUCAUGAGUCUCAACAUGUUUAAAGGCUGUUGAAAACAAAAAAGGAGCUAAAAUGAUAUUUCUUAAUUCAUAUACUACUAUAAUAAUAAAACUGUUAUCAACAAUUAUUCUCUCAAAAAUCUAAAUUUGUGACAAAAAAAAAUUGAACUUACUUUGAAUCCUUUCCAUAAUUCUUCAAUGCGGCUGUAACACAUUUUAAAUCCAACAAUUUCAUCCAAUUGCAAAUUUGAUGGCAAAGAUUUCAAAGGAUACCGACGCCAAUCAAGUAAUCGCAACCUGUUAGAGAGAUAUUCUAGGCCUCUAGGAAGUUGCACAUUACUGAUUUUGAGCAGUCUUAGGUUGGUCAUCUGCGAAAAUGCUUUAGCACUUGCACUUAAGUAAACCUCAUUUUCAGGAAAGUAGGCAUUAACUAUUAUUCCUUCCACUACUUCACCUCCCUAAAAAUUAUAAGCAAACAAUAAGUAGAUAAAACAAUAAUGUAAAGAUGUUGAAAAUUCGUCAGAGAUAUAAUUGGGAAAAAUAAAGUAGCAACCAUCAACAAGUUUUCCAUUUAAUAAUUCACUUACCGUAUUGUUUGUCAACACCUGGCGCACUUCUUCUUCCCUCCAUAUUCUGCUACGUUUCCCAGGUUCUUCGGGGGAUUGUCUCGUAACAAUCAGUUGUCCCAAUUCCUGUAACAAAUCAUGCAUCCCCAGUGUGUUGUUGUCAUCAACAGUUAAUAGAGACUUUUCGAUAAGAACUUCUAUUCCAAUGACUGGGGAAAAACCACAUCCCUCUAGAAUUUUUGUUACACCAUCUCUAUUCUUCCAUUUAAAGAAACAUGCAACAUCGAGAAAUAUUUUCUUCUCUGAAUCUUGUAGUCCUUCAAAACUUAUUUGAAGUAUACUCAUAAUCUUAUUUGAAGGAUCUUUUUUUAGUCUUUCUAGGGCACUUCUCCAUAGAUCUGCAGAUCUACCAAUUAGAAAGGAUCCCAAAACUUUUAGAGCUAAUGGAAGACCACCAGCAUACUCCAGAACACGUUUAGACAGCUCCACAUAUUCUCCCAUAGGCUGAUGGCUUUUAAAAGCUUUGGUACUAAAGAAUUGAAGAGCUUCAUCGUUAUUUAGUACAUCAAGGUCAAGAAUAUGCUCUUCAUCCACUUCAUGUGCCACCAACAACUGUCUAUCUCUCGUUGUUAUUAGAAUCCUGCUGCCUGGACCGAACCAAUCACGCCUUCCAACUAACCUUUGUAAUUGUUCAACAUCAGCCACAUCAUCGAUUAUGAGAAGAACUUUUUUCCGUUGCAGCCUACUUCCAAUUAUGUUAAUACCAUCGUAGACAUUCUGUAUGCUAUAAUCUGAAAGCUUCAGUAAAUCAGAAAGAAGCUGCUUUUGUAAAGAGAUUUCAUUGCCUUCUUUUUCAGAUUUUUCUCUAACAUCGGCAAGAAAACUACUCCCAUCAAACUCAUGAGACAUCAAGUCAUAAAAAACCUUUGCAAGAGUUGUCUUUCCUAGACCUCCCAUGCCCCAUAUCCCGAUCAUACGAACAUCAUUAGACCCCAUACCCAUAAGAAACCUCAGUUGCUCCAAGCGUGAUUCCAUUCCUACUAGCUCCUUAAGAAUCUCUGGUUCUAAACGAAUUUUACGAAAUAUGACAUUGGCAAUUUCCUCAAUAAAUUCUGACUCAUUGCUGCAGAUUGAAAACAACAAGAAAAGAUUGGCGUUGUUAAAUUAAAGUUAGUAUGAACGUAGUAGCAAAUCAAUUCCAUAUUGUGAAUAAAAUCCAAACUAUGCAAUAUUCAUUUCAUCAAAUUGAAGCCAUAUAAUUAAAUAAUAUGUUAUUAUUACAUCAGUCAACAACAAUUGGAAUGAGAAAUUCAAGCCCAACCCAAUAAAAAUUGGAUUGGGUUGCAUUGUGAUUGGUAAUUUCAAAAUUUAUAUAUUAAAAUUUAUAUAUUGUUUCUUUCUACAACAGGAUCAGUUAGUUGAAAAGACAAUUUAAAUCAAUUAGAUUAGCUAAAUAUGUAAUGAUAUUGAUAUCAUUCGUAUUGAGAUUAUUGCCAUUGUUAUUAUUAGUAUUUUGCAAAUCUAGGUCAAGAGUCAAUUCAUAGAAGAAAAUUAUAUUAAAAUAAAUAGCAAAUGACAAAACAGAGCAGUUUGCAAGCAAGGACGCGGAUAGAUUAAUCUAGGAAAUAAAUUGACUAAAAUUAUAAUCACAAGCUUAAAUCAUUAUAUUGAGAUGCCUAAGCUUGGGCAAUAAUCUAGGAAUAAAGUUUUAUUUUACUUUUUUUUUUUUUUGCAAAACUGAUAGCACAAAGCAUCGCAGCAUAAAAACAUUUAGUCAUCAAAAGUUCAAAAUACAAUAAUUCAACGUAUCAAUGUCCAUAUCUCUUUGUUUGCAGAUAUUAAUUCAUUUAUAAAUUUUAGAUUAUUCUCCUCAUGAUUUGAAUAUCUUCAAAUCACUCCCUUUUGAACACCUCAAUUACCCUAUUUUUGUUCAAAAGAGAAGGAAAAAUGGGGUGAGUUGAUGAAAUAUUUUUUUAUUCUUAACAAAAAUGGGAGGUAAAUUGAGAUUUUCAAAAUUAAAGGUAUAAUUUAAAGAUAUUCAAUUCAUGGGAGGAACCCUCUUCCUACACAUCAUAUGAUAUAUAUAUGUAUUAAAUAGAAGUUGUUUAAUUGAAAACAGUGUUGAAUGAAAAUCUGUUUUGUAGUUACUAAUCUUGCAAAACAAACAAAAUUAAUAGUUGAGAAAAAGAAUGAUUACCUAUCCUUAAAUUCCCAACCUGAUAUAUUGGCCACCACCUUUAAAGCGUGUCUCCACUUUUGCACUUUUUCUAUAUUAUCCUUGAAAAAUUCUUCAUGUUUAGCAAAAGCUUCUCCGAAACAUGUUGUUUGUUUUCUUACAACAGUUGGUUCCACUUCAUAAAAAAUUGGAAAAAUUUGAUCCUCUCUAUUUUUGCAUUCAACAAUCUUAAGAAGUUCAUCCAAGCACCAAGUGGAAGAAGCGUAAUUUUUUGAGAGAACAAUAAUUGAAAUUCUUGAUUCUUCAAUUGCUUUAAGGAGAUUUGGUGAAAUGGAUCCUCCUUUCUCAAGUUGUUUGUCAUCCCUGAAUACAUAAAUUCCUUUAUUGUUCAAAGCAGUGUAGAGAUGACCUAUGAACCCUUUACGGGUGUCUUCUCCUCUAAAGGUUAAGAAGGCAUCGUAUUCCCCAUGAGAGACAUUUUGGAAGCUCGUGGAAGCCAUUAUAUUAAUUUGUUCCUGAAAAUUUAGAAUAAAUCAAGUGAAAUCCAGUGAGCGUAAAAUACCAUGCAAACAAUAAGAUUCAUUCAAGAUUAUGGGCAGCACAAAAAUGAAAAUGUUAUAGAUUAUAUGUAAAUUCUACUUUUUUUAACCACCUAAAUGGUAACUCGAAUGAAUUGUGAUUGUAACUAGUAUUGCGUGACCAGUAUUGUAUAAGCAUUAAUCCGUGCACAGUAAUUUUAGGAGUAAUUAAUUAGAAAAAUUAAUAUAUCUAUUGUUUUAAUUUGCUUAUAGAUCUAAAUUAUUUACGCAUGAUAAAUCCCCAAAUGUAAUAGAAAUUUUUUCUAGAUGCUAAUCGGGGAUGCGCACACCGAUCUCUACUUAAGCAAAUCUUGAUUAGAGCCUCUAAAAGAAGGCAAAGAGUUUGUACAAAAUUAACAUUCAAAGAUUUCUUUCAAUUUUUUCAUUUUUUUCUUUUUCUGUACACUAAGAUGUGCAAAUUAAUUCUGAAAAUAAAAGAGAGAUUUAUGAGAUAGAACUUACAGCUUUUGAGUGUAUUGAAGGAAGCCACUUAAAUGAACUCCAAUGCAGUAUGAUUAUUAUAAUUACCACAAACUCCAAUGCAGUAUUUGUUUCAAAGAAUUUAUUCAUGCAAAUAUCUUUUGGGAAAAAAAAUAUUAAGCCAUUAGGAGUUGUGUGGUUGUACUAAUGUAUGAUUUUCCAAAAGCAAGUCUUGGUAAGAAAGUGACUUUCUUAAUAAUCAAUAAAUAUUGUCACUGUUUACUCACAUGAUGAAGUUAGCAUCGAACUUCCUGGAAGCUUCAAGAAUCUAAACGAAAAUUAUCAGGCUUUUCAAUUGAAUACGCGUCGUCCCCAUUCUGCCCAUUAGCCGUGUUGAAGCCAUUAAAAUGGAUUGGAAUCCAACGGUUGAUAUUAGUAAUUAAUUAAAAAUAGUUAAAAUUACCAGCAGUCUAUCGGAAUGGUAAACAUAGUGACCUUUAUUAGUAAAAUUUUAACGGAGUCCAAAUAGGUAGGGUUGGACAAACUCAAUCCAACCCAAUCUAAUCAAAUUAGAUUUAGAUGGAUUGAUUAGAUUAUAAUGGGCUAACUGACUCAAUUUUUUUUUUUUUCAAUUUGAUUAAUGAUUGAGUUAGGCUGGAUUCAUUAUCAUAAACUCGAAUAAUUCAACCAAACCCAAAAACAACAAAAAUCAUAAAAAAAAUUAACGUUCGGCUAUUAACUAUUCAAUCUUAAACCCAAUUUUGAACCCUAAAAGAGAUCUUGUUCAGUCUCUCUCAUUUAAACAUGAUAUUAAUUGAAUUCUCUAGACUAAAAUUCAAAAGUCAAAUCAAACUUUGACUAAAACUAAGUUGAUAGAUAUUCAAACAUUAAGUUAUAUUGUUUUAUUGACAGAUAUUGGAUAUAAUAGAUAACAUUUAAUGAUAUGAUGAAGAAUUAAUAUGUUUUUUUUACUAUUUGAAUGUGAUUUUAAGUACCAAAUAGCUUUUUUUCUUUUAACUUUGAUGUUUGAACUUUUUUCAUUUUUAAUUUUAAUCAAUUCGUUUGACCCAGUCCAAUGAUUUAAGGAUAAGAUUGGGUUGUCGUCAUAUUUAUUUGGUUGGGGAACUAAUCAAUAGUGGGUUGGGUUGGAUGCCCACUAAAGAGNNNNNNNNNNNNNNNNNNNNNNNNNNNNNNNNNNNNNNNNNNNNNNNNNNNNNNNNNNNNNNNNNNNNNNNNNNNNNNNNNNNNNNNNNNNNNNNNNNNNAAAUUAAAAAAUAAUAAUAAAUUAUAAUUUCUUCCACCAAUAUCAAUAAUUAAAUAAGAUUUAAUAUUAUAUCAACAAAAUAUGUUCAACUUAUGUUUAAUAAACUCCUAUUAAUUUUCACAAUUAUCCGUAAUUGUUGUGGGAUUUACUUUUAUCGUGUUUAGAACAAAAGAAAAAUUAAAUUUCUUUAUCAUAGAAAUAUGCAAAAUCCAUACACUGAAAAAAAAAAAAAGGUAUGCGAAACUGUAAUUACAAUUUAGAAGCUUCCAGUAAGAAUUGAUUCAACUUAUAAAAUCUGUGUUGUUUAUAAUUAAUAUAUAUACACCCUGAUCAACAAAUAUGGUAAAAUAUUAUUUAUCGAGAUCUAAAUUAAAAAAAUCUACAAACCUAAAGAUUCAUCGAGACUUACGAGAUUCAAGGAGAUAAAAUUAUUAAUGAUUAGUGUUAAAAAAGAGAAAAUAGAGAGAAAGAGAAAAAUAAUGUAAUAUAAUUACUACGAUAAUUUCUUUUAACAUGAAAUUAUCGAACAACAAAUUAAUAAUCUUCUUCUUAACUAAACAAACUAAUUAAAAGCCUCUCAUUUACUUCCAAAAUAUAAUUAAAAAAGUUUGUCAAAUGCUGAUUGGAGAGUGUGUUUGCCGACCUUUACUGAAGCAAAUCUUAAUUAGAGCCUCAAAGAGAAGCAAAUUAAAGGGUUGAGACAAGACAAAUUAAAUUACCAUUCAAAGCUUUCUUUCAAUUUUAUUUAUUUCCUGUUCUAAACAUCCAGGAUGUGCAAAUUAAUUCUGAGGAUAAAAGAGAAAUGUAUAAAAUAAAACUUACGGCUUUGAGUGUGUUGAACGAAGCCACCUAAUUGAUCUGCUCAACUCCAAUGAAGUGUUUUGAUUCAAAGGAAAGAAGGUUAAUCAGGCAAAUAUGCAAUUUCCAGCUCCCCAGAUUUAUUUGUACGUAUUCUAAAAGUAAGUCUUGGUCAUCUCAGAAAGUGGGUGGGAAAAAGCAAAAAAGGCCAAAGGAAUCUUUUUGACUACUUCAUAUACGUCUUGUGGGGUGGUUUUUUGUUUUUUGUUUUUGUUUUGGUUUGGGGAGAUAGGGGGGGGGUUCUCCGGGGAAUAAACCGGGUGUAUUUCGCAUGCCGCGUUAAAAGAUUGUAUUUGAGAUAAAAUAAAUCUUAAAGUUUUGAUUGCACAGGCAGCUACCUGUUGAAUUUCAAUGCAGUAUUGCUUCAAAGAAGCUAAGUUAAUCAGUGAAACAUAUUUGUGCAUAUGACGAUUAAAUAUGAAUUAUGUAGAUAAAACAUAAAACAUAUGAAUUUUAAAUUAAAACUUAUAAAUCAAUAUUAAAUAUAAAAUAAAACAUGGAUUGUGUAAUUAAAAUAUAAAACUUCUAAAAUAGAAGGUAAAAUAAGUAAAUUAAUUUAGAAGUGGUAAAUUAGUAAAUUAUGGGUACAUAAAAUAAAAAUUUAUAAAUAUAACAUAAAACUUGUAAACCAACAUUAUGUGUAAAAUAAAACAUAAGAUUUGUAAAUAGAAGGUAAAACAAGUUAAUUAAUAUAGGCAUGAUAAAUUGGUGUAUUAUUAUUAAACAAAACAAAAACUUACAAAUAUAACGUAAAGCUUACAAAUUAAUAUUAAAACAAAAACUGAGAAACAUAAUAUAAAACUUGUAAAUCAAUAAUAAGUUUAAAAUAAAACAUAAAUUAAGCAAAUGAAACAUGAGACUUGUAAACAGAAGGUAAAAUAAGUAAACUAACAAUAUAGGAGUGGUAAAUUGAUGUAUUAUUGGUAAACAAACAAAAACUUAUAGAUGUAACAUAAAAUUUUUAAAUUAGCAUAAAGUGUAAAAAUAAAAUAUAAAUUAUGUAACUAAAACAUAAGAUUUAUAAGAGGAAAGUAAAAUAAGUAAAUUAAUAUAAGAAUUAUUAAAAAAAUAAAAAGUUACAGAUGUAAAUUAAAAAAGAAUUAUAAUAAUGAUUCCCUUAUAUAUUUACUAAUUUUGUCUCUAAAUUGAAUAAUGAUAGUUUUGGGCUUAUGUAAUACAUGUGAUGAUAUAUUUAAAAUUUUAUUAAGAAUAAAACUCUUUUUAUAUUUUUUUAAAGUUGUUUUGUAAGAUAAGGUAAUUUUGCAUCAUUCUAAACCUCCUCGGCAAUAACUCAACGGUAUAAGAAGCAAAGCUUGAAACUAUAUAAAGUAUGCAUAAAACUGAAAAUUAAAUCAAUUUUAUUGAUAUAUCAUAUAUGUCUAGUACUAUAAAAAUAACUUUUAUUUUGUUUUGGCUUGAUCUACAUUAAGAAAAAUAAUUUUGCUUAAUUAACCGGUGUAGUAAGCAAAUAUGAUGAUUAAAAAUGAAAAAAAUUAUAAAUGUCUUAGGAUAAAUAUAGAAUUCAUGGUAUUCAUUAAAAUUUAUUCUAAAUUUGUUUUAAUAUAAUUUUUUCAUUUUCAAUUAAUAAGUGAUUUUUUUGCUUAAUAAGUGAUUUUUGCUUAAUUAAAAUAAAUAAAUCAACUAUUUUCUAGUCUAGUUAAAGUUUGAUGUUGAUUUAUAAGUUUUAUAUUAUUUUUACAAGUAUUUUUUAUUUUUAAUUUUAAAACAUCAAUUUACCACUUUUGUAUUAAUUUAUUUAUUUUAGUUUUUUUAUUAGUUAUAUGUGUAAAUUAUAAAAAUUUAUAUUUAUUACGCAAUUAAUUACGAUGUGAUAGAUUUUUCCUUGUGCACCUAUCUUUCAAGGGAAGGCAGAGGACUUUUAUUGAAUCUGGAAAAUUAAACCGAUUACACGGUUUCCAGCUCCCAGUUGUGUUGAAUCUUGGUCAAAAAGUGUGACUCUUUAAGUAGCGUUUACUUUUUGGAUUGGAGUGGGAAUCCUAGGAUUCAGAGUGUUGAGUGGGAGUGUGAGUAGGUUGUUUACUUGCACUGGAAUAGAAGCAUGGAAUGGAGAUCAGAAUCCAAUUUAUGUGUUUAUUUUAUUUUGAAUUGAGAGUAAAUAGUUUCAAAUUAUAAUUUUAUCCUUAUUUAAAGAAUUAGAGUUUUUAAUUACAAAGUUAAUAAAAAAUAUAUUUAAUGAAUAAACAUUUAUUUUAUUAUAUUUGUAAAUUUAUAAUAAUUAUUAAUAUUCUUAAUUAUGAACAUCACAAUUUUUUAUUAAUUUUAACUUUAAUUAUAUAAAUUAAAAAUUGUUGAUAAGGGCAAUAUAAAUGAAAUAUUUUUACUAUUAACAUAGUAUGAAAUUAAUAUUUUCUUAGAAUAAACUAUUUAUUAGUAUUAAUUAUUCAUAUUAAAUAAAUAUAAUACUAUUAUUUUUAAAUAAAUAUAAUAAUAUUAUAUUUUCAAAUAAAGAUGGUAUAUAGUAAUAUUAUUAAUUCUCUAUUAAUAUAGUAUUAUUAUUUUUAAGUAAAUUAAACUUAGAAUCAAACCCAAUUAUUAUUUAGUUAAAUAUAAUAAUAAUAUUUAAAUAUUUAUUAAAUAUAAUUAUAGUAAAUUUAAUAAAAAGAAGGGUAAAUAUAAAAUGCAACAUUAUUUUAUUUUAUUUUAUUUUACAUAAUUAUAUUAAUUCAUUAUUUAUUAAUAUAAUAUUAUUUAGUACAAAAUUAAUAUUUUCUUAGAAUAAACUAUUUUUAUUAUUAAUUAUUAAUAUUAAAUAAAUAUAGUACUAUUAUUUUUAAAAUAAAUAUAAUAAUAUUAUAUUAUUAAAUAAAGAUAGCAUAUAGUAACUUUUAUUAAUUCUCUAUUAAUAUAAUAAUAUUAUUUUUAAGUAAUUUUAACUUAUAAUCAAUGUAAAUUAUUAUUUAGUUAAAUAUAAUAAUAUUAUUUAAAUAAAGAUAAUAUAAUUUAUUUUAUUUUUGGAGUGGGGAGUGGGAGUGGGACUUCCAUAGGGAGAGGUGGGAGUGGGAUUCCCAAUCCUUCCCCAAUUUGUUGAAGUAAACACUAGAAUUGGAGGAAUCCACACUCUUCACUCCCACUCCAAAAAGUAAACACAACCUUAGUCUUUACCCUACAAUAUGAAACUACCGUUCAAUCAAACUUUCUCUCAAUGAUAAGUCUCUUUAAUUGAAAUUACACGUCGUCGCCACUCGGCCUUGUUAGAGAGCAAUAAUGUCUUCAUCUGCUAAUGUUCUAAUAAUUUGUAAUAAUUAACUCAUCGACUAUGAUUCUGCAAAGAUAUUCAGCUGUAAUCACUUGCUUCGGAUUCGUGUAGGUUUAUCUUUAAUAUUAGUAUUAAGCCUUUGCUUAUCAGCUUAAGCUUUCCGAUUAUAUAUUGGCAAAUGGGAGCUUGUUGUGAGCUGAUAAUAAUUAAAGGAAGUUAAACCAUUUCCUUCGAGCCUCUGUAGUGUAGCCUCCACUAAACUUUGUUAUUUGCUGGUUCUGUUCUUAGUUGAACUUUGCUGACUUUGUAAUUUGUAUGCUUAUUGCUAAUGAUCCUUGCACUUUGCUGCUAGUGUAACGUUGAUUCCAUCGCUGCUGUUGCGCUUACUAGCUAGGAAUUCCACGAACAAAUUUCACAAAAGGUUUGUUGAAAUUGUUGAAAAGGCAAAGAAUGUCUUGCAAAUUUCAAAAGGCAAAGUUGGUGGGUUUGCCAAAUUAAAAAAAGCAAACUUGGUUGGCUUGCUAAUUUCAAAAGACAAAGUUAGGUGUUGAAAAGCUUGUGCAUGCAAUACAAGAUCCAGCUCAAUGUUUUGACCAAUUGAACCCAACUUGGAGCAUAAUGCACUCUAUAAAUAGAGAAGUAUUUUGCAAUUGUAAGCAUCCCAAUUUGAGAGAAGUAGAGAGCAAUUGCAACUGAGUUCUUUGAGAGAAUUUGAGAGAGCUUCCACUUGAGUGUUCUAGUGAGGUUCCAUUUGGGUGUAUUCGGGUUGUGGGUUUUGUGAGUUUUUCCCACUUCUAUAAAUUUCCAUUUGUUAGUAAAAUUAUCUUCUAGUUUUUUACCCGUGAACGUAGGCAUUACGCUGAACCACGUAAAUUAUUGUGUUAUAUUUUCUUUGCAUUUGUUUAUCACAACAUUUAUAUUUCUCUAGAAUUUGCAGUAUUAGUAAUUGCUCAACCCACGAUUCUGCAACAAUUAGUAUCAGAGCCGAUGGUUCGUACUUGGGGGGAUACGAUAUUUGAAAUAUAAGUGUGCAACCCAAGAGGGGGGGUGAAUUGGAAUUUUAAAAAUUAUCCUAGCAAAUCCACACAACAAGCUAUCUAAUGUCUUAAUAAAAAUUGAAAGCAAUAAGUUCAAUAAAAGCACAAUAAUUAAAUAGUAAGGGAGAAGAGAAACAAACACACGAAUUUUUACGUGGUUCGGCAAUCCCCGCCUACGUCCACGCCUCUAAGCGAUCCAAGCUUGAGGAUUUCACUAUCCAAGGUUUCAACCGAUUACAAUUGACUUUGAGGUGUCAAUAAACCUUUACAACAAAGAGAUUAUAUCCCAAUCUCUUCACUCAAGUGUCUCACACACUCAAACUCUUACAAUUGAGAUGAAUAAAUGAAGGUUACAAUAAAACUCACUCAAUGAGUAGAUAUUCAAAAAUGAAGAACAAGAAAUGAUUCAAUGUUUGUAUUUUGCAAGUUUUAAGGCUUAAGAUAUCACGUGUGCUUUUUGUUUUUGCUUAUUGGAGAAAUUCAAAAUGAGUUGGAUUUGAGUUCUUAUAGUUUGAGCUCAAAAAUUAGCCGUUACUCACAUUUUGGGCGUAUCCGGUUUGCCGUUUAUGGAAUCCGAUAAGCCGGAUUUAUGUUACCGUUUGAAUUUUGCCUAUCCGGCUUACUGGUUACGAAAUCCGGUAAGCCGUUUGCAUUCUGGAUGCUUACUGCCCCAUAUCCGAUUUUCCAGUUUUUAUAUCCGGUAAGUUGCUUGCUACAGUAACUUGGUACAGUGAAAUUUUUCCUAAAUUUUUAAUUUGACCCCCAAACUUUACAAAACUGUAGUAUGACCCAAAACGUUAUAAAAAUUUACAAAUAGGUCCAAUUUAAGAAUUUCUAAAUAAUGCUUCGUUAAUCCCAAAAUUUUUUGAAAUUAUGAUUUCGCCCAAACUUUGUGAAAUUAUAGAAUGGCCCAAAAUGUUAUAAAAGUUUGCAAAUAGAUCCAAUUUCAGAAUUUCUAAGUAAUGCUUCGUUAAUCCCAAAACUUUUUGAAAUUAUGAUUUUGCCCAAACUUUGUGAAAUUAUAGAAUGGCUCAAAAAUAUUUAAAUAGUUUCAAAUAGGUCCAAAUCCGAAAUUUAAAACAUUAUCAAAUAUUUUGAAAUUUUAGUCCAAAAUGCUUUAAUUCUAUAACAUCAUUUUCUUAUUAUAAAAGCACAAUUCAUAAAUCUUUGCUUAAUAAAUACAUGUGGUUUGUUAUCAUCAAAAUCAAUAUUUAUAACCAUAUAGGCUAACAAUCUCCCCCUUUUUGAUGAUGACAAAGCACAUUCAAAUUUAAUCUAGUUAUGAAAAGCUCCCCCUUAAUCAAUGCAAGUUAAAAAAUGAUUUGAAAAUUAUUUAACAAAAACUCCCCCUGCAUACAUGCUCCCCCUAGAUACAUGCAUAUUUUCAUAACACAUUAAAUCAUUCUCCCCCUUCAUCAUCAAAAAGAAUAAAGGCUCCCCCUAUCAAUCAUCAAAAUCGCAACAUAAGCACAUUAGUAAAAAAAAAUAUCCAUAAGCAUAAGAAAAUCCAUAUAAUCCAUAAUGAUCAAUCAAAACAAAUCCAUAACAUCCAACAUAAAUAGUCACAACAAAUCCAUAUAAUCCAAAACAAAGACAUAAAUCGAAAAGCAUAAUAACCAUCCAUAGAUUCGAAAAUAAACAAACACACAAUGCAGUAAAUGAAAUGUAGAUGUGUCCAAGUACAAGCAUAAGAUACUACUCAGGUGGUGAGGAUGGAGGUGAUGGAGGUAGAAACGGAUAUGGAAUGCCGAAGUGCUCGAAGAGGAGGCACUGUCCAUGAAUAAGCUGCUGCUGCUGCUGCUGAAACUCAGUUUGCCGCUGCUGAAACUCAGUCUGCCGCACAGAGAGUGUCUACACUUCAUCCAUAAUCUGCUGAAGAGUGACCUCUUCAGAGGUAGGAGGAUGUGGAGGUGAUGAAGCGGAUGCAGAUGCACUAGGAGCUGAAGCAACCGUGGAAGAAACUCGGCGUCUACGCUCCCCUCGAAAUGAGAGUGAGAAAACUGGAAGUUGUUCAGCUGGAAUCACAGCAUUAAGUGGCCGAUCAUCACUUGGGGUUAGAAGGGUAAACUUGUUAUCGCUGUAUUUGACCCAAGUGUCAUCCUUCCACUCAAAGCCUAACCCAAUAAUAACCUCAUCCCCGAUACCCUUGGACGGCCUACAAGAUGGUUCUAGAAUCUGUACUUCAAAGAAUUUAAGAAUUCGGGUAAUGAAGUGACCAUAAGGAAGAGAGAGGGUAAUCAAGGCGGGAAUGCUCAACAUGGUGCGGAUGAUGGAAUAGCCCAAGUUAACCGGGCGACCUCUAAGAAUACAGUCAAUCAUGGCGACAUCCAUGUGAGAAACCUCAUCCAAAUGUCCUGAUCUAGGAAGUACAAUGGACUGGAUGAUACGAAGCAAAAUACGAGUUUGAAGACAAAGACACUGAGUACGAAAAUGAAUGGUACAAUCUUCAACAGAAAGAUCACUACGUCGACAAAUAUUACGAACGGCAUCAACAUGAACAUAGUCAUCAAUAUCAGGAGGUUUCCUAGGAGAAAAAAUGUCCAAGCCAUCAUCGGAAGAUCCUAGGAUGGAGUUCAACUCCGAAUCAUCAAAUUCAAUCAAAACUCCUUCAACUGUGGUGAUUACUUGAUUCUCUUUCUCCGCGGAACAAUCCAUAUUCGAGUAAAAUACUUUCACCAAGUCGGGAUACACAUUCUCCUCAAUCAACAAUGCAUCAAUCCAACCAACAUCUCCCAACAAUUGAUAUUUCUAUAACUAAUCUUGAGAGUAUGCAUAACAUCCGGUAAAACAAAGAAAGUGUUGAGUACCUCACGAGUCCGAAAGUUUUGUUGAAACCGUUUGAUCAAGUGUUGCUUGUUCUGAAAAUGAAUGGACUCAAAAGUGGAUUGAUUUGAGGUGCCCCUUGCUUCCCGUGGCCGGGUGGUUUGUUGAACCGGUUCUUUGCCUUUUCUUCGAACCGGCCGAGAGUUUGACAUUUUGAUUUUGAUGGAUGUGAAGAUAAAAACACCAAAGAGAAUGAAGAUGAUGAAGAUUGAAAGUGAUUUAGAGAAACAAAUUGGAUCAAAAACGGCUUGAGAGUGAGAAAUCUAGAGAGAGAAAAAUCAGCCAAAAACCUAGGUUGAAAUUCGGAUCUAGGGAUUUGGAGGUUGAAAAUGAGUUUUGAGUGUGAUUUUAGGUAUAAGAACGGAUGGGGAUUAGGAUCUAUGGAUUGAUUUGCAUCAAAACCGUGUAGAAAAGGUGGAUUUGUGAGUGAAAAAUGAGAGAGAAGGACCGGUUUUUAGAGAGCGAACAAGAACCGGAUUGCUGAAUGAAAAAGGAAGAAGAACAGUUGAAAUAGCUCCCGAAACUGGCUUGCCGGUUUGCACUAUCUGGCUAGCCGGUUGAGACCAGAAGCUUGAAACCCGUAAACGGCUUGCCGGUUUGACUUGAACUGGAAAUCCGGUUGUGACCAGCAAGUCCUUCACUCGAAUCCGGUUUUCCGGAUAACACGAACCAGCUUGCCGGUUGGAUCCAAAAGAUAGCAAGUGAGAAUCGGAUUGCCGGUUUUCCUGAACCGGUUGGCCGAAUGAGUCUAGAAUGCUGCCAAAGUGCAGCUCGAAUUCGGAUUUCCGGAUUGACAGAACCGGAAAUCUGGUUUUGUUCCAGCAAGCUUUCCUUGCGAAUCCAGCUUUCCGGUUUUGCUAACCGGUAGUCCGGUUUGAGGCAGAAAGUUACCUCUUCAAUUCGGUUUUUCAGAUUUUAAGAACCGGUUAUCCGGUUUUUAGGCAGAGAGAAGGCUUAGCAAAUCCGGUUUUCCGGAUUGAAAAUUCGGUUAUCCGAAUGUUGUCCCGAGAGCAACCAAAGUUAAUCCGGUUUUCCGGAUUGAAAAUCCGGUUAUCCGGAAUUUGUCCCAAGAGAGAUCAAUAAAAAAAGUGUUUUUCCGGAUGAAUGGAAAGGGAAUAUUUGCUAGCUCUUAUACUUGUACUACACACACCAUUUUAUUUCCGGCCUUAAAAAUUGAUUAAUUUUAAAUCAUUUUGAGAUUUAAAACUUUUCAAUAAGCCAUUUAAUGCAUAAAACACAAAAUCAUAAAAUCAUAAAUUUACAAGCAUAUCAAGUUAUUUAAUUCAUGAAACAUAAAUCCAUAUGAUAACAAAUAUAUUAAGCCAUGUAGUAAAACAUGAAUUAAGAUUCAACAUUCAUCAUUCCAAGCUCAUGUCUUAUCUUUAUAAAAUACUCUUCGCUAAGAGGUUUUGUAAAGAUAUCCGCAAGUUGAUUUUCAGUGGAAACAAAUUUAAUUACGACAUCUCCUUUUUGAACAUGAUCUCUAAGGAAAUGAUGUCUAAUUUCCAUAUGCUUAGUCCUAAAAUGUUGAAUAGGAUUCUUAGAAAGAUUUAUAGCACUAGUAUUGUCACAUAAGAUAGGAAUUUGAUCAAGCUUAAUACCAUAGUCUCUAAGGGUUUGUUUCAUCCAUAGAAUUUGUGCACAACAACUACCUGCGGCAAUAUAUUAUGCCUCGGUGGUUGAAAGCGCAACCGAGUUUUGUUUCUUACUAAACCAAGAGACAAGAGAAUGGCCUAGGAAGUGACAUGUUCCACUAGUACUUUUUCUAUCAACCUUAUACCCAGCAAAAUCGGCAUCCGAAUAACAAGUUAAAUCAAUAUGAGUUCCUCUAGGAUACCAAAGGCCAAGAUUAAUGGUGCCAAUUAAAUAUCGAAAAAUGCGUUUGACAGCAAGCAUGUAAGACUCUUUAGGACAAGAUUGAAAUCUAGCACACAAGCAUACACUAAACAUAAUAUCAGGCCUACUAGCAAUUAAGUAGAGUAAGGAUCCCAUCAUACCUCGAUAUGUCUUGAUAUCAACUUCCUUACCUUUCUCAUCUUUGUCCAGCUUUGUGGUAGUACUCAUAGGAGUGCUUUUUGCCGUUCCAUUAUCAUAGCCAAAUCUUUUGAGUAGAUCUUUCACGUACUUGGCUUGGUUUAUGAAAAUUCCUUCCUCAUUUUGUUUGAUUUGAAGUCCAAGGAAGUACUUCAACUCUCCCAUCAUGCUCAUCUCAAACUCUUGGCUCAUACAUGAUGAAAAAUCUUUACACAACAACUCAUUAGUAGAACCAAAAAUAAUAUCAUCAACAUAAAUUUGAACAAUAAGUAUGUCUUGGUUCUUAUGCUUAACAAAAAGAGUUGUGUCCGCUUUUCCUAUUGAAAAAUCGUUAUCCAACAAGAAAUUUUUAAGCCUAUCAUACCAAGCUCUAGGUGCUUGUUUUAAACCAUACAAAACCUUAGAUAACUUAUACACAUGAUUUGGAAAUUUUUCAUUUUCAAAACCAGGAGGUUGUUUCACAUAAACUUCCUCCAUAAUAUAUCCAUUUAAGAAAGCACUCUUGACAUCCAUUUGAUAUAAAAUAAAAUCCUUAUGACAUGCAUAUGCUAACAACAUCCUAAUGGAUUCUAACCUUGCUACAGGUGCAAAAGUUUCAUCAAAAUCAAUUCCUUCUUCUUGGUUGUAACCUUGAGCCACUAAUCUAGCUUUAUUUCUUACAACCACACCGAAUUCAUCCAUUUUGUUUCUAAAUACCCAUUUAGUACCUAUAAUGGAUUGAUGUUCCAGAUUAGGAACUAACUCCCACACAUUGUUUCUCUCAAAUUGAUUCAACUCCUCUUGCAUUGCCAUAAUCCAAGAUUCAUCAUUUUCCGCAUCCGCAAAAGAUUUUGGUUCAAUUUGAGAAAUAAAUGUAGCAUGCUCACAUGUGUUCCUAAGAGAUGAUCUAGUGGUAACACCUCGUGAAGGAUCUCCUAAAAUUACAUUCUUAGGGUGAGAGGAUACAUACCUCCACUCCUUGGGGAGUGUUUGAGAAGUACCUUCAUUUUGCUCUACAUUUGUUUCUUCAUGAUGUUCCUCUUGAAUUCCAUGUGGUGAGUCUUCUUGGUUGUCAUUCGAUGCUUCUUCUUGUUGUUCUUCUUCUGCAUUAUCAUCAACAACGACUUUCUCCGUAGAGGAGGGGUUAGACUCAUCAAACGUAACAUGCAUAGAUUCUUCCACAACUAAAGUUCUUUUGUUAUAAACUCUAUAAGCUUUUCUUGAAUUUGAAUAACCAAGAAAGAUACCAACAUCAGAUUUUGGAUCAAAUUUACCAAGAUUAUCUUUUGUGUUCAAAACAAAACAUUUGCAUCCAAAAACUUUAAAAUAACCAAUGUUGGGUUUUCUAUCUUUCCAAAGCUCAUAUGGAGUUUUAUUAAAAUUAGGUCUAAUCAACACACGAUUUAAAACAUAAUAAGCGGUGUUGACGGCUUCGGCCCAAAAGUACUUAGGCAAAGAGUUUUCAUUCAACAUGCUCCUAACCAUUUCUUGAAUAGACAUAUUCUUUCUCUCUACUACUCCAUUUUGUUGUGGAGUCCUAGGUGAUGAAAAUUGAUGUUCAGUGCCAAAGUCAUUACAAAAAUUUUCAAACGCAUGAUUUUCAAAUUCUCCACCAUGAUCACUUCUAAUACAAGAAAUAGAAUAACCUUUUUCAUUUUGAACCUUUUUAUAGAAAAUUCGAAAUGCAUCAAUAGCGUCAUCCUUAUUAGCUAAGAACAAUACCCAUGUGUACCUAGAAUAAUCAUCCACAAUUACAAAUGCAUAAAAUUUGCCACUUAAGAUAGCAUAUCUAGAAGGUCCAAACAAAUCUAUGUGAAGUAAUUGAAGUAGUUUUGAAGUAGAGACAUGAUUCUUGCUUUUGAAGGAAGUUUUGAUUUGUUUUCCAAAUUGGCAUGCUUCACAAAUUCUAUCUUUUUGAAAACUGAUUUUUGGAAGACCUUUAACUAAAUCAUUUUUCAUGAUUUUUGAAAUCAAAUCCAUGCUUGCAUGACCUAAUCUUCUAUGCCACAACCAACCAUCAUCAUGCAAUGCGGAGAGACAUUUAUCAUGUAUUGAUACACAAUCUAUAUUAAUGGUAUAGACAUUAACACAUCUAUUUCCUACAAACAAGACUUUCCCAUCACAUGCAUUCUCAAUAACACAUUUUGAUUCAUCAAAGAUAACUCUAUAUCCUUUAUCACAUAAUUGACUAAUACUAAGCAAAUUGUGUUUCAAGUUUUCAACUACACACACAUUUUCAAUGAGAGUAGAGGAUACAUUACCGACAUUUCCAAUCCCAAUGAUUUUUCCUUUUGAAUUAUCUCCAAAUGAUACAUCUCCACCAUUUUCGAUCUUAGUAAAGCUUGAAAACCAAGAAUAAUUCCUUGUCAUGUGUCUUGAACAACCGCUGUCCAAGUACCACUUAUUCUUCUUCUUCUUCAAGCCCUGUAGAGAAAAUCUCAAGUUUUAGGUACCCAAACCUUUUUGGGUCCUUGAGAGUUAGCAAUGGUUCCUUUCGGAACCCAAACACAUUUCACACCAUAAUAUGCAUUUCUCUUCACUGCACAUCUAUUUUUCAUAUGACCAUCUUGAUUACAAUAAUGACAUACAAUUUGAUUGUUGAUAGAUGUAUUCUUCACAAAAUAACUCUUGUAAAAUUUUUGUUUAAAAUUUGGUUUAUAACCAAUGCCACUUUUGUCGAAUACACAUUUUUGUGAGUUUAGCAAAUUGUCCAACAUCUUUUGCCCAUUUGUGAAUUUUAGCACAAUUUCAUUUAGUUCAUUGCUCUUCUUUCUAAGCAUUUCAUUUUCAUUUUUCAAGUCAUUCAUUUGUGACUCUAAGUGCUCAUGUGAAGUGCUAGAAUUCUCAAAUAAUGCAAUACUAUCAUGCAAUGUUUUAUUUUCUAAUUCUAGGCAUGUAAUCGUUGCACUAAAUGAUUCAUUUUCAUUUUUAAGCUCUAUCAUCUUCUUUUUAAGACAUAUAUUCUUUUUACCAAUCUUCAUCAACUCAUCAUGCAAAUCCUUAAAGGCAUAAUGUAAUUCAUCAUAUGUAGGAAGAACAUUUACCUCAUCGAGUUCAUCACAUGAUUCUUCCCCAACGGCCAUGAGAGCUAAAUUUGUCAUUUCUUGUUGCUCAUCAUCAUCACUUGUUUCCUCAUCGCUAUCAUCCCAUGUGGCCACCAUAGCUUUCUUUUUAAGUUUGUUGAGAAGAGGACAUUUCGGUCGUAUGUGUCCGGGCUUCUUGCAUUCAUAACAAGUGAUUGGCUCCUUCUUCUACUUCUUAUUCUUGUAGCCUCUGAACUUUCUCUGCUCAUUAUUCUUUUUGUAAUAUUUUCUGAAUCUUCUAGCCAACAUAGCCAACUCCUCAUUAUCCAUUUCGCUUUCCUCAUCACUCUCACGUUUUGAAGCCUUGAGAGCAAUAGUUUUCUUCUUUUCCUCAUGCCCUUUUUCAGCUGCCAAAUCUUCUUCAUAUGAAAUGAGAGAACCAAUUAGAUCAUCAAUAGGUAAAACAAUAGACAACUUUAAGUUUGUGCCAAAUCUCAUUAGCACUUUCGCAACUAGACACUCUAUGAAACUCUUUCUUAUCUAAUGCACAAAACAAGGCAUUCAUGGCCUCGAAAUUUAGAAAAGCUUUUCUCUUUUCGAAUUCAUUCCAAUCCCGUGAAGGUUUUGGAAUAUCUUCUCCGACUUCAUUUUUAGUCAAAGGCAUGAAAGGACCAUCAUUAACGAUUUCCCAAAUUUUAUAAUCUAAGGCUUACAAGUAAAUUCUCAUCCUAGUUUUCCAAUAUGGGUAAUCGUUUCCAUCAAAGUAAGGUGGUCUAGUGGUGGACUGUCCUUCCCUAAAUGUUGAAUCAUUUUGAGUUGCCAUUGAUCUUUAGCUCUUGACGGUUAAGUCUAAAUACGAGCACCUCGCUCUGAUACCAAAUGAAAUAUAAGUGUGCAACCCAAGAGGGGGGGUGAAUUGGAAUUUUAAAAAUUAUCCUAGCAAAUCCACACAACAAGCUAUCUAAUGUCUUAAUAAAAAUUGAAAGCAAUAAGUUCAAUAAAAGCACAAUAAUUAAAUAGUAAGGGAGAAGAGAAACAAACACACGAAUUUUUACGUGGUUCGGCAAUCCCCGCCUACGUCCACGCCUCUAAGCGAUCCAAGCUUGAGGAUUUCACUAUCCAAGCUUUUCCAAGGCUUCAACCGAUUACAAUUGACUUUGAGGUGUCAAUAAACCUUUACAACAAAGAGAUUAUAUCCCAAUCUCUUCACUCAAGUGUCUCACACACUCAAACUCUUACAAUUGAGAUGAAUAAAUGAAGGUUACAAUAAAACUCACUCAAUGAGUAGAUAUUCAAAAAUGAAGAACAAGAAAUGAUUCAAUGUUUGUAUUUUGCAAGUUUUAAGGCUUAAGAUAUCACGUGUGCUUUUUGUUUUUGCUUAUUGGAGAAAUUCAAAAUGAGUUGGAUUUGAGUUCUUAUAGUUUGAGCUCAAAAAUUAGCCGUUACUCACAUUUUGGGUGUAUCCGGUUUGCCGUUUAUGGAAUCCGAUAAGCCAGAUUUAUGUUACCGUUUGAAUUUUGCCUAUCCGGCUUACUGGUUACGAAAUCCGGUAAGCCGUUUGCGUUCUGGAUGCUUACUGUCCCGUAUCCGAUUUUCUAAUUUUUAUAUCCGGUACGCUGCUUGAUACAGUAACCUGCUACACUGAGAUUUUUCCUAAAUUUUCAGUUUGACCCCCAAACUUUAUAAAACUGUAGUAUGGCUCAAAACGUUAUAAAAGUUUGCAAAUAGGUCCAAUUUCAUAAUUUCUAAGUAAUGCUUCGUUAAUCCUAAAACUUUCUGAAAUUAUGAUUUCGCCCAAACUUUGUGAAAUUAUAGAAUGACCCAAAACGUUAUCAAAGUUUGUAAAUAGGUCCAAUUUCAUAAUUUCUAAGUAAUGCUUCGUUAAUCCCAAAACUUUCUGAAAUUAUGAUUUCGCCCAAACUUUGUGAAAUUAUAGAAUGACCCAAAAAUAUUUAAAUAGUUUCAAAUAGGUCCAAAUCCGAAAUUUAAAACAUUAUCAAAGAUUUUGAAAUUUUAGUCCAAAAUGUUUUAAUUCCAUAACAUCAUUUUCUUAUUAUAAAAGCACAAUUCAUAAAUCUUUGCUUAAUAAAUACAUGUGGUUUGUUAUCAUCAAAAUCAAUAUUUAUAGCCAUAUAGGCUAACAAUAUUGUUCACGUAUACGGUACUAUUCCCAUAUACGGUACUGUUCACAACUGCGGUGGAGACGACCAUUUAUACUUGGGAGACAGUCUAUUGUAAGUAGUGUGUAUUUUUACAUGUCUAGAAAAGUUCUGUCAACAAGGCAAUAAGAGUCUAAGGAUUCCAGUUUUUAAUUGGGACCGAGUUCCCGUCCAAUCUCUAGAGAACUUUCCUAGUGCAUUUAUUUACGCGAAAUAAACAUCAUAGAGGCUGUUUUUUUAAGUGUAAAUAGUUGUUGAAGAAACUGAUCAUUUGAGAUAAAAAGGAUGGCAGAGGCAUCGUCGUCAUCUUCAUCAGCGAGGACUACUGUGACUAAUACAAAGUUUGAAGUGGAGAAAUUCGAUGGUACCAAUAAUUUUGGUAUGUGGCAAUGUGAGGUGUUGGAUGUCUUAUGUCAGCAAGAGUUGGACGUUGCUCUUGAAGAAAAGUCUGACAUGAUGGAUGACAAGGAGUGGAUAAAGAUCAACAGACAAGCAUGUGAUACUAUUCGCCUAUGUUUGGCUAAAGAUAAAAAAUACUCUGUCAUGAGGGAGACAUCGGCAAAGAAAUUGUGAGAGACACUGGAAGAAAAAUAUAUGAAGAAAAGCCUUGAAAAUAGGCUUUAUAUGAAAAAGAAACUCUAUCGUUUCACAUAUACACCUAGCAUGUCAAUGAAUGACUAUGUGAACUCAUUUAACAAAAUAUUAGCAUAUUUGCUAAAUUUGAAUGAGCAAUUUGAAGAUGAAGAUAAGGCACUAUUGUUGUUGAAUUUCCUUCCUGAUGAAUAUGAUCAUCUCACCACUACUUUGUUUCAUGGGAAAGACAGUGUCACAUUCGAUGCUGUAUGCAGUGCAUUGUACAACUCUGAGACCAGAAAGAAAAAUAGAAGGAUCACAGAGAUACAGUAGCGGAAGUAUUAACAGCGAGAGGCCGUUCACAAAGCCGCAAACCUAGAAAAAGAAGCAAGUCUAAAGGAAGCCUUGCUAAAGAUUAGUGUGAUUUUUGUCGCGAGAAAGGGCAUUAGAAAAAGAAUUGUCAUAAGUUACAAAAGGGUAAGGCUACUUCUGAUGCAUGUGUAGCAGAACAUGACGAGGAGUCAGACUUUAGUCUGGUUGGCAUGACAUUGAUGUCUCACUCAGAUGAGUGGAUUUUAGAUUCAGGUUGUACUUAUUAUAUGUGUCCUAACAAAGGCUGGUUUUCUAACUUCAAGGAGCUAGAUGGUAGAGUUGUUUUUAUGGGCAAUGACAAUGCUUGUAAAAUCAUGGGAAUAGGUACAAUCCAAUUAAAGAAUCAUGAUGGCUCAAUCCAAGUCUUGACGGAUGUUCGCUAUGUACCAAGCUUGAAGAAAAAUCUCAUCUCAUUAGGAGUCCUAGAAUCUAAAGGGCUCACAAUUACUUUGGGAGAUAGAUUGUUGAAGGUAGUAGUUAGGGCGCUGAUGGUAAUGAAGGACAUAAGAAGAAAUAACUUGUAUUAUUUCCAAGGAAGUACAAUUAUUGGAUCAACAUCAAUAAUUUCUAGAAAAAAUACAGAUUCCGAAGCGACCAAGUUGUGGCAUAUGCGUUUAGGACAUGCUGGUGAAAAAGCUUUGCAGACUUUGGUAAAGUAAGGCUUAUUGAAAGAUACAAAUUCCUGCAAAUUAGAAUUUUGUGAACAUUGUGUUCUGCGCAAGCAGACAAGGGUAAAGUUUGGUUCAACAAUUCAUGAUAUAAAAGAAAUUCUGGACUAUGUUCACAGUGAUAUGUGGGGACCUACCAAAACAGCUUCUUUGGGAGGUAUGCACUAUUUUAUUACUUUUGUUGAUGAUUAUUUAAGAAAAGUAUGGGUGUAUUUGAUGAAGAAUAAGAAUGAAGUUUUGGGCAUUUUUUUGAAAUGGAAGAAAAUGGUUGAGACUCAGACUGGUCAAAAGGUCAAAAGACUUCGCUCAGACAAUGGUGGUAAGUACAAGAGUGAACAAUUUCUUCAAAUAUGCCAAGAUGAGGGAAUUGUGCGACACAACCACAACAGAAUGGGGUGGUAAAAAGCAUGAACCGGAUUAUAUUGGAGAAAAUUCGGUGUAUGUUGUCCAAUGCUGGAUUGGGCAAAGAGUUUUGGGCUGAGGCAAUUAUACAUGCGUGUCAUCUAAUCAAUCAUUUGCCAUCAGCUGCAAUUGAGGGUAGAACACCCAUGGAGAUGUGGACCGGUAAACCUGCUACUAAUUAUGAUUCUUUACAUGUUUUUGGUUCCACUGCUUAUUAUCAUGUAAAGGAAUCUAAGUUAGACCCAAGAGUAAAGAAAGCAUUGUUCAUGGGUAUAACUGGUGGAGUAAAAAGAUAUCGUCUCUGGUGUCCUGUUAUGAAGAAGAUUAUUUUCAGCAUAGAUGUAACUUUUGAUGAAUCAGCCAUGUUGAAACAAAAAGAAUCUCAAGAGAAUGAGAAGACCAGAAGAACUUUGCAGCAGGUGGAGUUUGAAAAGAUUAAAGCUGAUCCAGCUGGUGUCAAUGAGAUGGAUAGUGAUUCUCUAUCGACCGAUGAUGAUGAAGGGGUUCUGACCCAGGAACCUUCACAGCAACAAGAUUCAAUUGCAUAUAGAAGGUCACACAGAGAGAUUCACAGACCUGCUCGCUUUGUUGAUACGGUGGCCUAUGCACUUCCAACUGUAGAUGAUGAUUUCCUUCCACUUACAGAGAAGCAGUAAGUAACCCAGAAAGUAUACAGUGGAAGAAAGCAAUGAACGAAGAAAUGCAGUCUCUUCACAAAAAUGAAACUUGGGAGUUAAUUACACUGCCCAAGGAAAAGAAAGCAAUUGGGUGCAAAUGGGUAUAUGCAAAAAAGGAAGGAUUUCCUCGUAAAAAUAAAAUUCGAUACAAGGUUAGAUUGGUAGUGAAUGGUUACGCUCAGAAGGAAUGAAUAGACUACAAUGAGGUAUUUUCUCUAGUUGUGAAACAUUCGUCUAUUCGAAUUUUGCUAGCCAUAGUUGCACAAUUUGAUCUUGAACUAGUUCAGCUUGAUGUAAAAACUGCAUUUUUACACGGUGAUUUGGAAAAUAAAAUUUGCAUGACUCAGGCAGAUGGAUUCAAGGUUGCUGGAAAAGAAAAUUGGGUUUGCAAAUUGACAAAGUCGCUUUAUAGAUUUAAACAGUCUCCGAGGCAGUGGUAUAAGUGAUUUGAUCGAUUUACGAAAGGGCAAAGGUACACACGAAACAAAUUUGAUCAUUGUGUGUAUUUUCGCAAGCUACAAGAAGGAUCUUUCAUUUAUUUGCUAUUGUAUGGCGAUGAUAUGCUAAUAACAUCCAAGAGUAAAUAUGAGAUUGAGAAGUUAAAGACUCAACUCAAUCAAGAAUUUGAAAUGAAAGACCUGGGUGAAGCUAAGAAGAUUUUUGGCAUGGAGAUAUGCAGAGAUAGAGCUCGUGGCAAAAUAAGCUUAUCUCAAAAGCAAUAUUUGAAUAAGGUAUUACAACAGUUUGGUAUGACUGAGCAGAAAAAACCUGUAAGUACCCCAUUGGCUUCUCAUUUCAAGCUUUCUACACAACUAUCUCCUUCGACAGAUGCAGAACGAGAAUACAUGUUACAAGUUCCAUAUUCAAAUGCAGUGGGUAGCUUGAUGUAUUCAAUGGUGUGUACAAGGCCUAACAUUUCACAUGCAGUUGGUAUAGUGAGCAAGUAUAUGCAUAAUCUUGGUAAAAGGACAUUGGCAAGCUGUAAAAUGGAUUCUAGGGUACAUUUAGAAGACUGUGGAUGUUAGUUUACUGUUUGAGAGAGACGAUACACUUGGUCAAGGUGUGAUCGGGUACGUUGAUUCUGAUUAUGCUGGUGAUUUGAACAAACGACGGUCAACCACCGGAUAUGUAUUUACUUUUAUUGGAGGGCCAAUCAGUUGGAAGUCUACACUACAGUCUACAGUUGCACUGUUGACCACAAAGGCCGAGUACAUGGCAAUUACGAGGCUGUUAAAGAGGCUAUUUGGUUACAAAGCUUGCUUGAAAACUUGAGAUUGGUACAGAAGCAAAUUAAUGUAUAUUGCGACAGUCAAAGUGCUAUUCACUUAACGAAGAACCAAGUUUAUCAUGCACGUACGAAGCAUAUUGAUGUACGAUUUCACUUUGUGUGGGAAAUUGUUGAUGAGGGGAAGGUUCUUCUUCAAAAACUUAAGACUGCAGAUAAUCCUGUAGAUAUGUUGACGAAGGUAGUGACGGCGGCAUUGUCUAAACGUGAUCAAUAUCCUACAAGUUUGAAAGUAGUCGGAGAAGGCAGAGAUUGGAGGAUGAUUUGAUGUACUGGAAGUUUAGUAUUCGGCUCAGAAUUGAAUAAAUCUUAGCCGAGAUGGAGAAUUAUUGAAAAGUCAAAGAAUGACUUGCAAAUUUCAAAAGGCAAAGCUGGUGGGUUUGCCAAAUUCAAAAAAGUAAAGUUGGUCGGCUUGCUAAUUUCAAAAGACAAAGUUGGGUGUUGAAAAGCUUGUGCAUGCAAUACAAGAUCUAGCUCAACGUUUUGACCAAUUGAACCCAACUUGGAGCAAAAUGCACUCUAUAAAUAGAGAAGCAUUUUGCAAUUGUAAGCAUCCAAUUUGAGAGAAGCAGAGAGCAAUUGCAAGUGAGUUCUUUGAGAGAGCUUUAACUUGAGUGUUCUAGUGAGGUUCCAUUUGGGUGUAUUGGGGUUGUGGGUUUUGUAAGUUUUUCUCACUUUUGUAAAUUCCCAUUUGUUGGUAAAAUUAUCUUUCAGUUUUUUACCCGUGGACGUAGGCAUUACGCCGAACCACGUAAAUUAUUGUGUCCUAUUUUCUUUGCAUUUGUUUAUCACCACAUUUAUAUUUCUUUAGAAGUUGCAGUAUUAGUAAUUGCUCAACCCACACUUCCGCAACACAAAUUUCACAAAUUUCACAAAUUUUCCAGAAACGUAUGGGCCCUAUUUUUUUUCAUUUUCAUUCCCUCUUCUAUUUUAAGAAGCAUUCUGAAUUUGAUUCCUGAGUCCCAUGAGUAAACACACUAUUAAUGUAACUCAUGAGUGUAACCAGAGUAGUAAAGGCCAGUAAAGACAGCUGUUAGGAAAAAAAUUACAGCAAAUUGGUCGAAAUUGAUUACUAACAACUCAUUGUAUCCGUAUAUGAAACAAAGUGUUUCAUGCAUGGGGCUGGAAUCAGAUUACCUAAGAGUUUACAAAAUAAAUAAUUAAAUGAUCUCACAAUAUGUAAUAGUUUUCUAAAAUAGAUUUAGGUUAAAACCUUGUCUUUGGUCUUAAUUUUAAUGCGUAAAAAAUAAAAUAAAAACUUUCAAAAGAAAAAAAAUUAAUUUGAAAGACAGUGAAGCAAUUAGCUAGUUACACAUAUCAUAGACCUGUAAGUGGAGCAAUUAGUUUGGAUUCGCAACAAGCACUCGUCUCCUUUCUUAUUUACAUUUUGCCAAAUUCAGAGAGAGAAAUUUUAUGUACAAUUAUUUGUUAAUAAUUUAAAUUACAUAAUGCCCCUUUUGCUUCACACAAGCUCUACUAAACGGAGCAACAUAUAUUAUUCGAGUUAAAAAAUUAACAAGAAUUUAUAAUCGAGAGGAGACGACAUUGCCGGUUACAAGAAAUGGACAAUGUGCCUAAUUAUAUACGACAUGCCGGUUUAUUUUGCGAGGGGGAUCGUAUGAUGAGUAGUUAAUGUCGUCUAGCAGAGUAAGUUAUGUACGUGCUGAUCACUGAUAAUGAACAAAAGUUACAAAACCACUACUCCAUUCUUCAGGAGGACAAAGCCUAGAAAUAGUUAAAUCUCUAUCAUUAGAGUGUUAAGACCCUUUUUUACAUUGAGGUGUUGUAGAAAAAAACUGUAAUUAUAAAAUAAAAGUUAAUAGUAUGUAAUAAACAUAAUUUACAAAUAAUAAUUUUGAUAAAAUUAGUAAAGAUAUAAUAGAUUUUUCAUCAUACAAGUAUAAAAUUAAAUUAACUUAUCUUCAAAACUAUAGCAGAUAGUAUUUACUAAAUAUUUUAGUGCUGCAGCUUUGAAAUUAUAUCUGUCCAAACUCAAUCUUAAAAAAAUCCUAAGUGAGGUCUUGGGGGGUGGGGUGUGCCAAGACUAACCAUCAAGUGAUCUUGAUCCAAGAAUUUUCUUACUAUUUGAGAGUUUUUAAACCUUCACUCAUCAUAAGCAAGAUAAUUCAGAGUAGAAUGAACUAGGUAUGGUACUUGAUUCUGCUAAUUACCCUUGAUUAAGCUCUGAAUUCUCGUAAAAAUAGGACAACUAAACUUGAUCGUAUGCUUACAAAAGAUAUUCUAACGCUCAAGUAAGUGUUUGGAGAUUUUGAAAGCUAAUUUAAAUCUGAAUUUUCUCUUGACUUGAUUUUGGAAAUUGGCCACAAGAUCAUUUCUCAAUCUUUCAACUCAUAUUUAUUGACUGAGAGAUGAAAGAUUGGGGAGAUAAUGCUUUUUAGAUUUGAAUCAUUGCCAUUCAUUCUUGUAAUUUGAUUUUGAUAGUUAAAUUCAUUAACUAUUUUUGUUUCUAUUCGAGUUUUCUGCUCAUGGUUCUGUUAGUAAUCACUUAGCGUUACUUAUCAACAUUUUUGGGUUGAGAAAUAUACAAUUUUUAAACAAGUACAGGAAAUGCAAAUUAAUUCUUAAAAUAAAAAAGAAAUGUAGAAGAUAAAAUUUACAGCUUAUUGGAACUCCAGUGAAGUAUUUGCUCAAAGGAAAGAAGGUAAUCAGAUCACACAAUUUCUAGCUCCGCAUCCUCAGCUCUAUUUGUAUGUUUGUAUUCCAAAAGCAAGUCUUAGUGAAAAUUGACUUGCAUAAUUAAUAUUAUUCGUUAUAAACUUCCAUAAUUCUAAAGCACUUGUUAAUAGAAAAUCGCUUUAGAUUGUACUUAAUCAUACUUCGGCACUCUCAUAAUGUAUUCCUUAAUCUCAUCUAACCAUAAAAGAAAAUAUUUAGGACUAUAAUUUCCAUCAAGCAUUCGAAACAUGAGGUCUUUUGAAUAUUCCAAUCACAAAUGCAAAGCCAAUGCAAAACUAUAAACAAGGCUGAACUAUCAGGUGUGGUAUGGCUACCAGUUGGUGGCCAUAAUUUGGUGUGAUGAUGGUUAAAUCUUGUAGAUAUUGUGGUAAGGAACAUGAUGGUCACUAUGGACUGGUCAGAUUCACAACAGUAAAAGUGGAUCGAAGAGGUGAAUCUCACAGGUUUUGAAGGUUUUGUGUGGUGGGUUAUGGUGGCUUUAAGAUGGCUAAUCAGACACAGUGGUGGCUUGGAUUGGGUGUAGUAGACAGAAGGAAGUUUGAUGAUGGUUGAUUGAUGGUGAGGCAUCAGUGUUAGUGGUGGCACUAGAUGAAACUAGGAAACUACAUUGCUUCAGGUAGAGUUUGCUUACAACAACAUGUCAAAUCGAUCUACUAGCAAUACUACUUUUGAGAUUGUCUAUACUUAUUCCAUAUGCUAUGUCUAUUAUCUGGUUGGGAUGCCAAUAGUAGUCGGAGGAAGUAAAUCAAUGGAUAAUGUGGCAGAAAAAGACUGCAGAUUCAUGCAGAGGUGUGAGCUGACUUGGAGGUUGCCAAUGCUAUGUACAGGGCUAAUGUGGACAAGCAUCAACGCAAAAAAGUAUUUUAGGAAGAUGAUUUGGUGAUGGCACAUCUAAGGCAUACCCAUUUUCCUGGCAUUCACACUAAGUUGGACAAGCAGAAGUGUAGUCCAUCUCAUGUGGCGAUGUAGAUUAAUGAUAAAACUUAUGUGCUGCCGCUGCAAGAAAAUUGGAAUAUCUCUCACACUUUUAACGUGGUUGAUUUGUUUGAAUAUCAUCCAAAUGGUGAAGAGUUGAAUUGGCAUAACUCGAGGGCGAGUUCUUUGCUUUGAUACCAACUAAUGAUGCAAAAAUGUAAAAAAAUUGAUUGAUAAUAUAAACUAGGUUUUUGAAUAGCGAAAGUUUUAUUAGAAAAGUCUUAAUAAACAAAACUAGGGUUUGAGGUCCCCUUAUCGUGAAUUUACUAAAAUAGGAAAAUUUGAAAUAUUAUUUUAUAAUAAAUACUCCUAAUCUAAUUAAGGAAAGCAAAAUAACCGCACCCAAAUUCAAUGUAAAAAAAAAAAGAUAAAAAUCAUGAAAGUAAUAGACAAAUAAGAAAAUAACUUAAAAAUAAAAAAAGGACCAAGAAGGAAGCAAAAUUCUCAGCUCAAUCACAGGCAAAAUAGUACAACCAGCUCUGGAUUUGAUUCAUCUCGUCGUAAGCUUUGAAACGAUAUAUUUUAUGGCAAAAAUAAACACCUAUAGCCCAUGUUAUAACCUUCGGAAGAUACCCUACUCAUUCAACACAAAAGUCCUACAACAAUAUGGCAAGUACAGAGGCUAUUAGGGAGGCUAUUUGAUUACAAGGUUUGUUUGAAAUCUUGGGACAAGUACGGGAGCAAUUAAGAUGUUUUAUGACAGUCCAAGUGCUAUUCACUUAGCAAAGAAUCAAGUUUAUCGUGCACGUACAAAAUAUAUCAACAUAUGAUUUCAGUUUGUGCAAAAAAUAAUCAAUGAGGGGGAUAUUCUUCUUUGAAAGGGCAAGACCGUAAAGAAUCCCACAAAUAUGUUGACCAAGGCGGUGGUGACAAUCAAGUUUAAGUAUUAUCUAAAUAUGAUCAACAUCUUGCAAGCUUAAAAUAGUAAGAAAGGCAGAGAUUGGUGGGUGAUUUACUGUACACAGUUUAAUUUCUUUCAAAUAAAGGUAGAGAUUUAUUGAAAUAUUGAUGUCAUGUGGGAAAUCAUUAAAGACAAAUUGGCGAAUAAUUGAUUGGUAAAAGCGUGAAGAUGAAAUAGUAAAACUAUUUGACAAUUCUUUUCGUAAAAUUAAAUGCUAUACGGCGAUUUUGGCGAAAAUGGAACGUGGCAACAAAUUGCACAUGCAAAAUUGUUAACAAAAUGUGCAUGGCUUUAAUGCAUGCAAUUAAAGUUGCUAUCUCCAUGUCAUGGGAAAUUGAAAGGAUGGCAAUUCAUGCUCCUUUUGUCAAGAUUUGCCCAGCAAAAUGGCGGCUUGUCCCAGUGGAUUUUGUUCCAUAAUUGUCAACGGGCAAAGCCAUUAGAUGCCUAUAAAUAGAGCCUCAUUCCACAGAGUUAAAGUCAUCCCAAAUUGUAAAAAUUUGAGAGCAUUUGCAAAUGAGCUCUUCAAUAAUGCAGAGAGAGCACUUUCUUAGAUGUUCCUUGAGUAUGCUGCAGUAAUUUUUUACUUUACUGAUUUUGUAGAUCCUUUUGUUUUUGCUGCUCUAUAAGGCCUCGGCUACUGACGGUCUUUCUCUAACCGUUUCUGUACCUACAGCGGAACCUUAUAAUAAACUUUCCAUGUUUGUAGAGUUGCCGUGCUUGUUCAGCUGAAUGAUACUUUUGUCCCCUGCUCUUCUCUGAAGUAAAUUUUAUAAAUCAAAUAUAUGGUAUAAAUCAGAAUAGUACUUCAUCCAUCUCUCAAAUCUUAUUAUACAAUUAUUAUUCAAUUCCAUUUGUCUUUAUAAAUUAAUUUAAUUUGUACAGUUUCAUUAAUUUACAGCAUUUUGUCAGACUUAAAAUUGAUUUGAUUUGCCAAAUUCGGGACCCAGCCCUCUUUCUCCCCCCAAAGUAUCCAGUAUUUAACUGAGAAUUGAGUAGUGUAGAUAUAUCCCUCUAAUUAUGAGGGUAGAAUUCUGGAUUGUACUUUAGUGAGAAUUAAUCAAGGUGAGUCCUAGUAGAAUUCUAAUUGUAAAAUAUGUAAGUAGAAUUUCCACAUAUUGAAAAAAAAAAAUUGAUUUAAUUUGUAAUGUUAAGUGAUAUUCCACAAACAUCAGCCACAAUAUCAGAAGUCACCCCCGCCCAUGUUAUUCAAGUGAAAUCCAUAAAAUUUCAAUAAGAAUAAAUCUCAACAACCAAAGCCUUUGUAAGCUUGAUGUGCAAUAUUACUUAGAAGAGGCAAGCUAAGCUAUUCAACUAGAACACCAGAAGCUGUAAGGAAGGGGGAAAAAAUCCAAUCAGAUUGCAAAAAGCUAGGCUUAUUAAUUUAGAGGAUUGCUACACAUCCCAAAUCCUUUAUCCCAAAAAAUUUAUUCCAAAUGUUGUGUCAUUCAUCAAUUAGUUAGUAAAUAUUUUACUUAGAUCUUGUAAAGAAUUACCAACCACUCAAUUAAUAACACCUCAUUUGGGAUAAAAUUUAGGAUAAAAAUUUUGAGAGGUCUAUCAUUACUCCUAAAUUUAUUGUUUAUCCAAAUGUACACAAAAUAUAAGAUAUUUUGCAGGAAAAAAAAGAAAAGGAAAUAGACGGUUUAGUAUUACAAUCUAAUUUGAGUUAAAAACCCCUCUGUGAGCCAUUUUCUUGCCCCAGAUUGAAAUAAAAAUAAAGUUAUCCAGAUGGCCUUCAGCUGGACAUAAAAUGAGGUUAAUGAGUGCCAUAUACACGUGUGCGCGCACGCAAUAGUGGAUGCAAAAAUAAGAAAGCUGUACGAAGAAACAAUGCUGCAAUGAUAAGAGAAAUUAAGAAUACAAAACAGAAUAUUUAUUUCAGUCCUUUAGUUUUCCCUAAAUCGCAAACUCACAUAGCUUCAAUUUCAAAGAUCAUGAAUGCAAUUUUGAUUCAUGGAAGCCACAUUCUGAACAACUAUUGGAAUAUUGUUUGUUUCUGAUCCAAGCAGAGCAUUCUCUGGUAAUUCAGCAUAAGAAAAUUUUCAAGAGUAGAUAUAGUAAAUAAUAAAAAGAAUGUAAAUGAAUUAUAAAUAGCAAAGUACAAAAAUUGAAAUUGAGAUAUAUGCGCAAGAGGGUAAUCACCAGGCUUCACCCAAUCGCUCUUCAUUCGAGCUCUCUAAACCUUUUAGGUUGUGGUUCCUCAUCAUCACAGCAGCCACUUCCACUGGCUUCUGCCCCAAAGUAUUCAGUAAGGCUUCGCUUUGACGUUGUGGCUACAAUCAUCUUCGAUCCAACAAAAUGUUAUCGAAUUCAUUCAGAUUAUAAACAGUAAAACGACUUGGUUGGUUUGUCGUUUGGUCUAACUCCUCCACUUCGUCCAUAUAAACUGGAUGUAAACCACACAUCUUCACCUCCAAUCCUUGGCCCAACCAGGGUUCAAGUGAUACAUUAACAUGAUUAGAUUCAAAGGCUCAAGAUUAGACUCUAAAGGCAAUCUAAUAUCGUAGCAUGUUUGACGAGACAAAUAGAGUAGCCAAAGAUGGUCUGACCCAGCCUGACCGAAUUUAUCUCUAAAAUCAAUUCGAUAACUGCCAUGUCCAAUGCGGCAAUUCAACUGAUGUGUGGGAUAUGAACCAAAACGAUUGUUACCACGUGAAUUUUUUAGGACAUGAAAAACACAGCAGAUAGCAUAUCCCACCAACUUUUUCUUAUUAUACAGAUUUGAAGGCCUUGUGACUGUUAUUGAAGAUCCCUCAUUCUGAUACAUGAACCACUCCGGUAUUUCACUUCCUGGAACAACAACGCUUAAAUGUUGUCUUGUAUUUGACACUGCCUGCAUCCAAAAUAAUAAUAAUAAUAAUGAAGUCCAAACCAUUGCUUAAUGUUUUGGCAUAUAUAAUUUUGGCAUACGGAGUAAAAAACUGACCUCUAGGUACUCUCGUAGCAUUGAAAACGCCAAACUUUUGUUGCCGAGCAAUUUUAAGCUGUCUAAACAAUUAAUCAUUGUGCUGUCGGGCUUGCAUAAUUUUAAAGCAUCUAAUAAUGUCACUAACGAAGCACAACCAUUUACUCUAACUUCCCUGAUAUUGGGUGGAAGUUGUGGCAGAGAUUGAAGCCUCUUGCAAUCCUCCAAUUCAAUAUUCCAAAGCUUAGAAAGACGGGUAAUGCUUGUUGGAAGUGAAACAAAGCUGUUUUUACUCAAAUAUAACUCUUCUAAUGAGCAUAGGUUGCCAAUAUCACUUGGAAGGGCUCCUUCCAUUAGAUUACAAUCAGUGAGAUUCAAUUUCCUCAAAGAACACAAACCUGAGAGAGAAGGCAACUUCAGAGCCACAGACUUUCGCAUUAAGUUGAUUGGGAUGUACGAAUACCAUGACGUCGAAUGUGGUACAGCUGUUCCACUGAUAUCAAGCUCCUCCAAACAUUCAAUUUGUCCAAGUGUCUCUGGCACAUUUUCAAGUUUGAAGCAGCCAGAGAGAUUCAGAGUUUUAAGAGAUUUCAAGGCAAUUAUACUGCUUGGAAGUCUCACAAGAUUUUUACAGUCACUCAAGUUCAGCAAUUCAAGUUUUGUCAAAAGUUCUAUGGAUGAUGGCACUUCUUUGAUAGAAGUUCCAUCUAAAAAGAUCUCUGACAGAUCUUUCAUACUUCUUACAAUCUCAGGAAACUUCUUAAGUUUCGAGCAACCAGAGAGCUUUAAAGUCCUAAGACAUUUUAAACUACUUACAGUAACUGGAAGAAUCUCGAGACUCCUGCAAUUUUUCAAAUUCAACAAAACAAGGCCGGACAGAAGUUCAAUUGAUAGUGGCAAUCCUCUAAUGGCUGUUCCCUCCAAAUGAAGCUCCGACAGAUGCUCCAUAUGUUCUACAAUCCCUGGAAACUCUCUAAAUUUCAAAUCACCAGAGACAUCCAAAGUUGAAAGACAUUUUAGACCACUUAUGGUCGUUGGAAGACUUUUGAGAUUCUUGCAAUUGUUUAGAGCCAGCAAGACAAGUUUGGAUAGAAGUUUAAUAGAUAAUGGCAGUUCUUCAAUAGCUGUUCCAUCCAACAAAAGCUUCGACAAACACUCCAUACUUCCCACGAUGUCCGGAAAUUUCUUUAAUUUCGAGCAACCAGAAAGAACAAGUUUUUCAAGAGAUUUCAUCAAAAUCUUGCCAGGAAGAGUUAUAAGACUUGUACAAUCUUUCAUGUUCAAUAUGAUAAGCUUAUUGUGAAGCAGCAGAGAUGGGUGAAUUUCAUACAACCUUGUACAUCCUUCAAGAAUCAGCUUCUCUAAAUUUGGGGCCCCUGUGAAGUCUGGCAUCCUUAUCAAGUUCUCGGAAUGGCUGAGUAUCAUGACUUUCAACUUGUCUAAACGCUGUAGAAAAUAAAAAGGAGCGAGAAAGAUAUUUCUUAAUUCAAUUAGAGAGGAAUGGCAAAACUAAUAAAUUUAUAUACUAUUAUUCACUGAGAAAAUAUAUAUUAGUGACAAAAUUGAUCUUACUUUGAUUCCCUUCCACAAUUCUCCUAUGCGGCUAUAAGACAUGUUAAUUUCAAUAGUUUUAUCCAUUUGCAAAUUUGAUGGCAAAAAUUUCAAAGGAUAUCCAUGCCAAUCAAGUAACCUUAACCAAUUAGACAGGUAUUCAAGGCCAUUAGGAAGUUGCGGAUUACAAAUUUUGAGCAAUCUUAGGUUGGUCAUCUUCGAAAAUGCUUUAGCACUCGCACACAAAUACACCUCAUUUUGAAGAUGGUAGUUAUCAAGUACUAUUCCUUCCACUAGUUCAGUUCCCUGAAAAAAUCAUAAGCAAAGGAUAGACAAUAAAAUAAUAAUGUAAAGAUGUUGAAAAGUUGUCUGAGAUUUAAGUAGGUGAAAGAAAUUAACAAGCACGAGCUGAGGAAUACAUGUUUUCCAAACAAAUUAGUCACUUACUGUGCUUUCUGUCAACACAUGGCAUACUUCUUCUUCCUUCCAUAAUCUGCUGCGUUUCCCAGGUUCUUCAGGUGAUUGUCUCUGGACAAUUUGUUGCCCUAAUUCUUGUAACAAAUCAUGCAUCCACAGUGUGUUAUUAUGCACAGUUAUUAGACAUUUUUCAAUGAGAACUCUUAUUCCAAUAACUGGAUGAAAACCACAUCCCUCUAGAAAAUUCGUGACAUAAUCCCUAUCAUUUCCUUUAAAGAAACAUGCAACAUCGAGAAAUAUUUUUUUCUCUAGCUCCUGUAGCCCAUCAAAACUUAUUUGAAGUAUAUCCAGAAUCUCACUAGGAGGUUCUAUUUCUAGCCGUUCCAGGGUACUUCUCCACUCAUCCACAGAUCUACCAGACAAAAAGGAACCCAAAACUUCUACAGCCAAUGGAAGACCACCAGCAUACCGGAUAACACGUGCAGAUAGCUGCACACAUUCUUGCAAAGGUUGAUAAGUUUUAAAAGCUUUCAUAAUGAAGAGUUGAAGAGCUUCAUCAUAAUUUAGCCCAUGAGGCCUAUACACUUCAUCAACCCCAUGUGUUUUCAACAACUGUUCGUCUCUUGAUGUUAUGAUGAUCCGGCUGCCUGAACCAAACCACUCACGAUUUCCAGCUAAACUUUGUAAUUGUUUUACAUCAACCACAUCAUCAAUAACAAGAGCCUUUUUUCUUUGCAGUCUACUUCCUAACAUGUCGAUACCAUCAAAGACAUUCCAUAUACUAUUAUCUGCAAGCUUUAAUAACUGGGAAAGGAGUUGCCUUUGUAAAGAGACUAGGCCCCCUUUACCGGAAAUUUCUCUAACAUUGGCAAGGAAACCACUUGCUUCAAAUUCAUGAGAGAUCAAGUCAUAAACAACUCUUGCUGUCUUACCUAGACCUCCCAUCCCACAGAUCCCUAUCAUACGCACAUCACUAGACCCUGAGUCCAUAAGAAACCUUAGUUUCUCACAACGUGAAUCCAUUCCUACUAGCUCCUUAAGAGUCUCUGGUUUUGUACGAAUUUUACUUGAUACCACAUUGACAAUUUCCUCAAUAAGUUUUGACUCAUUGCUACAGAUUGAAAUCAACGAGAAAAGAUUAGUGUUAAAUUAAAGUAAGUGUGGACGUGGAGUCAAAUUAAUUCCAUUAAAUGUACAUAAAAAUUAUGCAAAAUUCAUUGGACCAAAUUGAAAUAAUAUAUUUUACAUAUGGAAAAUCUUUAGUUGUGUUCUUCAUGUAAAUAUCUACAUUGAUCUGUACCUCUCAGUUUGCAAAAAUAAACUUGUGGAGCUACUAUUUCAAAUACUACACAUCAUAUGAAAUAUGUAUUAACUAGAAGCAUUUUAAUUGAAAACACUCUAAAAGCUGUUUAAGAAUGGUUACCUUUGUUUUAAUUCCCAACCGGAGAUAUUAGCCACCUCUUUCAAAAUGUCUCUCCACUUUUGCACCUUUUCUUUAUUGUCCCUAAAAACUUCUUCAUGUUUAGCAAAUGCCUCAUGAAAAUUUCUUGUCUGUUUUCUUACCACAGUCGGUUCCAUAUCAUAGAAAAUAGGAAAAAUUUGAUCUUCUGCGUUCUUGCAUUCAACAAUCUUAACAAGUUCAUCCAAGCACCAAGUGGAAGAAGCAUAGUUUUGCGAGAAAACAAUAAUUGAUAUUCUUGAUUCUUCAAUUGCUUUAAGGAGUUCUAGUGGAAUGGAUCUUCCUCUCUCAAGUUCUUUGUCAUCCUUGAAUACAUAAAGUUCUUUAUUUUUCGACGCAGCAUAGAGAUGACCUGUGAAGCGUUUACGGGUGUCUGCUCCUCUAAAUCUUAAGAAGGCAUCAUAUUUCCAAUGAGAGAUAUUUUGGAUGCUGGUGGAAGCCAUUAUAUCUUUUUCCUGAAAAUUUACAAUAAACUAAGUGGCUUCCUGGGAACAAAAUACCCAUCAUUACUAUGCAAACAAAAAUGCAAUAUAUAUCUCAAUUGUCAAAGUUGUAUAGCUCUAGGUUGCACUGCACUGAAUUGCAUUAAGCUCUGAAGCAAUACCAUGUGUUAGGUAAAUAAGAGCACCAACUCGGCCAUGCCAUCAAUGGUACGAGCAGAACACUGAUAAUGAGCCCUCUACAAACAUGGGCCGACUAGAGACGAGUACCAGCCAGAGGAAUAUACCGACCAGAGACAUAUACCGAGCCGAUACCCAUUCCCCAAAGAGCGGGAACACGAUCCCACAGAAUCACAACAGUUGUGCUUUUCCCAAAACCGUUGAGGGAAGCGCGAGAUCCCACGUUUGCCCAUAAUGCAGUAGUUAGAGUCCCAUGAGGGGCUGCCACUACCCGAACAAGGGGGGAUGAAGGGUAAACGGAAACGUGGGACAGCGGCUAUAAAAGAGGAAGAAAUCGAUGAAGAAAGGGAUAGAAAAAUUGAGAGAAGGGAAAACUCUGUCAAAUUGAAACCAGACCAUUUUCAAUACAAAUUGUGAGCCCAUUAUAAGCAAUUUAUCGAAUCUUAAUUGUACCGUUUUCCCGUAAACACCUUGUGCUAACUUAGGCAUCGGAGGGUUUAUGCCGGCAAAACCACUGGCGUCUCUGAUCCACUUUUGUGAACGCAGGCUUAGUGGGAGAAAGAAGGAUAAUUCCAACUUCGGUGACUAGAGCAAUCGUCGAAGCAAGAAGAAAUUGACAUCCUCACUGUUGAUAAUAUAAACGUUGGUGUAAAGAUCUGGUCGGGCAAAGGACGAGCAGAUUUCAGCAUCAACAUUUUGGCGCCGUCUGUGGGGAGCUGGAUAAAAAGCUACCACCAAGUUAAUAGUAACUGGAGAAGCAACGAACGAUUAGAUAUGGAUGUGUCAAGGAAGGAUGCUUUGAGGGAUGACAAUGAAACUGUUGAGACAAUCACUCUCCGGGAAAUUGCGAAUGAAGCUCAAGAGAGGAUGAUGCAAGAUCGACUGGAGCGGAUGGAGAAAUAAAUGGAGACUCUCACGGCCAUACUGUAUGAGCUGAGGGAUGAGCGGAGAAGGGAUUGUGAAACCCCCGCGAGGAGAGAUGAAGUUGGAGCAGAACCCAGCCUCCGGAGGCCUAAAGUCGAGGAAAUUCCUCCGCCGGUGGACCAACCUAAUGGGGUACAUCCCCACAGAAGUACUGGUCAGGUUCCAACAGAACACGUGGAUGAAAGGAGGGACCAACCUCGUCCCGGACGGGUAUUGGAAAUUGAUGGCCGAGCAGCCAAUGUUGAUGAAGGAGAGCUCAGGCAAUGGUUGCAGAAUGCCGAGCAAGAACGAGAUCAGAUAGCUGCACGUGAUCCUGACCGUGCUGUAGAAUUGGAGGGAGAGGUGCGCAGAUUGGCACAGGUGAUGGAGGAGAUACAGGGCAAGAGAAAGCCCCCGAGCUGGAGGAUAAUGCUAGAUGAAGAAUCUCCGUUAUCAACCGAGAUCAUGGGUACUGUAAUCCCAAGAGACUUCCGCUUCCCCGACCUCAAAUACUCCGGGCGAAGUGACCCGUUGGUGCACAUUGAACGUUUCAACGACAUGACGGGUGUGCAGGGGCUGACACCAGCUCAGAGGUGCAGGGUGUUCCCAUUGACGCUAAAGGGACAAGCCCGAGAAUGGUACUGCAAGCUGCCCCGAGAAAGUAUAAAAGGGUACGAGCAGAUGUACCAAGAGUUGGCCGAACAGUUCCGAGGAGCAGUAGCCUUAAAGGACGACAUGAUAGAACUGAUGGGGAUGAAGCAGGAGGAGCAUGAAUCCCUUCAGGAUUUUGUAAAACGAUAUCAUCGGGCCGUGCUGGAUCUGGGAGCUUUUAAUCACCCGCAGGCGUUGAGGGGAUUAAAAGAAUGUGUAAGAAUCAGCCGAUUGUGGAAUAACUUAAGAAGCCCCAUAGUGCAGAAUUACUCGGCGGGGUAAGAACAGGCGAGGCGAGAUAUAGAAAUCGAAGAGGAGAAAUCGGCAAGAAUAAAAAGUGAACAGCUGGAAGAGCUGAGACGAAAGGAACGGAGAGCCCCGAACGAGAACGAAUCGGGAAAGCGAGCUGGGGAAUCCUCAGUAAUGGGCGGAAUAUCAGCUCUGUCCCACCCUUACCCCAUAGCUCAGAGACCACAACAGUUCCAACACGGCCGGGCUCAACCUUCACGCCCCCCAUUCCCGGAGCGGCAACGAGAAUUCAGACAGAUGGCUGCCUACCCUUAUCACAACACUCCCAGAGCGUUACAUGCAACUAAUUCCAGGGCUGGACGACCAGAUCAGCUACCGACGAUACAAGCCCGAGGUGAUAUCCAUGAUAGCCGAGCAGUUCAACUGGUUGACCAGAGCUUGGCGUAUAGACAGUACACCCUAUUAAAAAUCUCCAUGGAGGAAUUGUAUGAGAGGAUCGAAGGACGAGGUCUGCUAUACCCUCCGGCCCCUAUAACAAAAUCUACUCACCGACGUGAUAAGAGCAGGUUCUGCAAAUUCCACAACACUCAUGGUCACACUAUCAGUCAAUGUCAUGACCUAAAGAUUCAGGUGGAGGAUUUAGUGAGGAACCGGUACUUGGAUGAGUAUGUAGAUGGAGUGUCCCCCGUCAUUGAAUCACAGUACAUGCGGGAUGAAGGAGUUGAGAGGGGUCUGGAACGGGAACAGCCGACCAUCCGUGUGAUAGUAGGAGGGCCAACAUUGGCCAGGGAUUCGAACAGGGCACGGAAGAACUAUGGGAGAUACGCCAUGACUGGCAAAGAGGUGCUUCUCAAUUUGCCAAUAGCCAAGAGAGCAAAGGGGCGGCAAGUUCCCAUUAUGUGGACGGAGGACGACGAAGAGGGUAUUUUAUAUCCUCAUGAGGAUGCACUGGUGAUUAAAGCAUUGGUGGCUAGUACAGAAUUGCAGCGAAUACUGGUGGACACGGGCAGCUCAGUUGACAUUCUGUUUAAGUCGGCCCUAGAUGAUAUGGGGAUUUUAUACUUGAAGCUGAAGCGGACGAAUACAUCCUUGAAGGGAUUUGGAGGGGGACGGUUAACUCCUAUGGGGAUCAUCGAACUCCUAAUUACUAUGGGGUCAAAGCCGUUUGAAAGAACGAUGAUGCUGGACUUUGUCGUGGUGGAAGAAAGAAGCCCUUACCAGAUGAUACUGGGGAGACCGUUCAUGAGGAUAAGCCAAUGUGUAAUGUCCACGCAUUAUCUGGCGUUGAAGUACAGAAUAAAUGGAGUUGUUGGCGUAGUAAAAGACGACCAGAGAAUGGCAAUGAGCUGCUAUGCUACAGCGGCCAAGGAAACGCUGCAGGUUACCUCUCUAGAUAACCGAGGGGAUUCAAAAAAGGGUCGCCAGGAACCUGUUGAGAAGCUGGAGGGAGUUGUUGUAAGCAAGAAUAACCCGAGCAGAGUGGUUAAGGUCGGGUCAGAAUUGGGCGAAGCAAUAAAAGGCGAGCUGGUGAAGUACCUACAGUCCCAUGCAGAUAUAUUUGCCUGGUCUCAUGAGGACAUGUCAGGUAUUGAUCGAGGGAUAGCUUGCCACAAGCUGACAAUCAAGAAAGGGGCAAGGCCGGUGAGGCAGAAAAGGAGGUGCUUUAACCAAGAAAGGUACGAGGCCAUAAUUGCCGAGGUAGAGAAGCUGUUGAAAGCGGGAUUUAUAAGGGAGGCUAAAUACCCAGAGUGGAUUUCCAACGUAGUGUUGGUGAAGAGGCCAACGGAAAAUGGCGAAUGUGUGUGGACUUCACAAACCUUAAUAAGGCAUGCCCGAAGGACAGUUUUUCCUUACCAAAAAUAGACCAAUUGGUGGAUUCAACGGCGGGGCAUAGUCUGCUCAGCUUUAUGGAUGUCUUCUCAGGAUACAACCAAAUACCCAUAAACGAGUAGGACGAGGAGAGUACCACCUUUAUAACUAACAUGGGUUUGUUUUGUUACAGGGUGAUGCCUUUUGGCCUGAAAAAUGCAGGAGCUACCUAUCAAAGGUUAGUGAACAAGGUCUUCAAACCAUUGAUCGGUCACACUAUGGAGGUAUAUGUAGAUGAUAUGAUCACAAAGUCAAGAGAACCGAAGGAUCAUGUGAAGCACUUGGAAGAGACCUUUGAAUUGCUGAGAAGGUAUGAAAUGAAGCUGAACCCGGAGAAAUGUGCAUUUGGGGUCAGCUCGGGCAAAUUUUUGGGAUACCUGGUGAGCCAUCGAGGGAUCAAGGCCAACUCAGAAAAAAUACGGACGGUGAUAGAAAUGAGGUCCCAAUGAACAGCUAAGGAGGUGUAGAGCCUUACAGGGAAAUUGGCAGCAUUGAACCGAUUCAUUUCGCGAGCCACUAAUAAGUGCCACCCUUUCUUCCAAACCAUAAAGAAAGAGAGGAAGAUGGAAUGGACAUCAGAAUGCAAAGAGGCAUUUGGACAGCUGAAGGAAUACCUAGCCCGCGCCCCGUUACUAUCAACUCCGAGAGAGGGUGACCAGCUGCUUUUGUACUUGGCAAUCUCUAAAUGGGCUACCAGCUCGGUCUUAGUCAGGGACGAAGAAGGGAAGUAACACCCGGUAUACUACACAAGCAAGGCCCUGGUAGACGCAGAAACCAGAUAUCCACUGAUGGAGAAGUGGACGCUGGCUCUAAUAACGGCAGCACGCAAAUUCCGACCAUAUUUUCAGGCCCACCAGAUUGUUGUGAUGACUGACCAGCCCCUUCGGCAAAUGCUUCAAAAACCAGAUGCAUCUGGUCGGUUAGUAAAAUGGUCCGUGGAGCUGAGCAAAUUUGACCUAUCCUAUAGGCCCCGAAGAGCAAUCAAAGCCCAAGCCCUGGUCGAUUUUAUAGUUGACCGUGCUGAACCAGGGGAAGAAAUUCAGGAGGAACAACCAAUAGAGCAGGAGAAACCAGAGGGGGUGUGGCUGGUGAUGGUUGAUGGGCACAUAAUGAACAGGGAUCCGGAGCAAGAGUUGUAAUACGGAGCCCAAAAGGGAUCGAGGUAUCCUAUGCAGUAAAAUUCGAGUUCCAGCUUACGAAUAACCAAGCUGAAUAUGAGGCCUUCAUUACUGGGCUCGGGCUUGCACAUGCACUACGAGCUGAAAAAGUAGAAAUCCGAGCAGAUUCCCAGCUAGUCUGCAAUCAGCUCUGCAACUAAUUCCAAGUAAGGGAAGAGAAGUUGGGGCGUUAUUUGAAGAAGGUGAAGCAAAUGGUUGAACUCUUCAAAGAGAUAGAGGUAAAGCAGAUAUCCCAGAUGAGAAUUACCAAGCAGAUAUGUUGGCUAGAAUGGCUGCAAUUGUAGAUCCAAAAUUACCUAAGUCAGUUCCACUAGAGGUGAGGACCUCGCCUAGUAUAGGGGAGGAAGUAGAGGUAAUGAGAGUAAGCACUGAAGAAUCCUGGAUGGACCCGAUUCUCGCAUACAUCCGCGAUGGCAUUUUACCGGAGGACAAAAGGCAAGCAAGAAAAUUAAAAUGCCGAGCAGCGAGGUACACGCUACUCGAUGGGAUGCUCUACCGCCGAGAAUUCACCUUGCCCCUUUUGAGAUGUUUGGAUGAUGAGGAGGCAGAUUAUGUAUUAAGGGAGAUUCAUGAAGGAAUAUGUGGAAAUCACUCGGGAGCAAGAACUUUAGCCUUCAAGGCACUCCGGCAAGGAUACUUUUGGCCAACCAUGCACCAGGAUGCGAAAAGGAUGGCAAAGAAUUGUAAAAUCUACCAAAGUUUCUCAGAUAUUCCUGCACAACCCCUAGAAAAGUUUACCACUAUGACAUCCCCAUGACCUUUUGCUCAAUGGAGAAUCGACCUGAUUGGUCCGUUACCGAAGGGCCGAGGAGCAGCAACACAUGCAAUUAUAGCAAUAGACUACUUCACCAAGUGGGUAGAAGUGGGAGUCUUCAGCCAAAUCACGGAGAGAAAGACGACGGAUUUUCUUUGGAAUAAUAUCAUCUGGAGAUACGGAAUCCCUUAUACCAUCAUUACAGACAAUGAGAGGUAAUUUGACAACAACUUCAGAGAAUUUUGCCGGAACCUGGGGGUAGACCUGAAGUUCUGCACCUUGCACACCCCCAGGCAAAUGGACAAGUGGAAGCAGCCAACAAAGUAAUAAAGAAACUCCUGAAAACUAGACUGGGAGAGAAGAAGGGAGCUUGGGUCGACGAGCUGCCAGGAGUAUUGUGGGCUUACCGGACAACUCACAAAACCGCCACAGGGGAAACCCCGUUUGCUUUAGCUUUUGGUCAUGAGGCGAUUGUCCCAGCAGAAAUUGGAGUGGAAACACAUCGGACGGAAUAUUUCAAUAAGGAGCAAAACGAUGAGUAGAUCUGCUUGAGCCUGAACCUGCUGGAGGAGAAAAGGGAAGGGGCCUCGCAGAAAGUGGCCCAAUGUCAGCAAAGGGUGAUGCGUUAUUACAACAAGAACGUAUGCGUGAGGCAGUUCCGAGCAGGGGAUUGGGUGCUUAAGAAGGUGAAUCAAAACACUAGGGAUCCUAACCAUGGCGCGCUCGGCCCGAAAUGGAAAGGCCCAUACAGGGUGAUUCGGGCGACUGGACCAUGAGCUUACAAGCUAGCGUACCCAGACGGACGAGACGUGAAGAGGUCGUGGAACGCCGAGCACUUGAAGAAGUAUUUUCAGUAAGCAGAGUGCUCUACUAAGUCUUCAUUUUGACAAGUUAUUUCUAUUAAAUGCAUGAUGAAUUGUUACACAUGCAUAUAUUCUGCAUUUCUGUAAAGCAUUCAAAUUUCAAUAAAGAUGAAUUCAGCAUGAAAUCCCUCUGCUAGCAAGCCCAUUAAAUUUUACUAAGGCAAGUAAGUGUUUGUUCCUGCUCGGUCAACGAAAGACCAGCAGGCAAUUUCACGAAAUUUUACUAAGGCAAGUAAGUGUCUGUUCCUGCUCGGUCAACGAAAGACCAGCAGGCAAUUUCAUGAAAUUUUACUAAGGCAAGUAAGUGUUUGUUCCUGCUCGGUCAACGAAAGAUCAGCAGGCAAUUUCACGAAAUUUUACUAAGGCAAGUAAGUGCAUGUUCCUGCUCGGUCAACGAAAGACCAGCAUGCAAUUUCACGAAAUUUUACUAAGGCAAGUAAGUGCAUGUUCCUGCUCGGUCAACAAAAGACCAGCAGGCAAUUUCACGAAAUUCUACAAAGGCAAGCAAGUGUCUGUUCCUGCUCGGUCAACGAAAGACCAGCAGGCAAUUUCAUGAAAUUUUACUAAGGCAAGUAAGUGUCUGCUCCUGCUCGGUCAACGAAAGACCAGCAAGCAAUUUCACGAAAUUUUACUAAGGCAAGUAAGUGCCUGCUCCUGCUCGGUCAACGAAAGACCAGCAGGCAAUUUCACGAAAUUUUACUAAGGCAGGUAAGUGCCCAAUCUUGCUCGGUCAAUGAAAAACCAGCAGGCAAUUUUAUGGAAUUUUCACUAAGGCAAAUAAGUUCCUAUUCCUGCUCGGUCAACGAAAGACCAGCAAGCAAUUUUAUAAAAUUUUACUAAGGCAAGCAAGUGCCUAUUCCUACUCGGUCGCCAAAAGGACCAGCAGACAAAUCUACAAAUUUGGUUAUAGCAAACAACUAUCUAUUCCUACUCAGUCGAUUAUAGGGCUAGCAGGCAAAGCCAACUAAAAGUGUUAAGGCAAUUUGCAAAAACGAUUUAUAAGUAAAACCACAAUAGAAGAGCCAAUAGAAAGCAUUUAAAAUUUAUGCUAAAAAAUGUUUACAAAACAGAUGAAAAUUUAGAGUUUAUACAAAAAUAGAACUAAAAAUUUGGAGGGUCGACAGCUUCAGCAGUUGAAGAAUCAGCAAUCUCGGGAGGUGAAGGAUCAGCAAUCUUGGGAGGUGAAGGAUCAGCAAUCUCGGGAGGUGGAAGAUCAGCAACACCGGGAGGAGGAGGCAUGGACCCUUGACCCAUUUCAAGAGCACGACCCCCAGCUUCCCCUUCCUACACCCCAUCUACAGGAGCCUCCACCUGAUCCUGCUCACCCUGCUCCUUACCUCCAUGAUCGGCCUCAGCCAUAUAUCUCUGCACUCCAGCCUCCAGCUUGCUCAUGUCCAGCUCGGGAUAUUCUUCCUUAAGCACAGACAUGAUGCACUUAUAGCAGAAAGCAACCCCAGAGUCAUACUAUGCAUCCAGCCAAUCAUCCACAUCAACAGAUUUGCCUUUCGCCUCAGCCAACUGCUCAUUCAAGGAUUUGAUUUCUCACUCAAGGGCGGUCCUCAAAGUAUCUCUUUCACUUUGAGUAGCCUGAAGAUCAGACUUCAGGUCACCCAACUCACCCUCAAGUUUGGAAGAGGUGGACUCAGUAACCGCAACUUUCUCCUCCAGCUCCGUAAUCUACUUGUUUAGCUCAGCCAGCUUCUCCUUCGAGCGAUCAGCAGAUUCAGUUUUUUUCUUCAAAUCCUGAUUGUCAGCUUGAAGCCUCCUCUCAUGGCGCGUGGACCUGUUCUUGUAACAAGAAACUAUAGUGGCCAGCUUGAAGGAGACCCUCUGGACAGAACCAGCCAACUCACUGAGGCUCAUACUCUCGAUUUCCUUCACCAUCUUGGGCCCCACCGAUUUGCCGUAAUCCCUCUAGUACGGGCUCAGGUAGUCACCUUGAUCCCGAGAUGGAAGAGGAGCAGACCGGUCCCCGGAUUGGAUGCUGACCUCGGGACCCUUGUCGGAAGUUUUCUCCCCACCACUCUUACGAGGUGGAGGAGGAGGCAGAGCAGGAGCAGGAGCUUUGGAAGGACUGACGCUGGUUUUCUUUGGAGGAGGAGGAGGGUUACUGGAGCUGCUUGGAGCCCGAGCACAUUUUCUGCUCAUCGCGCUGAGGAUCUUGUUAUCCAUUCCGGCUGCAAUGUCCACUAAGCCCGAACCGACCAAGUUUGUUGGUGACAGGAGGUCUUGGCAAAUAGACGCGUUCACUAGAGCAGUUUCCACCUGAAGCAAAGGUUGGUCUUCAAGAUCCUUAACCAAACCCCACGAUUCUGAAAAAACAAAUAAGGUUAAAGAACCCAAUAAGUGGCAAUUUGAGAAAGAAUAUAGGCAAAAAAUGAAUGACCUGGGGUGACAAAAUGCGUUGGAAGGUAAAUAUCACCACCCAACGAGCGGGCUGCUGGACACCAAUUUCCUCCAGCAAAGAAGAAUUUGUUCUUUCAAUUUUUGCACGAGGAGGGGAAGCCAGUAAUUGGCUUCCUCUUCGCAAAGCUCGACAUGAAAUAAUACCAGCCUGCUUCCUUUGGGCUACUCCUCAGCUGGUAUAAAUGCUUCACUUCAACAAGGAAGGGCUCAUCUGAUCCACACCUCUCCCAUAAUACGAACAUAGCCGAGAGAACCCUCCACCCAUUCGGAUGUAACUGACCUGGGGCCAGGUGCAUACCCCCCAGUAUCUUGGCAAAAUAACGCUGAAGGGGCAGCCGAGCUCCUAGUCUAAAACUCUUCAGGUGCAUCGUCACAUACCCCCGCGGAGGCCGACUAGGAACAUCACCUUUCCCAGGAACUACAAGGGGAACCUCCUCAGGAAUGUUGUAAAGGUUCCUAAGCUUGAAUAGAUCAGUUUGGGUGGUGGCACAGGCUAUGUAGUCGAUAAGGUAAGAAUCCGCCUCCACCCUAUGGCCAAGGUUUCUCUUCUUAGGAGCUCGGCUCGGCUCGGAACUGCUUCUCUCACCAUCACCCACUUCUUCAGGGACCCCAACCCCAUCAGAACUGUGGUUCUCACCAGAGCCCGACGUAGGUCCCCCUCUAUUUCCUACAAGCUCUAAUUCAGGGGAAGGUGAAAUGGUCAGGGGACGUGGGUACUCAAGGGUAUCCCUGCCAUGGGAGGGGCCUACACUACUCGAGGGACGUAAAAAAUCAGUGUGUAUUGACAAGUUAAGGUGUAAAUCCUCUGUUUCUUUGUCACUCUCAUCUGCAAUCAACUUCCUUCUCCGAUUUGACAUAUCGAAGUCCCAAAAGGAAACCAAAACAAACCCGAGUAUACGAAUACAAAAAGGGGCAACAUAGAACCCAAUCAACAACAACCAAAGAAGAGGUUAAAGGCUAUACUUGGAAUAGACUGGCACUGAUAAUGUUGCUGUGAUGGAGGAAAGACCCAGUAAACGGAAAUCCCAGACGCGGAAAGUAUGAACGAAGUUCGUAGGAGUUGUCUCACGACAGAGAAGCGAAUAGUAAAACGAUGAUGAUUUCAAUCUAGGGAUUUGAAACGAAAAGGGGGAAAUGGAAGCGUUUAAGUGAUGGGCAUGCCAGCUCACUCACCUUAUAUCGAGGAUGGAUAGCCCGUCGUUUCAAAUUUCAAAUACGAAGAGUCGGGAAGCGCCACGUCACUAACUAUUAUAAAAGGCCUGACGAGACAUAGGCCCAAAUAUUUACGAGAUAUAUUCAUAAAGGCCCAUACUCGGAUAAAAAUCUCCUCAGACGAGAGAGGGAACCUCAGGUCCAUCCCAGUAAACAGAAGACCAAAUGGGAAGUUUCCCGGGCCGGUAAGAUUCGAUUAUCAGUUUCUACUCUCAACUCCUUUCACUCGCAAGACCAGAAACUGGGGGACUGGUGUUAGGUAAAUAAGAGCACCAGCUCGGCCAUGCCAUCAAUGAUACGAGCAGAACACUGAUAAUGAGCCCUCUACAAACAUGGGCCGACCAGAGACGAGUACCAGCCAGAGGAAUAUACCGACCAGAGACAUAUACCGAGCCGAUACCCAUUCCCCAAAGAGCGGGAACACGAUCCCACAGAAUCACGACAGUUGCGCUUUUCCCAAAACUGUUGAGGGAAACGCGAGAUCCCACGUUUGCCCAUAAUGUAGCAGUUAGAGUCCCAUGAAGGGCUGCCACUACCCAAAAAAGGGGGGAUGAAGGGUAAACGGAAACGUGGGACAGCGGCUAUAAAAGAGGAAGAAAUCGAUGAAGAAAGGGAUAGAAAAAUUGAGAGAAGGGAAAACUCUGUCAAAUUGAAACCAGACCAUUUUCAAUACAAAUUGUGAGCCCAUUAUAAGCAAUUUAUCGAAUCUUAAUUGUAUUGUUUUUCCGUAAACACCUUGUGCUAACUUAGGCAUCGGAGGGUUUACGCCGGCAAAACCACCGGCGUCUCUGAUCCACUUUUGUGAAUGCAGGCUUAGUGGGAGAAGGAAGGAUAAUUCUAACUUCGAUGACUAGAGCAAUCGUCGAAGUAAGAAGAAAUUGACAUCCUCACUGUUGAUAAUAUAAACGUUGGUGUAAAGAUCUGGUCGAACAAAAGACGAGCAGAUUUCAGCAUCAACACCAUGUUUAAAAAAUAAUAAAAAAUUAGAUUAACACUACUGUAGCAACGUUUUUCUAAACAGUGCAGCCAGCCCAAAACCUGCUCCCAGAAUAUAUUUUAAUGCUGGUCUAACUACAUCAGCAAACAUUGCAACUAAAACUUGUAGCUAAAUAUGGGAUAACAAAAUUCUGAUAAGGAACAGUAUUUUAAUGCAGGCUGCCAAACGAUCUUCUUCUUCUUAAUAAUAGAUAAACUUACUAAGCUUGCGAAAGGUUCUGAUUUCGAAGUUAAUCAUCUUCUUCUUAAACAAACUAAGCAGACCCAUCAGCUUCUUAUUUACUUCAUUUACCAAAAAGGAAAAAUUAUACCUAAUAAAUCCCAAAUUGUAAUAAAAAAAUUUAUUUUCAAUGCUGAUUGAAAAAAAAAAAAUCCUUCUUUUACAGUCAGGGCAUGCAAACUAAUUGUGAAAAUAAAAGAGAAAGGACCAAGCUAAAACUUACAGGUUGAAGCGUGUAUCGCAGGGAGCCACUUAAUUGAACUCCAAUGAAGUGUUUGAAUGAAAGAAGGAAAAUAUAUUUCUUCUGUGUAAAAGCAAUCAGGCAAUUUCGGAGCUCAGUGUUCUGCUGUAUGUCUUCAGAAGUCCUAUUUCCAAAAGCCAAAAGCCUUGGUCAAAACUAACUUUCAAAGGUUUUGCCCCCACGAAAUUUCCUUGAAGCUACAAGAAAUGUUUUAUUUUUUUUUAAUACGCGUGUUGAAAAGCGGGAAAACACUCUUUUUGUCACUUUUAUCUUUUUUUUGUUCUUUUUUCCUUCCCACCCCCCGCCCCCCUCCAGCUACGGUGGCGCUAUUUAUUAGAUGUAGGUGUCCAGUUGUUUUCACAAUUAUUUUAUGUGACAUCAUUUUCUUAAUAUUUUUAGAUUGCGGUAAUACCUAGUUGGGGACAGAAAUGUGAAGGUUGGACAUGUGGCAAUCUUUGACUAAACAAGCCAGUCGGGAUAAAUAAAAUAAUAUUUGAAACGCUUUUUUCAACUUUUUAUUUUCAAUUCAAAACCGAAAUGUCAAAAAAUUGAAACCACAGGUUAUCAGCAAAAAGUAAAACUAAGACAAAAAAUAAAAUAAGACCAAAAAUAAAAAUUUCUCAAAUUUAUGAGUAAUUAUAUGUAAUGGGGUAAUGCUAGACACACCAUUAGAAUAAGGCUAACGCUACGUUACGUUAAACGUAAGAUACAUUCCACAAAGAUAAUAUCAAUAAGUGCCCCUAAUUAUUAUGGAAACUACAUUAUUUGAAUUAAAAGAAAUACUUUUAAAUCUCAAAGAAGAAAUGAAAGAAAUCAAACAAGAAAUAGGAAAGAUAAAAAUAGAAUUGUCUGUAAUUCAAUUAAGCCAAAAGAAAAAUAAAAGAGUGGAAAAAUUUGAAAUACUAAAAUCUGGAAUAAUUGGAACAAGCCUUAAAAAACCCAUACAAAAACCUCAACCAGGCAGCUACGAUGACUGGUUUGUAAAGACUCAAUACCCAAAAAUAUUAGAAGAAACAGAAAAAUUAAAAGCAGAAUUAAAAAUUGAAGAAAAAGGAAAAGAAAAACUAGAAAUAAAAGAAACAUCACUUAGCGAUACUGAUUAAUGGAUGAAAUACUAGAAGAAGUAACUGAAAAAUUCAGUGACAUAAAUCUAAGUGAUUUGGAAGAAUUUGAAAGAGAAUAUUGUGUAAAAAUGAAUACUGCUGGAGGACCAGAAAUGAAACCUAAUGUAGCAGAGCCAAGCCAUAGAUAUGAAAUACAAAAGAAGAAAAGACCAUUUUUUGAAUAUAAUCAAAUAGACAAUCCUUACAUGGAAGAAGAGGAAAAACCCCUAAAUCCAAAAGAAGAAGAAUAUAAACAAUUUUCUACAUGGAUAUAUUCCACUUGUUCUCAUAAUAAUACAAUAUUUAGAGCACCUGGAAAAAAUAUGUACCCCAGGAUGAUUGUUACAAAAGGAGCAGACCCACUCCUUGUUGGGAAAAUAGCAAAAUAUGGCUAUUUAGACUUAGUAUAUCCUAGUGUAGAUCUUCGAGAAAUAGCCAGCUUUGAUGAGUUACUAAUAAAAGAAGUCUCAAGGUUUGCCCAAAAAAGACCCAUAUAUUUAAAGUUUUAUACUAUAAGUCCAGAAUACCAUCAGAAUAUAGAAUACCAAGCAUUCUACAUGAUUUCUGUAGGUCAUAUUACAAAAAAUUUUAAAGUCGAAGUAGGAACAGAAUAUACAAAUGUUCCUCACAUAAAUGAAACCUGGAUCAGAACACGGAGAGCCAGAGGAAUAAAGGCUAUAUGGAGCAUAGCAAAGGAUUUAUAUAAGAGAAAUUUCAGAUCCAUCAUUAAAUUUCAAAAUUACAUCCUUAUAACUUCUGAGGAUGGACAUACACCUUCAAAUCUGUUACUAGAGUUCAUCAAUGAAAUAAGUACUAUGCGUUUCCCUAGUAGCAGCAAAACCACAGAACAAGCUUAUCAACUCAUGGAUAUAAAGCAGUGAUUGACAGGCUAUGGCCGACAGCAUAAAACAAAGAAAAGAUAAAGAUAUGGUGGACAAGAUAAAAGGUGAUGUCUGACAAAAGGAUACGAAGCAUGAAGAUAAAGAUUCGAAGAUAAGGCAUAUGGAAAAGCAACAACAAGACAAGAUAAAGUGGCUUGACAAGAUACGAAGCAUGAUAGACAAGAUAAGGAGCAUGAUAAAUCUACAGGAAGAUGCUUGAUAAUGAUGUAAAAGCACAAUAAUACAAGGACAAAAAUGUAACUUGCUUGAUAAUAAUGUAAGAGCCCAAUAAUACAAGGGCAAAAAGGUAAACAUAAACCCGAGACGACUUGAAUAUAAAUAAAGAGCAAUAAUCUCUAAGGGAUUAUUCAACCAUUUUUACAAUAAUUCCAUUGUCUUCUAUGAUCAUGAAUAGCUAAUUCUCUCAGCUCAGAAUCCUAAAUCGAUACAUCAUUAAUAAAAAACAAAAAAUCACCAUAGAAAGGAAAGAGAAACCUAAAUUUAUUCAACAUUUCUAAGCUCAACGAUCGCAUUCCAUACAGUAAGGCCACUCGAGUCCGCCGAUCCCGUUGAGGCAAGGAGGCCGUUGAGGGAGUAAGGACAGUAAGGCUGCAGGUCACUGGAGAAAGAUCGGAAGGCAAAGAAACAAGAAUAGCUUGGGUAAUAAUUCUCAAACCUUAUCUGUUGGUGGAAGUUUGUUGAUUAUUAUUGAUGAGGAGAUUUAUGGAGGAAGAGCUAAUUUCUUUGAAGUGAAAUAUUUUAAUGAACAACAAUAUCAUAUUAGGAAAUUCUAAGGAAUACAUGAUAAAUCCAACAACUAGAAUAACAUAUAAUGAUUAUACAAUGAUUAUAGAUUUCAAUUUAGGAUCUUUCAAACAAAGUUCUUAUCUUUUAAAUAAAGACGAACUUGUUAGAACUGAAGAACUACAAGCAGUAUAUGCUCUUGAAUUACCAAAGGAAAUAAAAAGAAAAAUAAUAAAUCAUGUAGAAAUAGAUACUUUAAAGCAUAACAUCAUCAUGCUAACUAUAGAACAAGGAAUUGACAUAGCUCUGGCAUAUACAGAACAUGAAAAUAGAGAAGCUGGACCAUCAUACAUAAACUACUUAGAAAAUUCUGAUAAUGAAGAACUUGAAUUAUAUGGUAUAUAGGCAAGCAACCCAUGACGUAAAUUGGAUAGACGAUCCCGAAUGGGCGUUAGUAUCCUCUGUACUUUGGGAUAACAAGCCACGUACCUAUAAUCAGUAUAGUUUAUAAUCAUGGAAAUUUAUAAUGAAACCAGAUAUUACACUAGUAUAAUAAAUAAUUUUAUAUAUUUUAUAAAAGUAGAAAUAUUCUAUUCAGAAAAUGUAACAGAAAGUUUAAAUAAUCAAACUUUAAAUCCUACAUAUAUUUUGGAAACUAAUAGUAGCUAUUACGACUUAUAUGUUCCCAUUCUUCCUAAUACAUUUCCUAGAACAAUUGAUGGAGAACAAGUUAUAGCUGUAUUUUUAAGAAAUAAUAAUAAUACAGGAUAUGAUAGAUAUGUGCUAUAAAUAAUAAAAACCUUUACAAAAAAAAAAAAUUUAUCUGUUUUUAGUAGUUUAAUUUUUAUCAUUUUUUCAGUUUAUUCAAUUUAUUUCAGUAUAAUUUUUAGUUUCACCGAAACAAAUGGUAUCAGAGCCAAAGUUCUGAAAUAAAAUUCUCACAAAAAACUUAAUAAUAAUUUAUUAAUGGACCCGAUACAAACAAUAGUUAAUAGCUUAUACACUUUAAAGGUAUAUAAUAAAGAAGAAAUAAAAAAUCUCAUUAUGGCUUUAAAAAUUGAUAAAAAUAAUAUUAGAAAUAUAGAACUCGAACUAACAGAAGAACUUAGAGAACGACAUAUAGACACAACAGGAGGAGAGAUAUUAAUAGAAAAGAAAAUGAAAUUUAUAGAUGAAUUUAUAAAAUUUCUAGUAUACUGGUAUAAAAAAGAAACAAUAUGAACCAUAAUCAACAUGCAUUUAAUAUAAUACAUGGAUUAGUAGAUAGUAUAGAUCAUAUGAUUUUAGGAUGGGAAAAUACAUUAAAUACAUAUAUAACUUUAAUAACUCAGAAAAUAGAUUUACUAGAACAAGAAAGAAUAGGAAUAAUAAAUUUAGGACCAGAAAUUUAUUCUGAAAUUAUAGAUCUAUAUGAAUUUGAUAACCAUUUAAUGUUAUUUAAAGAGGUAAUCAAAACCUUAGAAAAAAUAAGAAAUAGAUGUAGAAGGGAUGGAAGAAGACAAAUACAUCUAUAAUUAAUAAAUAGAAGGACCCAAGAAAAAUUAACCAGAAAAAGAAAAAGACAAAAAACGUAAGAUACAUUGAUCGUAACUUAGGUACUCCCUUAGAAUAAACUUAUCCUGUAACUAAAAAGAAAAAAAAGGCGGCGGUUAAAAAUUAAAAUAAAUAAAAGAACUAAAGAAGGAGCUGUAAACAGGAAAACAUAUACACACGUGUGAGUGAGAGAAGCUACCAAAACCUGACCCGAAACCCGACCCAAACCCGCAAGCCCGACCCGGCCAUAUCUCCAAUUUCCGGCCACCUCAUCGGCCGAGCAACGUACCAACCUGAAGCUUGAAGACCAUCAUACCCCAUCUGUCCUCGUCGCCGGAAAAUGGUUAGAACGCCGGCGAUCAAGCUCGAUAAGCGGCGGUAAAAUCCACCCCUUCUCGCCGUCGAUUCCGCCAGUUUUGGGUGACGUCACCGCCUGGAUCUUGAUCCUCAGAUCAUUCCCAUCAUUUUCCGACCAACCCCGCCACCUGAAACCGCCGUUUUGGCAGCGAACGACCGCCGGAAAGCUUGCGGCUUGGGAAACUCGAUCCGCCGCUUUUGCCGCGCGUGCAAGCUCACUGCCGGCACCAUUAGGCUCAGCGUGGCCGAACCUUUCAGGCUUGAGCUUCCCGGCUACUGUUGACUGAAUUUCGGUCACUGAUGACCGGUGAGGGCAAUCUCGUAAUUUUAUAUUUUGAGGGCGAUUUUGUAAUUUCGGAUCAUGUGGAGAUUUUACUUAUUCCGAAAAAUUAAGGAUUCGUUGUAAUUAGGAUUUUGAGGGUAAUUUGGUAAUUUUUAAUUCGGGAGUAUUUUAAUAAUGUACAAACUCAAGGGUAUUUUAGUAAGUUUUUUGGCACAAGAGUUAUAAAUUAUGGAUUGAUAUUGGUUUUGAGUUUAUUGCAUAAAUUUGGUCCUAAUUUCGAUUAAUGAAAAAAUAAUUAUGUCAUUUCCUUAAUUUAGGAGGAUCCACAAGCUAAUCAAUCCGUAGACGUGAGCGAUAAUUGAGUCUGAGCAUCGUCACUAUGAGUGAAAUAUACAAAACCUAUUUUUAUAGUUAAUUAUGAUAGUGAAACAUGUUCGUGAAAUGAGAAAUUUAAAUGUCUUGAUUCAAUAAAUUUCUCGAAAUGGAUUUAAGUUACGCAUUAAUAUUUUAUUAAAAUGUUUUGGAUUAUGAUUUUCCAUAUCGACUUUGGAAAAAAUAUUAUAAGUGUUUUAUAGACAAGAAAAGUGAUUUGGAUGUGAUAUAAAAAGAAAAUAGAUUUAAAGUAUGUUAAAUAGAAAGGAAAUGAGAUUUAUAGUAUGAUUUUAUGUUCAUGUAUAUGUGUAUAAAAUGUUGAUUGUAAAAUUAUUGGACAGUACCAUUCUUUGGUUGCAAUGAUACAGAUAUGAUGAGGCUUUUGGAGCCCGUUUAAAAACACAUAAAGGCUUUUGGCCGUGUGUUUGGGUGUUUCUGCCUUUUGAGGGCAUAUAUAUGUGAUAUGAUGAUAAUAGUGAUAUAGAUACAAAUAAUAAAGAUGAGAUACAAGCUUUUACAGGCUCGUCUAAGUACACACAGAAGCUUUGGCCCGUGUGCUUAGGCUCUUUUGUCAUUUAAGAACUAGAUUAUGCAUGCACAAAUAUGAUGAUAUGUGAGAUGACACUUUUAUGUCUAUCUGUGUAGCUCUGGGGCAUAACCGUACCUAGAUAAUACAUCAAUACCCAUCUGUUGAGGUCUGGAUACGGUGAGAUUAUUUCUUUGGGUACUUAUUUAAUGAUAAUUUUAAAUUUGUGUAUUUUAUAUGAUAUUGUAAUAUAAUUUCCAUGGUUAUUAUGUACGAUAUUACAUAUGUUCUUCAAGGUUAAUAAUCUGAUUUAAAUGUUAAAUGAUUUAUAAAUAUUUUCUCGUAUAUGGUUUGAUGAAAUCGAAUUUAAAAAUGAUAUGAUUAAAUUAUUUUUAAGUUAAAUUAAUUUUCAAAAAUCAUUAUCCACUGACCUCAUUGAGUUUUAUAUUCAUCAUGUUUUUAUUAUAUUUUUCCCCUCAAAAGGAGAUUGUAGGUACACCAAAUCAACCUAGGGACUGUAGAUAUUUUGAAUUUUGGGCACAUGAUAGUGUUACAAGAUAUAGAUGAUUUUUAUUAGGACAUCCUGAUCAUUUCAUUUUUCUUUUUUUGCGAUUGUAUAAUUUUAUUGUAUUAUUCUUUUGGGAUUAAGAAUAAACUAAUGUAUAUUAAUAUUGGUUAUAAUAAAUACGAAUACAAUAUUAAAAUAAAAAUACUAACUAAAAUAGCACAUUAAUACAAAUAAGAUAUUAAAAUAAAUAUAAUUAAAAAAACAAAAUAUAUAUGUCAUGCAAAUUAUUUUAAUAUUAAAGCCAUUAUCAACAUGUCUCAAUAGAUUUUAUUAAAACUUAAAUUUGUUAAUCCAAAAAUUUAUUUUUUAUUUAUUCUAUUAUAGACAUAACUCAAAAAAAGUAAUAUAUAUAAUAUAAUAUAAAUAUCGAUUUUAUAAAUUAUUUUGAACGUUAAAUACAUUUAUUUUAUAUUAUUAAUCUAUGAAACCAAUUUUAUUAAUAUUAAACAAAUCUAACAAAUUAGUAAUAUCAAAAAAAAUAUUGUUUAAUAUUAAAAUAAUUUAUAAUAUUUAUAAUAUUUUAUUUAAUGAACUAUUUAAUAUUAUAUUUCUAUGUGUUAUAAAAAUUUAUUUAAAGUCAAUUUCUAUGUUGUUGUAAUCUAAGAAUAUAAUCUUUAGAAAGGGGUAUGUGUGAUCAUUUGUGAGAGCAAGACGACCUAUGUUAUAUUUUAAAUAAAUCUUGGAGGCAUGGGUGCAUUUUUUCCUAAAGAAAAUAAAGACUUUAAAAAAACUUAACUUGAUUAAAGGACCCAGGGUUUAGAAUUCGUAAUAGCUAGCAUGAACAAAUAUCGUAUUCGGGGCAUCAAUCUUUGUUAUUAUUAUUAUUAUUAUUAUCACCAUCAUCAUCAUUAUUAUUAACAAUUACACAAAUAAGAAUAAUAACAAUAACAAUUAUAUAAUAAUAUUUUAAUUGAAGACAAAAACAAAAUUAUGAAGUUUAAGUGGGGUAAAAUUUGGAGCUCAUAGGAAUAAGAACUUGACUCCCAAAGGUCCAUAAGAAUCAAUUCUCAUUCAUUAAUCCUAGAAACGUAUCGGCCCCCCACAUUUUAUUUUCGUUCCUUUUUCUAUUUUUAAAAAUAAACAUUAUCGAUCAUUCUCAUUUUGAAUUUUAAUUUCAGAAUCUAACUAGUAAGCACAUCAUUAAUGUAUCACACGAGAGUAAUAAGAGUAGUAAUAGGCCGGCGAAGACAACGGUUAGGAAAAUAACUACAGCAAAGCGGUGGAAACAAAGUGUUCCAUGCAAGUACGGGUUCGGAAUUAGAUUUGUCUAGGAGUGUAAAAAAUAAUUAAAUUGAAUAACUGAGUUACGUAAGACAAACAUUCAUGUAAACUUCUAAAACAAAUGCUAGAAUACAAAACUGCGAGGAAACUUACCGCUCUGAGCGCGUGGGAGGCACUGAAAGAUGAUGAAAUUUUACUUAGAUUACAAUUAGGACAGUGUUUAUUUUUUAGAGUGGGAGUGAGGAGUGUGGAUUCCUCCCACUUUAGUGUUGACUUCAACAAAAUAGAGAAGGAUUGGGAAUCCCACUCCGUGGGCUCCACUCAUUUUUGGAGUGGGGAGUGGGAGUGGGACUCCCACCUCUCCCUUUUCUAUUUUUUUUUAAAUUUAAUUUCAUAAAAUAAAAUAAUUUAUAAUUAUAUUUAUUUAAAUAAUAUUAUUAUAUUUAACUAAAUAAUAAUUUACAUUGAUUAUAAGUUAAAAUUACUUUAAAAUAAUAUUAUUAUAUUAAUAGAGAAUUAAUAAAUAUAUGCUAUCUUUAUUUAAUAAUAUAAUAUUAUUAUAUUUAUUUUAAAAAUAACAGUACUAUAUUUAUUUAAUAUUAAUAAUUAAUAAUAAUAAACAGUUUAUUCUAAGAAAAUAUUAAUUUUGUACUAAAUAAUAUUAUAUUAAUAAAUUUAAUAUAAAUAUAUAAAAUAAAAUAAUGUUUCAUUUUAUAUUUACCCUUCUUUUUAUUAAAUUUACUACAACUAUAUUUAAUAAAUAUUUAAAUAAUAUUAUUAUAUUUAACUAAAUAAUAAUUGUGUUUGAUUCUAAGUUUAAUUUACUUAAAAAUAAUAUUAUUAUAUUAAUAGAGAAUUAAUCAUAUUACUAUAUACAAUCUUUAUUUGAAAAUAUAAUAUUAUUAUAUUUAUUUAAAAAUAAUAGUAUUAUAUUUAUUUAAUAUUAAUAAUUAAUACUAAUAAAUAGUUUAUUCUAAGAAAAUAUUAAUUUCAUACUAUGUUAAUAGUAAAAAUAUUUCAUUUAUAUUGCCCUUAUCAACAAUUUUUAAUUUAUAUAAUUAAAAUAAAAAAAAUUGUGAUGUUCAUAAUUAAGAAUAUUAAUAAUUAUUAUAAAUUUACAAAUAUAAUAAAAUAAAUGUUUAUUCAUUAAAUAUAUUUUUUAUUAACUUUGUGAUUAAAAACUAUAAUUCUUUACAUAAGGAUAAAAUUGUAAUUUGAAAUUAUUUACUCCCAAUUCAAGACAAAGUAAACACAUAAAUUAGAUUCUGAUCUCUAUUCCAUGCUUCUAUUCAUGUGCAAGUAAAUAACCUACUCCCACUCCCACUCUACACUCCCAAUCUUAAAAUUCUCACUGCUCAAGAUUCCCACUCUAAUUCAAAAAGUAAACGCAGCCUGUGUUUCUUUCAAAGAAAUCAGUUAGAGGAUUUCAUGUUUUCUAAUUAAUUCUUCUUCUUUUGUUGGCCGACAGCAAGUCUUGUCAGCGAUAUUUGCAAGAGAUAAUUAUAAAGGACGGCGAAUGGAAUAAAAGACAUGUUCAACUGUAACAAAUGCUUCGAUAACGUAGAGUCCUAGACACCUAAAGCAAUUGCAUUAUCUCUAAUUAUUUAAAUAAUAAUAAUUUAGACUACUUAAUGAAACAAGACAUAGAAGAUACAUGGUAUGAACCAACCUCUCCACUGAUCAUCUAUUUUGUCUUCUUUUUCUCUUCUUUUUCUCUUCUUCAAGUUCUUUUAGUACGUGACGCGGCAUUUUAUUUUGUUUAUUCAGUGUCGAUAAAACUGUGUCGGAGCAUCUUCCAAGAAAUUAUAUAUGAAACAUAAAUUAUAAGUAAGUACAGUAAUAUUAUAUUCAUAAAUUAUGUCUACAAAUAGAAAGUAAAUUAACAUAACAUCAAUGAAAUAAUAAACAUAUAAAUAAUAAUGAUAGAUAAAAAAAAAUGUGAUAUGAGCCUAAUUAGAUAAAUCAGUAAUGCCUUAAUAAACAAUAGUAUAGUUUAUGGUAAGGCUAGCCUUUUGAAGAGAUGAAAAUCCGCCAAACAUCGUUUCCUCAAAAAAUAGGAACUUUUAAAACCAUAUGCAUAUGAAAAUUUAUCAAAAAUAAACUUUAUUAUACACUAAUUGUUCCGUGCCAUUUUCCUGAAUACUUUUUGUAUAUUUUAGAAACACAUACCUAAACAAUCUGAUCAAGCAUGAAAUCAUUUUCGAUUCAUGGAAGACAACAACUUUGGGGAUGAUAUUUUGCUCUUGUGGUAAUUGAAGAUGCAUACUUACUGAAAUAUUCAGAGAAUAGUAAGUAGGCUUCUCCUUUUGUAUGAGUUCACUCAAUGAAUCUUUGAGGUUGUGGUUCCUCAUCACCUCAACAUAUGCAGUAAGGCUUCGCCUUGAUGUUGUUGCUACAACCAGUGGCGGACUCAGAAACUAAAAUGAGGGGGGGCUUAGUUUAAAAAAAAAUUAUUUAACUUAAAUUUUUUUUAAUGUUCACUUGAAUACAUUUUAAGUCUUAUAAAUUCAAAUUUUAUUACUUUUUUUUAAUUCUAAAUAAUAAUAGUAAUAAAUUAUUUUUUUAAAUGCGUGAAAAUAUCAUUGUUUCGAAGUAGUUUCCACAAAAUAUUUUAAAAAAUAAAAUAAUGUGGCUAAUGGGAUUUGAACCAAGGUUUUAAAACCAUUAAAUAGCACUCUUACCAUUGAACUACAAGUCUUUUGAUGUAUAAAAAAUAUGUCCAAAUUCAUUUAUCUAACUUUUUCAGAAGGGGCUUGGGGCACAUUUAAAAGAAAAUUUAACGGCCCAGGGGGGGCUAAAGCCCCUCCUGGGCCUUCAUUGGGUCCGCCCAUGGCUACAACCAUCUGUGAUGCAACAAAAUUUUGAGAGGGUUCAUUCAGAUUAUAAGUGGGUAAAGCGACCCCAUAUAAACUGGAGGGAUAUCAUACCUCUCACCUCCUAUCCUGGCCAAAAUAUGUUGAAAAAAUAGCAUAUCAAUAUGCUAUAUUGAGGGCACAUUUUGAAUGGGUCCCAUUUAGCAAAAAUGAGAAAUCUUUGUGAAGUUCGUGUUCUUCUUCGUGAAUAUUUCGAAAGUAAUAUUUAUUUACUCAAAAUGGUGCUUGGGUGAAUAAGCAAUUGUCUCUCAAAGUUCACUCUUGAAGUUGAAAAUUUGAAAGGAAAUGAGGUUUAUCCCACAAGGGAAAAAUAAUCCAAGGGAUUUGUGUUUAUAUAGGCACUUACCCAUACAUGAGAAAAAAGUAUAAGGAUAGAAGCUUAUCUUCACACGCGUGUGCGCAAAGGGGGAUGCGAAUCCAAGAUCGAUUUGGUUGCCCGCGUGUCUUGCGUACGCGAAUGUCAGUCCAAAAUUUCAAUUUUUUUAUAACAGUUUCACAAUGUUUGAAUUCAAAGGAUUUGUAACAGCUUCGCAAUUAUUUUUUGGGCUGUUAUGCAAUUCAAUUUUUGAAUUCAAUUGGCUGUUACAACAAUUAAAUGGCAUAUAUUGAAUUCAGAAAUUCAAUACUAUGCUGCUGUUAUAUCCUCACAUGUGUAUAAAAAGGCAGCUUCCUCUUCUAUUUUUCGAACACACAGAAACCAGCACACAGAGCACUUAAAAUUUUCUUUCCUUCUUCGUCCGUCUUCUUUUCUGAUCGAGUUUGUCGCUGUUGUAGUUUGCCGAAAUUAUCUGUCUGUGCUUGACGGAUAUUUCUUGCCCAUUGUAUCAUGGGAAACAGUUACCAGCAAACCUAAAGCACUGCAGUAGGUGGUAAAUAUAUUUUAAGGAUACUGUGUUACAGGCCUUGGAUUUAUUUUCUUUGUUUCGUUUGAUUUCCAGUUGCUGUUUUUUGCUGCUGUUUAAUUCCAGUUGCUGUCUUGCUGCAGUUUAAUUCUAUUAGCAAUUAAUUUUGUAUAAUUACCUACUGGUUUUAUUUGUUAACUCGCUGUUGUUAUUUUUCUAACAAAAUACACCUCUGAGAAGGUACAAAUUUUAUGAAGACGCGCAACCCUAAAUUUAUAUUAUUGAAUCACACUCAACAGCUUGGGAAAUUGACCUUGUUGAUUUGAUUGCUUUUGGUUUGGAAAUCGUAGUGGUGGCGCAACGGAUAUCAUCUUCUCUUUGUUCAACACUUCAGUUGGGAAUUGGGAUGGCAUGGUUCCUACUUGGGCAUUUUAUCAAACAUGUUCUGGGCAUGGGUAUCAUACAAUUACUCCUCAAACACAUUUUAUCAAAUCUGCAAAAUUUAACUCAAAUUAUAAUUUAAAAAAUGUGUCAUGUAAUUUAAGUGAAUGAUUGAAAUUUAAAAAUUUAUCAUUAAUCAAAUUUUUUUCAAUUUACGUGUAGGGAAAAAAAGGGAAUAUUAUUUUGAAUUUUUAAAAUAACAAAACAAUAUAAAUUUUUUUUUUUAUUAACACAUUUAUUGAAAUUCAAAUUUUAAGCCUGUCUUUAAAAAUAUAAAAAAAAAAAGAAAAAAAAGGAGAUUUUAUGAUAAGAUUGGGGUGGGGUAGGCAAAUAGUCCAACUCCGUAAAAAAUAUAAACAAAUAGUUCAACAAAAGUCAAAAAGUACAAAUUAAAUAAGCAAGGUUGAAUUCAACAAGCCCAUAAAGGCCUACAAAAUUCCAACAUCAAAAUGGAUGGGAAGGGCACUUGAUGAAGCCUUAUUUUACAAUGAAGACAACCUGUCAGUGGCUAUGAACAAUAAUUGUUUGCCAAAAAUAUUUUUGGUCAAAUAUGUGGUAUGAUCCUUAUAAAUAAAUGAUAAUUUACUUCAUCAAAAUAAAUUUUAUCGAUACAUAUGCAUUUAAUUUCAUUUUUCUCGAUAAAUUAUUGUGCUUUCAAGUUUCUUUAAUUUGCAGCAUUUUAUUAGAAAUUUAUUAGGGCCAGUUUGAGAUUGCAGUAAUUGAUGAAGUAAAUAAUUUCUGCCAUGCGGAUAAAAGAAACUGCUUACUUAAAAAAAAGUUCAAUGUUUGCUAAAUUAUGUUAUUGCAGUUGCUAUAAGUUUAAAAAGCAAAGUAUAUGCAUUUGAUAAAUUUUAUUAUGAAAGUGUUAUUUAAUUAUAUAAUUAUCAAAGUAGAUAUAAGUUUAAAUUAUUUUUUAUUUGUAUAUUAGAGUGAUUUCAUUGGAAAAUAAGAUAUAAUUAUCGUUGUUUUUAAAAUGUUAAGGAUAUAAUAAGAACUUUAAUAAGAUCAACGACUUAUUCAGUAAGCUGCUUAUAAAAAACAACUUCUAUCCUAUUUCAAAAAACUGUUGACAUAAUAGAAAAACUUAUGAAAUAAACCGUUUUAAAAAUAUUACUAAACACUAUUUUUAUUAAAAUUUAUGAAUUAAGCAAUUCCUAACGGGAUUUGUACUAGGAAUAACUAGAACUCUUAAGGCGCUAAUGCUAUUUAUGUAAAAUCUAUACAAAUUCAAUGAAAAUCUCAACGAGCGAAAAUCCUUAUCCGCUUCAAGUACUAUUUAUAAUUUACGAUAAGCUUAGCUGGGCUACUCAACCAGAACAACCGAAGCUAUAUGCAAAAAAGAAUUAAAAAAUAAAAAAAGAGUAUACUCAACCAGAUUGCAAUGAGCUAAUUAGUUUAUUGAAGAUAUUAAUUAAUUAAUUUAUAAAGAAAGUUAAUAAUCAAAAUAACCUCAAAGGUAAAGUACAAAUGAAUAUAAUUUUUAUUUUAAUUUUGGGAUUAAUUUGGUAAAUUAAUUUUUUAAAUAAUUAUUAGAAAGACUAUAAUUGUAAGGGUAUUAAAAAUUGCUUUAAGUUAGUUAGUAUUAAUUUUAUUUUAAAUCAUUAGAAGAUUGUUGUAAGAGUAUGAACAAUACCAGUUCAUUCAGACUGAUAAUAAUUGGUUAAUUUACUAAUAAAUAAUUAUGGCUAAAUUUGUUAAUUAACAUUUUUCAUAGAUUAAUUAAUUAAUGUCUCCAAAAUUGUAGUAAGUGUAUUAUUGUAAAACAAAAGAAAACAAAAGGCAAGAGUGCAUAAAUUCAAUAAUUAGGGUGUCUUGAGAUAUUUUUUAAAUAGAAAUAUUAAACAGAUAUUCAAUCUAAAAUAUAAAGACUAUUCGAACAUUUACCCUCACAACUUUUGACAUGAAUCAUAAAGGAUAAUCGCAUAUUAAAAAAGUAAUUUCUAGUUAAAUUUAUAAUAGUUAUUCAAAAUAGAGAAACUUUGUUAUAGUGAAUGAUAAAAUAAAUAUUAAGAUACGUGCAUAUGAGAUUAUUAUAGAACGAACCUGCUAUCAAACCCGAAGCUUGAUCCUCAGCUGAGGUUUGUAUUGUACAACUCCCAUCAUUGUCUAAAUCCAGAUUCCGUAAAAUCCAAACGUUGAUAAAAAGUUCUCCGAACAUCAGUUGCUAGGUAGCUGGACACGGCUAAUGGACUGUUUAAAGACACUUAUAACCUUUUUUUUUAUCCGUCCGUGAAAAUCACAACAAAAAUAAAUUUUGUUUUAUUGUACAUUCAUUUUUUUAAAAUCCAUCUGUGUAAAUUAUAAUACAAGUAAAUUUUUUUUUUUGUCUGAACCAGGAGGUGUUCUUGAGUGGACUUCAACUGUGGGAGGCACCUUUAAGCUCGUACCACAACCCAGACUAAUCCCCGCUCGUACCGAGUCGACCCGUAAGGGGUAAAGUACUAGCCAAAGUGGUGACUCCAUACGAGAGCGGGACUUGAACCCCUGACCUCAAUUAAAGAGUGAGAAUGCCAAACCACUCACACUAACCAACAUUGGUUACAGUACAAGUAAAUUUUUUAUUGUACAUUUAUUAUUCAAAUUUAUUUUUCUGCAAAAAAAUUAAUUUGGUAAGCACAUUUUUUCAAAUUUGUGGCAUGCGCAUAAAGUAGAGCUCGAAUCUAAAACUUGAGUCGUAGAAAGGCUUCCUUUAUGAUUGGAGCUAAAUCUAGCCUCUAACAUAGUACGUGCCCUUUCUUCAAGUAAAUUCAUGUAAAGCAAACCCUGAGAUGCAAGUAAAAUUGAAAAUGUAAGAAAAUUAACUUACAUGUUUGAGCUUAUUGGAAGCAAUCAAAGAUGAUAAAUUUUUGCUUGAAUUUCCAAUUAAGUUCGUUUCAAAGAAAUCAAUUAGUGAGAGGAUUUUUAUGUGUUCUAAUUAAUUUCUCAAAGACAAAAAAUUUAAUAAAAAGUGUAUGCCGAAAGUAAUUAUGAAGAAUGAUUUUGGUUUUUAGUGGCGCAUGGAAUCAAAGAUAUGGUCGACAUGAUGUUGACAAAAGCAUGUUAUUAAUGGCGUCUUCAAUGUAACUGCAUUUUAUAGGGCACAUUGAAUUCCACUUUAAUCUUUUAAGAAUUUAUUCUUGUGGAAUAAUUCCACUAAAAAUCUUUUAAGAAUUUUUUAUUUAAAUUGUAGAAUUUUCUUGUUAAAAUAAGUAAAGAUGGGGGAGUAAAGGUUAAAAGGCUUGGCAUUUUUUUACUUGAAUUUCCAAUUAAGUUUGUUUCAAAGAAAUCAAUGAAAGGAUUUUCAUGUGUUCUAAUUAAUUUCUCAAACAACAAUUUUAGUCUAAAGCGUGUGCCGAAAGUAAUAAUGAAGAAUGAUUUUGGUCUUUAGUGUAGAAAAGACAUGGUCUAUUUGAUGUUGACAAAAGCUAGCUUCAAUAAUCUACACAUCAAAGAAAGGAUUUCAUAUGUAUCGGAGGGUUUAUCUUUUAUAAUUAAUCACCAGCCAAAUUUUAUACAGUUAAACUUCAUAGUAGAUAAAUUAGGACCAUUCUAUUUAUCAAUUAAUUUUAAGCCAACAAUAUCAAUCGAUUAUUCUUCUGGAAGUGGGGCGGAUUACCAAAUAACAUAGAGUCUUUAACAGCAAAUAAGGAAGGAAAUCAGUCACUGAUUUGAAUUGAAUUACUUACUAUAACCACUUUCGGGCUUUGUUUUACAGUUACAGAGCAUCACUGCCUAUGCGUAUAUUUAUCUAUAUACAAUGUUAUUAAUUACUGCAGCAUCGUCAUCACAAAAGCGAAAAGCUUCUAAGCGACAAUAUUCUACUUGCAAAUUUCCAUCAUCAUUUAGAGUAAUUAAAAUAAUUAAUUGGAAAAAAAAAAGAAAAGAAAGAAAGAAACAAUCGAACAGGCAGAGGCAAAGGGUUUCAUUUCUCGUAUUUAGACAAUGAUAAAUUAAUAAUAAUAUGAGCAAAUCUUGAGAUAUGAUAUGAACGAAAAAGAAGGUUGACAUUGAAGAUAAAGAGAUCACCAUCAAAUGAUAGUCAAACAGCAUAUUAAAGAUGAUCGGUUACUACUUACCUUCUUCAUAGAAGCCUUCUCUACCAGCGUUUUCACGAACAUUUUUGCAACAAAAAUCUCCAGGGAAAACCAAUCACUUCAACUGAAGAUCCAAAACGGCAGUUUCAGAAUUUUAUUCAUUUUUAGGGAAAAAUGAAUAAAAUAUUCUUUUGGAAUAAAGAAAAAGAGCAUAUUCCAAAAUCAAUUUCUACUUAAACUUAUAGUAGUCAUGCAAAAGAGAGAUAGUGAAUGUAUAUCACUGUGCAGAAGUAAACAAAGUAUGCAAGCAUGAUGAAAUAAAGAUCAUGAUAUGUGCCUAUGAGAUUAUUAUAGAACGAACCUGCCAUAAAAAAUGAUGCAGAGACUAACCCGGAAGAAAAGGCCACCUAAGAUGUGAAUUUGCUGUUAUUUGAUUCAACUCUUCGGCAUGGCUCUUGAGGUUUGAAUCAGCCUAUGGCAGGCAAGUGAGCAAGAUAGCUUGAUGCCCUUAUCAACAUUCUUUUUCCAUGAAUCUGAAUCUUUCUGUCGAACAACAUUAAUAAGAAUGCACAUAGAAGUAAUACGGUAUUGCAUGUUAUAAAGGAAAUUAUUAAUUUUGUAAAGUACCUUAGCAAUUCUGCUUUUGCUAACUUUGUUACUGUCUAGACUGCACUCUGUUCCACAGUCGAAAUCAUUCUGCAUUUUGGCACAAUUCCAACGCAUCUUCUAUUUAACAAAAAAGAAAAAAUAAGAAUCAACCAUUGUCAAUUCUUAUCAACAAAGUCUUCAAAUUGACAUUGCGGUCUCUGUUGUUUAAAGGGGAAAAAAAUCGAUAGUUGUGAAUUCUUAUCAACCAAAAUUAAACAUGGGGGUGGAGAAAAGAAAAAUAAAAAUCAAAUGUUGAAUCCUCUUGAUUGUAUCAUGGAUAAAUCUGAUUUAGAUCUGAGUCCAUAUUUUAAGAGAUUCAUCGACCCAUUUUCAGACAUGCCAGGAAUUGUAAAUUAAGUCAAAUAUUCACAAAAAACAGAUUCUGUGUUCAGCCGCAAAUGGGCUAUUUCACGGCCAAGCAAGAAAACAAAUGAAGAAAAUUAAUUGCUUUCCACUGGUUCAAGAAUUAAUACCAUGAUUGAUUGCUUCUCUUUUGGAAGAAAUAAUUUUGAAUAAAACACAGCAUCAUUACAAAAAAUGCGAUGAUAUUUUUUCAAUAAUCAGAUGAUGAUAAUUUCUCCAUACAUUCAUUCUACGGCCUGACUCUGUUUUAUGUCUAAGGCUAAUGUGGUGCACUUGCAGCAAGAUAACCAAACCGGUAUGUGUUGGGAAAAUAUGCUCUUUAAAAGCAUAUAUGUUUAUUUAAUUGUAAUAAACUAUUUUUCUGAUUAAUAAAAUAAAUGAGGUAUUUUAUUCAAAUAUCUUAAUUGCAUUAAUACUUGUAUUAAAGUCCAUUUAAUCAUAUUAUAUGUAUUUAUGUGAUUACCAUGUGGAUUCACAGAAGACAUAAAUACAUGUUAUCUUAUGAUUAAAUAAAUUUAGUUCGCAGUUGAUAAAUAAAGUUGGGCACUUUAUUUAGGUAUAGACUGUAAUAAAUUCAUUGAAUGAUUUGUCUUAAUCAUGUAUGAAUUUAUUGAUGUAGUACGACUACAUUGAACAGGAUCACAUAUGAGAUUUAAUUAACUUUGUAAUAACUGUCAGACUUAUUAAAUCUCAUAGGCGUUGAUUUUACUGUAAUCUUAAUCUUGAGUUAAUUAUGAUUUCAUGAUUGUAAUUGUUAUUCCAUUUGAGUUACCAAUGGGCACGACACAUCCUUGUGGUCAAGAUUACCCGGUAUCUUGGUGGGAGCAAUUAUGAGUAUUGGAGUUAUAGAUUAACAAUAUAGAAUUUGUACAACACAUCUCUUCAUGGGUUUUCGGCACUUGAUCAUGGAAUUCUCUGGCCAGAGUGUGUCAACAUAUUUAGUAUGUUGAAAAUGAUCAUUAGAGAAAACCAGUAAGGAUCAAGGAAUAAGAUGUUAUUAAAUUGAUUGGACAGUUGAGAUAUCAAUUUAAUUAACGAUGUGGUACAAAGGAUUGUGCAGUAAAGAAAUCAAUGUGGCUUGGGACGAAUUAUUAUUCGAGCAUACAAUUAUGGAAGUCAGUUCCAAUCUUUUAGUGGAGUAGAUUUGGAAUUAAAUAAUUGGGCUAGUUUAAUUACAGGCCUAAUUAUUGUAGCCACUAUUGUAUGUUCCCAAAUGAUCCCCGGGUUAGCUCAUUUAAUUGACUGCACCACUACUGGACUAAUAAGUAAGAUAACUAGCUAUUUGGGUCAAAAGCCUAAAUAUAUCAUUUAGUGGGAGGCUCCAUUUAAUUAGCUUUUGUAUAAGGGGCCUUAUGUUAUUUUACAAGGUGGGUCCCCUAUUGAAAAAGCAAAUAAACGUGGGUUUUGUUUUUCAUUUAUUUGAAGCCUAGGGUUUUCACUAAAGGGUGAUAUAAAAGGCUUAUUUUUCCCUAAAGAAAAAGUGAGAAGCCACUUUAUACAGAUCAGAGAAAAAGAUUUUUCUCUCUAUUGUUGAGAGAAAAAUUUUCUCGUGCUAGUUGCUUUGGUAGUGAUAAAGGCGCCCACACGUCAAGUGCAGAUCGAACCUGAGUCAUAACCUGGAAGAUCAUUGGAGACUGUUCGUGAUCUAACAAGCGUGGUGGUGACGGAUCGUGAUCUAACAGGAGCGGUGGUGGCGGAUCGUGAUCUAGGAGCCUAAAACACUUCAGCGGAAAAAGCCAACUCGGAUUUUCAAGGUACGAUUUCUAGAAUACAAAUUCUUAUAUAUUAUAUGAGAGCGAUCUUCAAAAGGUUUUAUAAAAAAUUAAAAACCUAAUUUUUCCCCAACAAUUGGUAUCAGAGCCAUCUCAUAUUAAUAUAUAAGAAUUUCGUAUGAAAUUAAUCUUGAAAUUUAUGUAUUAGAGUGGCACAUUUUAUUCAGAUAUAUAUUAUUUGUUUAAUAUAUGAAUAAAGCAUGUUAUGGUUUGUCUUAAUUCAUGGUUAGAUGUUCUACUGUAUUUUUCGUUUGGAUCUGUAACAAGAGGGGUGGCUUAUUAUCACCAUGUUUCCCUCUUGAUUUAUUGUAAUGUAAUUAAAAUUUUGUAAGCCAAAAUUAGCAUCGGAUUAUUGUAAAUCACUGGAAAAUUGCGGAAACUUGCUGGAACCUGCAGCAACGAACCAGCACACGCAGCAGCGAGCGGCCACCAGCACACGCUGCUGCACGAGCAGCGCGCGGCCAGCAGCACAUGCUGCCAGCAGCGCGCGUUGCACACGCAGCGGCCAGCAGCCACGCUGCAAGCAGCUCGCGCUGCACAUGCAGCAACUGCAGCGCGCGUUGCAACGCUGCAAGCAGCGCUACCUGCAGCGAGCGAGCAGCAGCUGCAGCGCCCAAGCAGCAGCGCGAACGUGGGCUGGAGGCGCGGAGCGUUUUGGUUGACGUCUUUCCGGCGUUAAUGACGGCUGUCCGGUGUGGAAACAGUGAACAGCGGCUGGAUUUUUUUGGAGAUGGCGGCUGGGGAAGAGAGGAAGAAAAAUAUGGAUUUAGGGUUACAUGGUUUUUAUCAUGGAAGUCCCUAUGGUUCCAUAAUUUUUCAUUUGAGCAGAAAGUUUUUUAAUUUUUUGCAUUUAAAUCCAAAAACAGUUUUGGGUUUAAUGAAUCCUAGUUUUAGGCCCAAUUUCAAUUGGGCUUAAUGGAUUAAAAAUGCAUAGACAAAAUUAAAUACAUUAAAUUUAUUUUUGGUCCAAAAGCUUUAUUUUAAAAAAAAAUAAAAUAAAAUAAAACUAUUUAUUUAUUUAUUUCCUUUCAAAAUUAAAAUUGGACCAAUUAUAAAUUUAAAAGCCCAAUUUCCCCUAGUCCAUUAACAAAAACAAGCUUAUGGAAGAUGGACAUUGACAAGAAGCCCAAUGAAGAUUAGGCUUAGGGUUAAUGUAUUUUUCAUUAUUAGGAAAGCCAUGAAUUAAGAUUAUUUAAUUAUUUUUCUAUAUGUUAUGUUUUGGAUGAUAACAUGCCAUGAUAACAUGUCAUAUAGAAUAGGUAGUGUCACUCUAUGCAUAAUGAUACAUGUCAUUCAUUAAAUAAUGAAUUUCAUUAUAUUGUUUGAAAUUUGCAUUUGCUUAAUAAUAUUUGAUAUCAUCUAGAUAAUAUUAUAGGAAGCAUGCAAUUAACAAUAUGUAUGUUUUAAAAAGGAAAAAUCAAUUUUAAAAUAUUGAGUGGGAGAGGGAAAAUUCAAGAUAAUUUUUCCCACGGGCUCCAUUGUUAGUUCAAUAAUAAAAUUAUAUAUAUACCUCAACUUCAUGAUACGGUGAUGCUCCCUACGGAGGGUAUAUAUAUUGGAUAUUUUAUUUGAUGAACUUCUUCAAAGAUAAAAUUGAAAUAUUUUUUCAAUCGAUUGCUCGCCCCAACGGUGACUAUUGAUAUGAAAAAUACGUAGAUUGAAACAAUGGUUAUACACUCAACUAAAGUUUGUUAUUAACCUUCCCAACGAAGCUCUGUUAACAAAUUUAGGCCCAAAGGGAUAACGAUAAUUAUUUAUCAUGUCUCUACAUGAAAGUAAAUAAUCUAAUGGAUAAUUGGGUCUAGUAAGUGUAGACAUGACUUCCCCAACGGAUAGCUUGUCAAAGCGGUACUAGAUUAUCGUUACAAUAAAUUAAAAUGCAUUUAUGGUUUUUUGUAUUUUUGUCAUUUAUUGUGAAUAUUGUUUCAAAGUAUUUAUGCAUGUCUAUUUUGUUUUUUCAGAAAAUGUCUUCCAUCAACCCAUUAUUAAUUAUUCUUGUUAAAAAUGAACUCACUGGCGAAAAUUAUUUAGAUUGGAAACGCAAUCUAUUUAAUAUUCUCACUGCUAAGGGAAGCAAAUAUGUUUUGACUCAGCCUUGCCCUCCUGAACCAUCGUUAUACGAUUAUAGAAAUCAGAGGGAGCCUUAUGAGAAAUGGUGCGAAGCUAACAAAAUGGCUAAGCGCUAUAUAUUGGCUUCGAUUUCUGUGGAACUGCAUAAGAAACAUCGGAGCAUGGAAACAGCCACUGAAAUAAUGGCUAGUCUUCAUCAGAUGUUUGGGUAAAAUACCCAUUUUUCUAGAGAAGCAGCAUUGAAACGUAUUACGGAUACUAAGAUGGAAGAGGGCACAAAAGUUCGUGAUCAUGUCCUCAAAAUGAUGGACUAUUUGAAUGAGGUAGAGAUUCAUGGUGUUCAAAUCAAUGAUAAAUCAAAGAUUAACAUGGUGAUUGAAUCUUUACCUGAUACAUUCAAAGAGUUUAAGGUCAGUUAUAUCUUAAACAAUAAAGAUAUGACCUUAAUUGAAUUAAUGCACGAACUACAUGCUAUAGAAGAAUUCUAUCAUAGCAGAAAACUUCCUGAAAAAGGAUUCUCUUCAAGGCUUAAGUCGAAAGACAAGAAUGAGCAAGCAAGAGUUGGGAUCGGCAAACUGUCCACUAAAAGAAGUGGCAAGCCAAAAGGCAAGUGUUACAAAUGUGGACAGAAGGGUCGCUGGAAGAAAGAUUGUCCUAAGAUUAUUAAAAUCAGGUAUAGGAAAUCUUUAAGCUUCCUAAUUAGUUCAGAUUUCUAUUGCAUCAUACAAUAAUGAAUUCUGAGAUAACUAAUCUUAUUUGUAAUUCAUUUAUUUGGUUUUCAGGAAACCAAGAGAUUAAGUGAAGAAAGUAUCAAACAGCAGUUGAGGACAUGCUAGUUUAUAUUAAUUGAAAGACUAGAUCAAUUUUACAAGACUUUAGUUUUGAUAUUUGUCUUUAUAUUAGAGGAAUUUAAUUUCGGUGGCUUGUUUUAAUAAACAGGAGUACACUGUUAUUUUUUGGAUCCUCUAUUUAUUAUUUAUUUUGGUUAUUUAUAAAGACAAUUUAUAUCAUAGAAGUCCAUUGAUCUAUUCAAAGUAAGAUAUAAUGAUAAAAAGUAUAUGCAUUUAUCUAAGAAAAGAAAUGUUUCUUCUAACCAAAAAUCACCUCUGAUAUUUAUGCCUAAGUCAUAUAAACUAUAAUAAGAUUUUAAGAAAAUGAUUAAUGAUAGACUUGUUGGCCUAUUAAGAUUGAUCAUUGUAACUCCAUAAAUCUUAUUUAGAAAAGUAAUAUGACAAGGAUGCUCUUUUUGAGCUAAAAGCAUAACUAUGUAUUUGAUGAUUUAGCGCAUACAAAUGUAUACGGACUAAUCAGUUUACAUGUUAUAAGGGGUUAUGAGUAUUCUAUCAAUCUUGUUGAUGAAUAUUCAUUUUAUUUAUGUUUGUCUAAAUGCGUCAUGAUUCCAUUGCUUUUGAAAUUCAAAAGAGUACGUGGAUAAGACAGAAGCAAUUAGACAGGAACAUAAAAGAACUUCGAUAUGAUCGAAACAAAGAAUAUCUCUAUGGAGAAUUCAAGCACUAUUUGGUUGUCAAUGAACACUAUAAUACAAUAGUGUAAUUAAAUGAAGAAACAAGAUUCUUUUGGAUAAGACAAGAUAUAUACUAAGUGGUUUAUCAUUUACCUUUUUUGAUUCCAGAUAUUAGUAUUUAAAACUACAAAGUUUAUUGAACUUAGUUUCAUCUAUCUCGGUGUCUACUACUCCAAGAAAUUAUGAAAAAGUCACAAACAUGGUUUGAGACACAUUCAUAUUUGGAGUUUACUAGUAUUUCUACUAGAAUCAGAGAUAGACAAGAUGGAUUCGUGUUCAGAAGCUUGCAUGUUUUAGGUAUCUUAAAGGAAUAAGGGAAAGUCUGAAUUAUAGUCCUCAAGAUAGGAAUGUAUUUAUAGAAAUAUUCUUUACUUUCUUUGAGGAAGACUCUAUAAUGACUUAUAACCUAAGAGUAAGGUAAAACUAGAGAAAUAAAAGAGAUCAGGUUGAUGCUCAGCUUUCAACACCUGUUAUAGAACAGGAAGAACAGCAACAACCAGCUGAUCAGCACAGGAUUAUCCUUGAACAACCAUCACUUUUAGAACCUUGUCGUAGUGGGAGGGUAACUAGGUUACCUGCGAGAUACAUAUUUUUGGGAGAAACCUAUAUGGCUAUCUUAGAUGAACAUGUACAAAAUCCCACUAGUUACAACGAAGCUCUAAUAGAUAGAAAUGUUAAAUUUUGGAAAAAGGCCAAGAACACAUGGUAUGUAAGUUGCAGAGAUCCAUUUAUAGAUUGAAGCAAGCAUCCCGGUCAUGGAACAUCAGAUUUGAUCAAGCGAUUAAAUCACUUGGAUUCAUUCAGAACAUUGAUGAACCAUGUGUGUACAAGAAAAUUCAGGGAAAAUUUGUAGCCUUCCUAAUUCUUUGUGUAGACAAUAUUCUUCUGAUUGGAAACGAUAUAGGAGUAUUGACUACAAUAAAGAUUUUGUUAGCAAAAUAAUUUGAUAUGAAUGACCUGGGGGAGGCAAGUUAUAUUCUUGGUAUCAAGUUACUACGAGACCGGAAGAAUAAAACUUUAGCAUAGAUAGAAAUGUUAAAUUUUGGAAAAAGGCCAAGAACACAUGGUAUGUAAGUUGCAGAGAUCCAUUUAUAGAUUGAAGCAAGCAUCCCGGUCAUGGAACAUCAGAUUUGAUCAAGCGAUUAAAUCACUUGGAUUCAUUCAGAACAUUGAUGAACCAUGUGUGUACAAGAAAAUUCAGGGAAAAUUUGUAGCCUUCCUAAUUCUUUGUGUAGACAAUAUUCUUCUGAUUGGAAACGAUAUAGGAGUAUUGACUACAAUAAAGAUUUUGUUAGCAAAAUAAUUUGAUAUGAAUGACCUGGGGGAGGCAAGUUAUAUUCUUGGUAUCAAGUUACUACGAGACCGGAAGAAUAAAACUUUAGCCUUGUCUCAAGCGGUCUAUAUCGAUAAGAUAUUGGCUAGAUUUAGCAUGGAAAAUUCCAAGACUGGUUUAUUACCAUUCAGACAUGGAAUUACAUUCUCUAAGGAUCAAUCACCUAAAACAUCUGAAGAGAUAGAGAGAAAGAGACGAGUUCCCUAUGCAGACGCUGUGGGAAGUCUCGUGUAUGCCAUGCUUUGCACUAGGCCAGACAUCUGUUUUGCGGUAGGGAUGGUUAGCAGAUAUCAAUUUAAUCCUGGAUCUCUAUACUGGACUGCAGUCAAGCAUAUUAUAAAGUAUCUGAAAAGAACUAAAAAUUAUAUGCUUGUGUAUUCUGGUGAUGAACUCAUUCCAGUGGGUUAUACUGAUUCUGACUUUAUGUUAGAUAAGGAUUCCAGAAAAUCAACUUCCGGCUAUGUGUUUACAUUGGGAAGUGGAGCUAUUAGUUGGAUGAGUGUGAAACAAUCUUGUAUCACAGACUUAAUAACUAAAGCUGAAUAUGUGGCUACAUCUGAAGCUGCAAAAGAAGCUAUAUGGCUCCGCAAGUUCCUACGAAAUCUUGAGGUGGUACCUAUUGUAACUACACCCCUUAAACUAUUUAUGUGAUAAUGGUGGUGCAGUAGCUCAAUCUAAGGAACCAAGGAACCACAAGAAACAAAACAUAUUGAAAGGAAGUAUCAUCUUAUAAGGGAAUAAUGUAGAAAGGUUAUAUGACAAUACCCCAAAUGGCAUUAGAUGCUAAAUGGCAGAUCUUAUUACAAUGGCCAUUAGUGGGAAACCUUUAUAACCUGCACUUAGAGCCCUAGAGCAUGUGCAAUAUGCCAGAUAUGCUUUGAGAGCUAGUAGGAGAUUGUUGGGAAAAUAUGCUCUUUAAAAGCAUAUGUGUUUAUUUAAUUGUAAUAAACUAUUUUUCUGAUUAAUAAAAUAAAUGAGGUAUUUUAUUCAAAUAUCUUAAUUGCAUUAAUACUUGUAUUAAAGUCCAUUUAAUCAUAUUAUAUGUAUUUAUGUGAUUACCAUGUGGAUUCACAGAAAACAUAAAUACAAAUUAUCUUAUGAUUAAAUAAAUUUAGUUCGCAGUUGAUAAAUAAAGUUGGGCACUUUAUUUAGGUAUAGACUGUAAUAAAUUCAUUGAAUGAUUUGUCUUAAUCAUGUAUGAAUUUAUUGAUGUAGUACGACUACAUUGAACAGGAUCACAUAUGAGAUUUAAUUAACUUUGUAAUAACUGUCAGACUUAUUAAAUCUCAUAGGCGUUGAUUUUACUGUAAUCUUAAUCUUGAGUUAAUUAUGAUUUCAUGAUUGUAAUUGUUAUUCCAUUUGAGUUACCAAUGGGCACGACACAUCCUUGUGGUCAAGAUUACCCGGUAUCUUGGUGGGAGCAAUUAUGAGUAUUGGAGUUAUAGAUUAACAAUAUAGAAUUUGUACAACACAUCUCUUCAUGGGUUUUCGGCACUUGAUCAUGGAAUUCUCUGGCCAGAGUGUGUCAACAUAUUUAGUAUGUUGAAAAUGAUCAUUAGAGAAAACCAGUAAGGAUCAAGGAAUAAGAUGUUAUUAAAUUGAUUGGACAGUUGAGAUAUCAAUUUAAUUAACGAUGUGGUACAAAGGAUUGUGCAGUAAAGAAAUCAAUGUGGCUUGGGACGAAUUAUUAUUCGAGCAUACAAUUAUGGAAGUCAGUUCCAAUCUUUUAGUGGAGUAGAUUUGGAAUUAAAUAAUUGGGCUAGUUUAAUUACAGGCCUAAUUAUUGUAGCCACUAUUGUAUGUUCCCAAAUGAUCCCCGGGUUAGCUCAUUUAAUUGACUGCACCACUACUGGACUAAUAAGUAAGAUAACUAGCUAUUUGGGUCAAAAGCCUAAAUAUAUCAUUUAGUGGGAGGCUCCAUUUAAUUAGCUUUUGUAUAAGGGGCCUUAUGUUAUUUUACAAGGUGGGUCCCCUAUUGAAAAAGCAAAUAAACGUGGGUUUUGUUUUUCAUUUAUUUGAAGCCUAGGGUUUUCACUAAAGGGUGAUAUAAAAGGCUUAUUUUUCCCUAAAGAAAAAGUGAGAAGCCACUUUAUACAGAUCAGAGAAAAAGAUUUUUCUCUCUAUUGUUGAGAGAAAAAUUUUCUCGUGCUAGUUGCUUUGGUAGUGAUAAAGGCGCCCACACGUCAAGUGCAGAUCGAACCUGAGUCAUAACCUGGAAGAUCAUUGGAGACUGUUCGUGAUCUAACAAGCGUGGUGGUGACGGAUCGUGAUCUAACAGGAGCGGUGGUGGCGGAUCGUGAUCUAGGAGCCUAAAACACUUCAGCGGAAAAAGCCAACUCGGAUUUUCAAGGUACGAUUUCUAGAAUACAAAUUCUUAUAUAUUAUAUGAGAGCGAUCUUCAAAAGGUUUUAUAAAAAAUUAAAAACCUAAUUUUUCCCCAACACAUGCAGCAAUAAAUAAUCAAAUUCUGUCCUGUAUAUUUUUAUUUAGAAAAUUGCAAAAAAGCUAGUCGCUAGAAAAAAGUAAUUAAUUAAGUAAACACUGGCUUUGCACUUUGCACUGUGUUUGCGGUAAACUUUUGUUAAAGACAAGUAUACAUAAACUACCAAGGCACUGAAAAUAUGAAAUCAAAACAAUAUAUUGAAUCAAAACAAUACAUGUCUAUAGCGAAGGAAUCUCAAAAUCUGCUCACUAGCUAUGGCUCGUGUAGAACAAACCUUCACAAACUGACCUUGUUGGUUGAUUGCUUUUGCUUGGCAAAUCAUAGAGUUGAUGCAACACAUCAGGUGGGAUGCACGUUCCUUCAUGGGCAUAUUAUCGAACACGUCCUAGGCAUGAGAAUUAUACCAUAAUUCCCCAACAACUCCCCUCUUCAGCUGGGCCUGCAAAUUCCAUAUAAUCAUUCCAUUGUCUAUUUUUCGUUCGUUCUGAACCUAAAUCAAGCUUGCCAAUUCAUCUGAUCAUAUUCAUAUAGAUAUUUGUCUGUCUUCCUAAAAUUCAACAUUUGUCCACCAAGUAUUAGACCCAUAAAAAUUCAGAGAGGAAAUGACAAGGAAGAGGGUGAGCUCAAUAGACAGUCUCUACCUCAGACCCUGUGUUUUUUUCCAGCUGCCGCUAAUUGCUAAACACGGUUAAGAAACUUGCACACCAAUCUGGACAGCUCAUCAAUGCCACGUCACUACCCCUUAAACUGAUUUUUAACAGAUUUUUCAAUAAAUAGAAUGCAAAUGAAAUAACAUUUGAAUGCAUGGUUAGUGACAAAUUCAGAUAAUAGUAGGUAUGUAUUUGAGUUCAUCUUUGAGGUUGUGGUUCCUCAUCACCACAGCAGCCAUUCCACUGGCUUCUGUACCAAAAACAUAUUUAAUUUAUUUAUAUUAAUAAUAUAUUUAUAUUGAUUUUUAAAGUUGAUUAUUGAGGGAUUAGAAACACUUAAUACAUCCCAUCAUCAUCAUCAACAACAACAACAACAACAACAACAACAACAAAGAAAGAAAGAAAAGACUCAAGAGUAUUUGCAAAAGAUAAUUAUAAAGAGCGACUAUGGUCAACGGUGGAGAAUGGAAUCAAAGACAUUGUCAAAGGUAGCAAAAGCUUCGAUAAUCUAAACACAGAGACUUUUCUUCAAGUAUAGUUAAAUAAUAAAAUAAUAAUUUAGAUUACUUAAUGAAACAAUAAGUAUUUAUGAUAAAUAAGAUACAUGGAAUAAACUAACCUCUCCGCUUAUCAUUUUCUCUAUUGUGUUUUUUUUUUCCUCUGUCUCUCCUUCUUGUUGUUUAGUAGAUGACACAACAUUUCAUUUUGUUUAUUCAAUUUGCUAUUGGAGCAUCUUUCAGGAAAGUACAGAAAUGUAAAUAUACAGCUAAUAUUAUAUUUAUGAAUUAUUUAUAUGUACAGUACAUACUAAGUAACUAAAAUAAGACAAAUGAAAUAAUAAAAAUAAAAAUAUAAAUUAGAUAAGAUCAAAAAUAUCAUAUGAUCAAUCUCUUUCAUCACCAACAUCUAAAACAUUAUUGCUGUAACGUUAUACAUUAUGUACGAAACAGGAAUGUAAGCACAGUAGUAAUAUAAUGUUAUACAUAUCAAAAUUAUGUCUACAAAUAAAAAGUAAAUUGAAAAAAGAUUAGUGAAAUAAUAAAAAAUAUAAAUAUAAAUGAUAGAUCAAAUAUAUCAUAUGAUCCUAAUUUAAUAAAUCAAUAAUGCCUUAGUAGACAAUAUAGUUUAUGGUAGAGAAUAUUACUUAUCCUCUUAACAUUGUUUGCUCAAUAAUCUUUACUUUUGAUCCAAGCAUCUUUGAUCCAAAAAUUGGUAGAGAAUAUUACUUAUUAACGUUAUAAAUCCAUCCGCAAUUAAUAAAGGAUCACAGCAUAUUCAAAAAGCAAUUAAUUUCUAUUUAGAUUUUUAGUACUCAUGCGAAAUAGAGAAACAAGAUAUGUGCGUAUGAAAUUAUUAUGGAUUACAAGCUACUCGAUCAAAACUCGGAAUCAAAUAAUUGAAUGGGUGUCGAGCACGCUUGUGGAAAGAGUCACGGCACGAGCUCCCCUUCAUCAUCUCUAAAAAACCACACUUCAAAUAAAAAUAUUUUUUUUUCCUGCAAAUUACUUGCAUUCAUAACCAACUAUUUUUUUUAAUAGUUAUCAUUCAUGACUUCCUCUCUAUCCAAAAUAAAUUUGCUUAAAUUUAAAAUAUUAAAUUAUUCUUUUUCUAAUUUUUAUUGAUUGAACCUUAUUUUUAAAUUAAGAUUACUUUCAAAUUAUAAUUUGGAAUAUGUGUAAUGAAGUCCUAAUUAUAAUUUAAUAAGUCAUAAUUAUAAUUUAAAGUAUUUGUAAUUUAAGUCAAUGAUUUAUAUUAAAAAAUUCAUCACUGAUAAUUUGUAUAUAGGAUAGAUUGCAAAUUAACAAGAAUGUUAAAGAAAAGAAAAAUUAGAAGAGUGUAUUAAGAAAAAGGAUGUUUUUGGAAUUAAAAGUAAGAAUAACUAAAAAGAGAGAGAGAGAGAAGGUUUCAUGACAAUAUUAGAGGGGUGGCACUAGUCCAGCUCCAUACAUAGAAAUUACAAAGAAUCAACAAGAUAAUAACAAAAACACAUCCCAUACUCACAAUAUCCAAUUAGAGGGGCACCAAAUUUUUUUUGGCGAAAAUCCUCCAAUGCUCAAGUCAGUAAUUGGGUCUCUUUUAGAAAAACUUGUAUCACAAACUCAUGGCUUAAUUAUAUCAAUUGAAAGUUAGAAAUCUUAAUUCUCAAAAGAAGAAAAAUAAAUGGAGAGAAUUAUCGAGAGAGAAAAAGUCAAAGAGAGAGAAAAUAUGGAAAUAAAAAAAAAAUUGUCCAGCCCUUUUUACCUCCCAUUCUCCGUAGCUUUUAUACCCAACCUGAACCAUCGACUCCAUCUUCCCCACGAUUACUGUUGGCUUGGAAGUGAAAAGCGUGCUGUGUCUUUGAAAUCAUGGGUCAAUGGACAAUGUAACUGCCGCUGAAUGGGCUUUGUGCCCGAGUUUCUUGGAGACAAACUACGUGUUGGCCUUUGAUCAAGCCUUCGAUCUGACUCGAUUUUGGUCUCUCCUCGCAUGCCCUCAGGUCUGCUAUAUAGUACUCGUACGACCAGUAUUCAGAUUUUUUUGAUACAAGCAGUGGUCAAUAGAGUCAACUAAGAUAAAACUUAAAUUUCCCGCCCAAACAAAAACUAACAUACAUAAAGAAUUCGAAUCAUCCUUCAAUAAUAACAUAAAUAGCAACUACUGAGGCUAGUAAUUUGAUCAUUUCUGUAUUUGUCAAUGCAUUAUGGAUUCUAAGACCAGGCUCUAAAAUCAGCAAAUCCAAAAAUUGUUGAUAAUAUUACUUAGUAAGGUUACGAAUCCAUCCACAAGACAGCUGUAAAUAGUCAUAUAUCCUGACAUAUGAACUUUUUAUAUGAUUAAUAAAGGAUAAUAGCAUAUUCAAAAAUCAAUUUCUACUUAAAUUCAUAGUAGUCAUGCAAAAUAGAGAUAGUGAAUGUGUAUAUCACGGUGCAGAAGUAAACAAAGUAUGCAAGCAUGAUAAAACAAAGUUCAUGAUAUGUGCCUAUGAGAUUAUUAUAGAACGAACCUGCUAUAAAAAAAUGAUGCAGUGACUAAGCUGGAAGAAAAGGCCACCUAAGAUGUGAAUUUGCUGUUAUUUGAUUCAACUCUUCGGCAUGGCUCUUGAAGUUUGAAUCAGCCUGUGGCAGGCGAGUGAGCAAGCUGAUAUUGCUGUUGUAGAUAGCUGAAUCUUAUCAACAUUCUUCUUCCAUCUGAAUCUUGAGUGAGCAAGCCUAUGCCCUUAUCAACAUUCUUCUUCCAUGAAUCUGAAUCUUUCGGUCGAAGAUAUUGAUAGGAAUGCACAUAGGAGUAAUACGGUACUGCAUGUUCUAAAGGCAAAUAUUAAUUUUGUAAAGUACCUUAGCGAUUCUGCUUUUGCUAACUUUUUUACUGUCUCCACUGCACUCUGUUCCACAUAGUCGAAAUCAUUCUGCAUUUUGGCCCGAUUCUAACAAGACAAUCUAACUUCCAAGCUUUCAACUUUUCCCAAGGUCUCUGGCACAUUUUUAAGUUUGGAGCAACCACAGAGAUACAACGUUCUAAGAGAUCUCAAACCAUUUAUGGUACUUGGACGACUCUUGAGAUUUUUGCAAUCUUUCAAAUUCAACAAGACAUUGCCAGAAAGAAGUUCAAUAGAUGCUGGCAAUCCUCUUAUAGCAGUUCCUUCCAAAUGAAGCUCCAAGAGCUGAUCCCUGCUUGAAGUUUUCUCUGGGAACUCUCUGAAUUUCAAAGGGCUGGAGAGAUUCAAAGUUGAUAGAUAUUUUACAGCACUUAUUGUCCUUGGAAGACACUCAAGAUUUUUGCAGCCAUUCAGAGUCAACUGCGCAAGUCCAAAUAGAAGUUCAAUUGAUAAUGGCAGUUCUUUAAUAUCAGUUCCAUCCGAAAGAACUUCCCACAAUGUCUAGAAAUUCCUUCAAUUUCCAGCAACCAGAAAGAACACGUGUCUUAAGAGAUUUCAUAAAGAUCUUGCCUGGAAGAGUUGAAAGACUUGUACAACCUUUCAAAUUCAACAGAAUCAGCUUCUUUGAAGCAGAAAAAAUGAGUGAAUCUCCUGCAACCUUGUAAAUCUUUCAGAAAUCAGCUCCCCUAAAUUUGGUACUCUAGUGAAGUCUGAUUGGUCAUAUUAGAAAAGGCUUUAGCACUGACAUGCAUCUCUUUGAUGUUAAAGCGAUCAAAUAUGAUGCUUCAACUACAUCAGUUUCCUAAACACUAUAACAAAAAAUAAGUGGGAACAAAAAAAAAAUGAAACAAAGAAAAUAUUGAUAAAACUAUGCAAAGGUUUAACUAGUUAAAUAAGUGAUCAUGAUCCCAAAAUUGCAAGUUUUCAACCUAACUGAACAUUUACUUGUGCUUUGUGAUAAUACAUGGCAUAUAUCUGCUUUCUCCCACAAUCUAUUGCAGUUUCUAGGCUCCUGAUGGGAUUGCCUCCUAACAAUUUGUCUACCCCAUUUCUUGUAACUACUCAUGCAUCCACAGUCCGCUGAAAUCAUCUACAGUUAAUAGAGAUUUUUCAAUAGGACCAACAAUUUCAAUAAUUGGGUCAAAAUCACAAUAUUUGAGAAUUUUUGUCACAUAAUCUCUGUACUUCCCUUCAUAGAAACAUGCAAGAUCGAGAAAUAUUUUCUUCUCUGUUUCUUUUGACCCAUCAAAACUUAUUUGAAGUACAUCAAGAAUCUCAUUCUCAGGAUCUCCCUAUAGUCAUUGUAGUAUAAUUCUGAAAAUAUUUUCUUCUCUGCUUUGGAAAUUAAUGAUCUUCUUCUUCAUAUUUAUUCUGAAAAUUCAAAAACAUAAAUGAAAAUAAAGAGAACUGCAUGGCAUAAAACUUACAACUUUGAUUAUGUCGCAAGCAGCAUAGUAAUCAAAAUUUUUUAAAUAUCAACUACAUGUCAACGAUGCGGAAUUCCAAGGCAUCUUCUAUUAAACAAAAACAAAUAAUAAGAACCAACAGUUGUCAAUUCUUAUCAACAAAGUCUUCAAAUUGACAUUGUGAUCUGUUGUUUAACGAAAAAAAGGAAAAUCAAUUCCUAUGAACUAAGUCCUCGGACCAAAAUUAAACAUGGAGGUGGAGAAAAGAAAAAUCAAAAUCAAAUGUUGAAUCCUCUUGAUUGUUUCAUGGAUAAAUCUGAUCUAGAUCUGAGUCCAUAUUUAACAUAUUCAUCUACCCAUUUUCAGACAUACCAUGAAUUGUAAAUUAAGCCAAAGAUUCGCAAAAAGCAACAAAGAAACAAAAAACAGAUUCUAUGUUCAGCCACAAAUGGGCUAUUUCACAGCCAAGCACAAUGGUUAAGGAAGAUUGCUAGUAAACAAAUGAAGAAAAUUAAUUGCUUUUCACAGGUUCAAGAAUUAACACUAUUAUUGAUUGCUUCUCUAGUGGAAGAAAUAAUUUUGAAUAAAGCACAGCAUCAUUCCAACAAAUGUGACGAUAUUUUUUUCAUUCAUUCCAUGGCCGGACUCUGUUUUAUGUCUAAAACUCAAGAAAUUCUACAAUUCCUUCUUUCUACCACAUCAUUCACGAAACAACAAAUAAUCAAAUUCUGUCAUGUAUAUUUCUAUUUAGAAAUUUGCAAAAAGGUUAGCCGCUAGAAAAAGAAAAUAAUUGAUUAGAUAAACAUUGGGUUUGCACUGUGUUUGUGGUAAAAUUCUGUUAAAGACUAAAGACUCUCAGAAUCUGCUCACUAGCUAUGACUCAUGCAAGACAAACCUUCACGAAUUGACCUUGUUGAUUGAUUGCUUUUGCUUGGGAAACCAUAGAGUUGAUGCAACACAUCAGGUGGGAUGCACAUUCCUUCGUAGGCAUAUUAUCGAACACGUCCUAGGCACGAGAAUUAUACCAUAAUUCCUCAACAACUCCUCUCUUGAACCUGGCCUGCAAAUUCCAUAUAAUCAUUCCUUUGUCUAUUUAUCGUUUGUUCUGAGCCCAAAUCAAGCUGAGAUCGAUCAUAUUCAUAUUCAACAUAUGUGCACUAAGCAUAGUAACCUCAAUUCCGAGGUUCAAGUAUUUAAACCCAUAAAAAUUCACAGAGGAAAUGACAAGGAAGAGCGUGAGCUCAAUAAACACUCUAACUCUUCGCUCUACCACGGUUAACAAACUUGGACACGUCACUAACCCUUAACUGAUUUAUAACAGAUUUUUGAAUAAAUAGAAUGUAAAUGAAUUAUCAUGUGCAAAAUAACAUUUGAAUUUGAGAUGCGCGCGGUGAUAAAGUCAGAUAAUAGUAAAAAUAAAAUAGUCAAGAAUAAUAAAUUUAUAUUUUUUAUAUUAAUAAUAUAUUUAUAUUUAUUUUUAAAAUAUAAUAUCAAUUUUUGGCUUACUAUAGUCAAGAAUAUAAUAGUAAAAAUAAAAUAAAAUAAAAUAAAAAUUACACAAAAAAUAAAUAAGCAUGUCGAAAUUGUAAAAAGAAGUCAACUAUUAUGUGAUCACUUAAGUUAUAGUUACGUAUGAAUCAAAUUUCUACUUUAAUUGAUCUUGCACAAUUUUAUGUUAUCCUUUCUUUAAUGAAAAGAAAAUACCAUACCGAAAAUCCCAAAAUAUAUCAGAAAAUUUUACUUUCCACAUCCUGACGGGAGAGUGUACCUGAGCAAAUCUUAAAUAGAGAGGAUUUUUGUAAGUAAAUGAAUUCCAAUGAAGUACUUUGCUUUAAGAGAACUUAAGCUAAUCAGGGAAGUAUAUUUAUUUUAAGGAAAAGCAGAGGAUUUUUAUGAGUAAAUGCCUCUUAAAUUGAAAGAAAACAAAAGGAUUCAAGAGCCUACCUUUCUUGAUGAGUCCUGCAGUGGAAUGAUCGAAUGUUGGAUCACGUUAAUGGCCGAAAGAAAAUCACAAGUGGAAAACUUCCUUUUGAUCACAAUAUAAAUGCCUUCUUUCUUCAAUGGAUUGUUCAAUGUUCUCUUUUUUUCAGCAUAUGGAUAAGAGAAGAAGUUGAAGAAGCAAUUGUUUUUUUUUGUGUUGUUGGGGGAAAAAAUGUGUACUCACAUUGAGUUCCAACUCAACAAGUACCGAAAAAACUGUACAUAAAUAAUCAAAUUAGCAAAGAAGAGAACAUAAUCUCCCUCUAAUAUUGACUGAGUGAGUGAUUAGGAACACUUAAUCUAUCACAUCCAAAAAAAAAAAAGAAAAAGAAAAAAAGAAACACUUAAUACAUAAUAAUACUUAAUACAUAAUAAUGUAAGACAAACAUUCAUGGGAAGCAAUGUUGGAAUACAAAACUGCGAGAAAACUUAAUGCUUUGAGCGUGUUGGACGCACUGAAAGAUGAUGAAAAUUUACCUUGCCAAAGAUAAUUCCUCUUUAUAAAGGAGAAAUGUUCCAGUCCGGAAUUUUAAAGUGCGGGAAAGUGCAGGAAAUCUUUAAAACUGCAUGGUUUUAAAGGCUUAAACUGUAAGCCUUUAAAACCGUGCGGUUUUAAAGCUUUCCCGGACUUUCCCGCACUUUAAAAUUCAUGACCAGAAAACUACUACUUUAUAAAGAUCUUUUCAAUUUUGUUUGUUUCAAAGAAAUCAACGAGAGGAUUUCAUGCUUUCUAAUUAAUUCCUCCAAUAAAUGUAAUAAUAUAUACAUUGUAACAUAAUUUCAAUACUUAGAAAAUAUUUUAAUAUUUUACAAUCUAUUAGAUAUAUUUUAUUAUAUAACAUAAAAUUUUAUAAUAAAUAGAAUCAUAAUAUUAAAACAAGUGUAUUAAAAUUUAAAUUAUUUUGAAUAUUAUGGAAAAUAAUAAUAACAUUAGUAUGUGAGACUUUGUUAUUGUAAAAUAUAUUUAAUGCAAAUAUUUAUUUAAAAUAUCUAAAAUAAAUAAAUAUAUUAUUAAAUAAAUAUAACAAUUUAUAUAUUUAAAUUUAUUAAAAUAUUAAGUUAUUUUAAUAUUCUUAGUCUAUUGCGUAGAUUACAUUAUUUAUGUAAUAUUUCUAUUUAUUAAAAAUUUUAAAUUCAAUUUUUUAAAUGACAUAAUGGUCAAAAAGGGGUCUUAGUGUCCCUUUUUUAAAAGUUGUGGGUGUUGGUGACAAUUUCUUCAAAUUUAGGGGUUUACAUGUCCCUUUUCCUUAAAAGAAAGAAUAAUUAAAAAAAAAUGGGUAAAAGCUCGUUUAGUCCCUAUAUUUUGAAGUUAAUGUCCGUUUAGUCCCUAUAUUUUUAAAAAUACUUCAAAGCAUCCCUAUCAUUAAAUUAUUGACAUUCUUGCCAUUAUCUUUUGUUCAUUUUGACUUAUUUUUACAAUAUUACCCUAUUACAAUAAUGUUCCUUUUUUUAAACAUUAUUAAAAAGAAAAAUUAAAUUAUCAGUUUAACACUAAAAAAUAAAAUAAAAACAAUAUAUACAUUAAUUUUUGUGGAACACUCUGCUGAGAAGUUAAAAUAUUAAUUUUUAAAAAAAAUUGAUAUCUUAAUUUUUUACAAAAUUAAAUUUUUUUGGACACACAUGAGCUUCCACAAAAAUUAAUAUAUAUCUUUUUUGUUUUUUAUUUUAUUUUUGGGUUUAAUUUGAUAAUCCAAUUUUUUUAUUUAUAUCUAAAAAAGAAACAUUACUGUAAGAGUGUAAAAUUGUAAAAGCAUGCUAAAAAAAUAAAAAAUAAUGGCAUAAGUGUCAAUAUUUAAUAGUAAGGACGUUUUGAGGUAUUCUUAAAAAUAUAGGGAUUAAAUGGGCACUAAACUCAUAAUAUAGGACCAAACAAGCUUUUACCCAAAAAAAAAGUCUAAUGAGAAUAUUAGAGGGGUGGCAAUAAUCCAACUCCGUGAAAAAGAAUCAACAAGAAAAUAAUAAAAGAUAUUUUUGAAAUUAACUCACGCAUCCGUUAAAGAUCAAGACAAGAACUUAAGUCUUAGAAAAGCUUAGCUGUGAAGCUAGACCUCAACUUCAUGUGAAAUUUAAAGUAAAUUUUCACAAAUAAAAAGUAAAUGAAAUACCAUAUGCAAAUUUAAAGAACAUAAAUUGAAAUUGGGAUGCGUACUCUCACUGUUACACCAGGCCUUACCCUUCAUUUGAGUUGUUUAAAUCUUUUAGGUGGUUGUUCGUCAUCAUCAUCACAGCAGGCAGCAGCCACUGCCACUGGCUUCAGCUGCCACUGCAUUUUCUGCAAGGCUUCGCUUUGAUGUUGUGGCUACUUCCAUUUUUGAUCCAACAAAAUUAUGAUGGGAUUCAUUCAUAUUUGAACGUCAUAGUGAAUGCUUAGGGACAUGAAAAACAAAGCAAAUAGCAUAUCCCACAACCUUCUUUGUAUUAUACAAAUAUGAAGGCCUUGUGACUGUUUUUGAAGAACCCUCAUUCUGAUACAUGAACCACUUUGGAAUUUCACUUCCUGGAACAACGAUGUGCAAACGAUGGCUUGGAUCUGACAUUGCCUGCAACAAAUGGGCUAUUUCACAGCCAAGCAAGAAAACAAAUGAAGAAAAUUAAUUGCUUUCCACUGGUUCAAGAACUGACACCAUUAUUGAUUGCUUCUCUAUUAGAAGAAAUGAUUUUGAAAAAAGCAGAGCAUCAUUAAAACAAACGUGAUGAUAUUUUUUCAGUCAAUAUUAAAUUAAUAUUUUAUUGAAUUUUCUACGUGAAAAAAAAAAAAUUGUGGCAAUAGAUGUAUCAUAAAGUUGCAGCAUAAUUGACUUUAUUGAUUAACUGGGAAAUCAUAAAGUUGAUUUUGUUGACUGUUUGAUUCUGAUUGCUUAGGAAAUCACAAAGUUACAGCAACAGAUGCAUCAUGUCGUUGCUCUCCAACAGGUUAAAAAUUUAUUUAGUCCUUAUAUUAUGAGGUUAGUGUUCAUUUAGUUCUUAUAUUUUUAAAAAUACCUCAAAACGUCCCUGAUGUUAAAUAUUGGCCCUCUUGCCAUUAUUUUUAUUAUUAUUUUAGCUUGUUUUUACAAUAUUACACUUAGUAAUAUUUCUUUUUUGGAUAUUAAUAAAAAAUUAAACUAUCAAAUUGAACCCAAAAAUAAAAUAAGACAAAAAAGAUAUCUAUUAAUUUUUGUUAAAGCUCACGUAUGUCCAAAAAAAUUAAUAUUGUAAAAAAUUAAAUUAUCAAUUUUUUAGAAAAAUUAAUAUUUUAACUCCUCAGCAAAGUGUUCUACAAAAAUUAAUGUAUUUUUUGUUUUUAUUUUAUUUUUUGUGCUAAACUAGUAAUUUAAUUUUUUUUAAUAAUGUCUAAAAAAAGAAACAUUAUUGUAAUAUGAUAAUAUUGUAAAAACAAGUAAAAAGGAACAAAAGGAAGUGGUAAGGGUGUCAAUAAUUUAAUAGAAAGGAUGCUUUGAUGUAUUUUUAAAAAUAUAGGGACUAAACGGACACUAACUUCAAAAUUUAGGUACUAAACAAGAUUUUACCCCUCUCCAACAUACCAGGUGGAUGCAUUCCUUCUUGGGUAUUUUAUCAAACAUGUUCUGGGCAUGCUCUUGACCUGCAAUUCUAUAUUAAAAGACGAACGAGGCCGGCCCUGGGUCAAUUGUUUUAAAGUUUUUUAUUUUGUGAUCAAUUACUUUUAAAUAAAUCCAAAAUAAAAAUUCAUUUUUUUAUUAUUUAGUCUAAUAAUAGCAAUCUGAUUUCCUCUCUGUAAUUUUUAUUUUAGGAUGCCAUCUAGUUGAGAUACUAUACUUAUUAUGUUGAAAACAAGAUAUUCGGAAUUCUAAAAUAAAAAUUACUUUUUUUUGUUUAUUUAUUCUAAUGUUAUGUUUGUACUUAUUUUAAAAUUUAAAAUCAAUUUUAAUAUUACUAUAAUUAAAAGGUAUAAUAGCCAAAAAAAGAUAUUAUAAUGGAAAAAGGAUAUCUACACCCCCAAAGUUUAGAGAAAUAAUCAUUGACAGCCACACAUUUUUAAAAUGGAACACCAAGACCAUCUUUUAACAAUAAUACCCUUUAACCUCUAUUAUCCAAAAAACAAUCAACUCUAAUGUUUUAUAAUAAAUAGAAAUAUAACAUUAAAAUAAAUGUAAUAAUGUAUAUGUUGUAAAUUAAUUUCAAUACUUCAAAAAUAUUUUAAUAUUUUGCAAUCUAUUAGAUAUAUUUUAGUAUAUAAAAUUAAAUUUUAUAAUAAAUAGAAUCAUAAUGUUAAAACAAGUGUAUUAAAAUUUAAAUUAUCUUGAAUAUUAUGUAAAAUAGUAAUAACAUUAGUAUGUGAGUUUUUUUAUUGUAAAAUAUAUUUAAUGCAAAUAUUUAUUUAAAAUAUCUAAAAUAAAUAAAUAAAUAUUAUUAAAUAAAUAUAACAAUUUAUAUAUUUAAAUGUAUUAAAAUAUUAAACUAUUUUAAUAUUCUUAGUCUAUUGCGUAGAUUACAUUAUUUAUAUAAUAUUUCUAUUUUUAAAUGGUCAAAAAGGGGUCUUGGUGUCUUUUUUUAAAAAAAGUUGGGGGUGUUGGUGAACAUUUCCUCAAAUCUGGGGGGUGUGGAUGUCGUUUUUCCUAUUAUAAUUGCUAUAUUAGAAUGAGAGAAAUAAAAAACCAACAAGUACAUAUUAAUGAUACGAAAGUUUUCAGAUUACAUAAUUCAAAUGAAUAUAUAGUUUAUCAAGAAAUCAAAAAUCCAAGUUGGAUUGCAAUUUCAAUUAGCUAAUAGCGAAACAUGAACAUAAUACUAAGCAUGAGUAUAAAAGGGCUUUGCUCUUUAUUAGAUUUCUUAAAUUCUUGUAGCAUGAGGUUCUUCAUCAUCAGUAAGGCUUCGCUCAAAAAGAAAAAAAGAAAAAAUCAAAACACAAACACAAUAUCUAGAGAUGUUUAGAGAGAAAAUUGCAAGCAACAGAAUGGGCAUCAUACAAUAUACCUCAUCGGUCAUCAGCUUAUUAUGGGUUUGUAAUAAUUUCCCGCCCUUUCUAACCGAUUUAACAGCUACAUGCUGACACUAAUGCUCUUCAAAACGACAGUAUUUUCAGGUCGUUUGAUCAUUAUGUAUAAGUGAGUGCACGUGACCAACGCGUGCACUCACUUACUAAGUUUAGACGACUUGAGCCAGACGUCGUACACGAGUCCUCUAGGAGUAAUCGAGAGAUCGUAUGCAAAGAAACAUCAAUUCAUACUAUCAUUUAUUAUUCAGCCCACAUUGCGUCUGGUCUGGGAAUUAGAUUCUGGUUCAUUCUUGAACAAUAGGCAUAAGUGGCAACUAUCACUUGGGAUUUCUCCUCCUUCCACUGGUAGAUUACAGUCACUGAGAUCCCAUUUUGUUAAAGAACAUAAGCCUGAUAGAGAAGGUAACAUCAAAUUAGUCAUGGGAUCUAAACUCCUUCACAUCAU